rnacentral:lncRNA from 1 species
AAAAAAAAAAAAAAAAUCUUCCUGGUGAUGUGAUGCUAGGCUGCUCUUGCUGGUUAGGGCAGGCCAUGUUGGCAUGUUGCUCCAUUUUGAUUCACAUUUUUUUCUCAACAUAUUUAUAAUGUAUGAUAUUAUGAAAUUUACCCCAUUGCAUUGCAGCUUGAUAAGUGUUCUUGUGUUUUGAUGACUUAAAAUUCAGUGAGCCCCUUGUUUGGUUUGCUAUAACUAAUUGAGUGUUUUGCAUUGUAAAUUAUUAUAAUAUGAAGUUUCUCUUUACUUUUUCUAACUUUGCAUUGAUUUUUUUUUUUGAAAUUAAAUCUCUGUUUGUUUGAAACUAACAUUGAUUUUUUUUUUUUGAAAUUAAAUCUCUGUUUGUUUGAAACUAAAAGAAAUUAUUGUCUUCUAAACUUCUUUGCUUUACACAGGUUAUGGCUUUGCUUCCGAAACUUCCUCAACAACCCCAACUGCUCCAGACUGGUAUUCCAUAUGUGAAAUUUCUUGCCUUUUAAUUUAUUUAUUUUAGGAAGAGGGCCACUGGUGAUGGCCUAGAGUAGAGAUGGUGGAACAUUGUUCCUGAGGCAGUAGUAGAUGAUUUUUAAACAUGGUGUUCAUCUUCUAACCAUGCAAUAUUUGUUAUUGAAUCUUAUCAUUUGUUGCUGAUAUGUCAUCUGUUUACCUCUUAUCCUCAGUUUGUUUAACCAUUGGAGCAUAUUCAAAAUGGUUUGAUGCUGCAUCAAGUGAUCCAUCUAUAUUGGCUUCAGUCCUCAGCAUUCUCACAAGUGGCAUGAGCACAUCUGAAGAUACGGCUGCAGCUGCAGCUUUGGCUUUUAGACACAUUUGUGAUGGUAUGUAAUAUAUUUGAUCAGAACAUUUUGUUUGUUUACCAACUGUUUUCAAACCAACACAGCCCCGCCUCCUACCUCUCUUCAAAUCCCCCGGGGGGGUUGGUGUUUGGGGUUGGAAAUACAGUUGCUUUGAUUUAAAUGCCAUUGGUUCCUCAUAGGUGAAAUGAAUGGGUUACUUGUGCAUGUGACAACAAAGAACUUAUCAAGAAGAUGAUGUUAUUUUAUUAUGGACAAACUUUUAUUUGCAACCUGUAAUGCAUUGAGUUUCUUAUCUUCAGACUCGAGUGAUCUUAUUAACAUAGAUUGUUCAUGGCUCUGCCAUGAGGACACUCUUAAAUUAAAGUUCAAUCUGAUAAAUAGGAGUGUAUGGGUUGAAAUCUUCCAACCUUAAUGUUAUGUGGGCAUCAGUGGGUCAAAUCAUAUGAAACCAAGAGGUCAAAGGUUCAAAUGCUGUUGGGGUCACCUAGCUAGGAACACGACGAAUAAUGGUUUCUGCUUAGAAGUAGUUACGGUUUUGAACAUUGUAUGCUUGUUGAGGGUUUUAUGGAUUACCAAAAGAAUAAUGGGCAACAUAGUAGUAGAAAGCUCGGAAGAAUGAAUAAAUUUUGGUUCACAUCAUGGAAAUUUUUAAGAUUCUUGUUCGGUUUGUGGUUGAAGGUGUGUUUGAGAGAGGGAAUGGGGUGGAUCCUCUAUGGUGAUUAUGAUAUAUCCUCUAUGGUCUUAUAUGUUUGAUAUUUUUCCGCAUUAUUGUUCAAUUUCAAUGCUGUUAUUGACAUGUGUUUUCUUUUGGCUGUCUUUACAACAUAUACCUUUCUAAUUUAUAUUUUUUUUUUCAGUUGUUAUAUUCACUUCAAUUAUUAUUUUCUUUGUUUAUUCAGUCACAUAUUAUUACUGAUUAUGAUUGUGUAUUUAUAGUGUAUCAAGUAAAUUGUAAUGAUUCAUAUUCAACUUGUAGAUUGCCGGAAAAAGCUCUGUGGAUACUUGGAUGGCCUCUAUAAUGUAUACCGCACAGCAGUUAAUGGGGAAGGUAGUUUGAAAGUUUCUGCUGAGGACUCGUUGCAUCUAGUUGAAGCCUUAAGGUAAUUUUGUUGCACAAGGCCAAAAAUGACCACUGCUGCACAAGAUGGAAUUAAGUUCUGGAUAAAUGACUUGCUUAAUUUCUUUAAAUUUAUUUUUGCAGCAUGGUUAUUACAGAACUUCCUCAAGUUGAUGCUAAGAAGGCUCUUGAGAUGUUAUGCUUGCCCGUUGUUACGCCAUUACAGGUUAGUUCUGUUUCAAUCAGUUUUGUGAGCUUUAUUUUCUCAUUAAUGAUACAAUAGAUUUAUCAUCCGACAAGCAGGAAAUUAUCAAUCAAGGACCAGAAAUAUUGCAGAAGAAACAUCCUCGUGACUUAACCGUUCAUAUCGAUAGAUUCGCUUACAUUUUUAGGUAUAGUUCAGUUCUGUCUUAUACUGCUUCAACGUAUUAAAAUGUUCUGAAUCUACAACUGCACUCAAUUUUAGGUAUGUAAAUCAUCCUGAAGCAGUGGCAGAUGCAAUACAAAGGCUUUGGCCCAUAUUCAAAGCUAUAUUUGAUAUGUGAGUUUCGUAACCUUCUGGUAACUAGAAAAUCUUGAAUUCACAAUUGACUGUUGUCUAAUCUCACUUGAAUAUGUCCUGUGCAGUCGUGCUUGGGACAUGCGAACAAUGGAGUCUCUUUGUCGAGCUUGCAAAUAUGCUGUGAGUUAAAUUAAACUUGUUCGAAAUUUAGUAGUUAAAGUGCCUAAGUAUAGCUUUCUUCUAAAUUAGUUAGGUGAAUUUAUGAAUCUGAUCAUGAAGUAGUCUUGUACAUGGUUGCAUGGGAAAUUAAUAAUCAAAUUGACAUUUUGAUAGUGAUGCUAUAGAUCUGUGUGCUAAGUUUCCUAAUAAUUUCUCAAUUAUCUGUCUGUUGAGUUUUUUAUUCCCUCCAUUGUACAACUUCCUCAUGAGUGCUUUCAGUCUCCAUGCAUUAUGCUUUUAUGCCUUUCUCUGUUGUCUCUUUAUUCUGAUGUGUGAGAUUAUGAGCUUGCUACAACUUUGCAUGUCUGCGAAUUAAAUGUGAUUUACCAGAGUUCUAUUGCCUGUAAUGUCUUCUGCUGCAUACCUAUUCUUGUGUAUUACUGAUUCUCUAUAGUGAUGAUCUAGAUGUUGGUGUAUGUGAGUCAAAGGGUAAUUCUCCAACAGUAUGCAUGGCAGCUUUUACAGUUUUACAUAAUUUUCAGUCAAUGGGAAGUAGUCUGCCUUAUUAGGAUCUUCUCAGUUUGCCUAAUAAUAAAAUAUGGCCUGAAAGGAAUUUUUUUUUUUAAUUUAAUAAUAUCUUGGAACUACAUCCUCCCACUUUGGUUGAUUAUAAGAUACGAUUUCUGUGCCAAGUUGUUUGAAAUUUAAAGUUGGUAAAAUUUGCAGUUUUAAGGGAGGAUUGUUGCUAUUACAUGGUUCACAUGAACUGUAGUCACAAAUUUGUGUGUAUUAAGGUGGUAAUACUGGUUGAUGUUUUCAUUAGGUGAGAACUUCUAAAAGGUUUAUGGGCAUCACAAUAGGAGCCAUUCUGGAGGAGAUUCAAGGCUUAUAUCAACAACAUCAACAGCCAUGCUUCCUUUAUCUCUCCAGUGAAGUUAUAAAGGUGGUCUUCCCUCCUGAAGUAUUAGCAUUAAUAUUCUAAUUUCCUUUUCUAUUUUAAACUUGAGCAGUUGCAUAUUUUGGGUGGCAGAUAUUUGGUUCUGACCCGUCUUGUGCAAGUUACUUGCAUAAUUUGAUAGAAGCUCUUUUCAAGCGCACUACGUGUCUUCUCACUAGUAUUGAGGUGCGAGUUUAAUUUUAUAAAUGUUGUAUUGUCUUCUUUCCUGGAGUGGCCUCUAGUUCUCUUGCAACUUGAUAAUAAACCCUGCAGGAGUUCACUUCGAGACCAGAUGUUGCAGAUGAUUGUUUCUUGUUGGCAUCCAGAUGCAUUCGCUAUUGUCCUCAACUCUUUAUCCCAUCUUCUGUAUUUCCAUCCUUAGUAGAUUGCUCAAUGAUUGGGAUCACAGUACAGCAUAGGUUAGCUUCUCUCUCUCUCUCUCUCUCUCUCUCUCUCUUUCUCUUUGUGUGUGGUUACUUAUAUUGAGCAGCAUAAGAUUUUUUUGAAUUUGUGGAUAGAUGUGAUGGUUUGGAUCAUUUUGUGUACACAUAAAUGUUGUUUAUUAACAAGCAAGGAGGAAGAGUUAAAAAUGACCAUAAAAAAAUAAAUGCAUUAGUCCAUUAUAUAUUUUGCUUGGCAAUCAAGUUAGUUUGGUGUUUACUUGAGUAUCAAAGGACAUUAGCAACAAUAAAAAUGGAAUAAUAUGUUAAGAAAUGAUUUGAUAACAUAAUUAUAUAGUUCAGCCUCUGAAUAAAGUUGGAUUGGAAAUCUAAAAACAUCAGUAUCUGUGACUUCAGCACAUUUUAAUUAUUUACUUUGGACACAGAAACACUGUGGCAUAGCAGCAUAUGCACAUUGCAUUGUGCUCACAGACCUUAUUGCUUAUCUAAUUGCAUAUGAUAUGCAACACAUGGCUGCUUGCACAAGGUUUAGCUAUAGUGCAUCUGUGUCCUAUGGGUUGUUUUCUCCAAUCUUCCCAUUUAUAUAUUUUAUUUUUCCUUCUUCUGUGGUCUUCAUUAAUUAUUUGGUUCUUAUUUGCCUUACAAGCACAAUAGAGAGUUAAUGUGGUACAUUUUGUUUAAGUUUUCUGUUUUUUCUUUUUCUUUUUUAUUCUCAUUUGUUUGCAGAGAAGCUUCCAAUUCCAUAUUGACAUUCUUGUCCGAUAUCUUUGAUCUUGCAAAAUCUUGCAAAGGAGAAGAAUUCUUAUCUGUAAGGGAUAGUGUCAUUAUUCCUCGAGGUGCUAGCAUAACCAGAAUUUUAAUUGCCUCCUUAACAGGAGCACUCCCAAGUUCUCGACUAGAAACGGUAGGUCCUAUUUGUCCUCACUCCUAAGACAUUAUUGAAAUGUGCGUGGUUAACAUGGUGAAUUACUACCAUUUUUUUUUUUUUUCUCCCGGCUUGUAUAAGAUUGGAUUUUCAUGGAUUGUUCUUACACAGGUAACUUAUGCACUGCUAGCUCUAACUCGGGCAUAUGGUGUGCGAUCGUUAGAGUGGGCCAAGGAGAGUGUUUCAUUGAUCCCAUUGACAGCAUUAGCAGAAGUUGAACGAUCAAGAUUUUUACAGGCAUUGUCGGAGGCAGCAUCUGGAGUUGAUGUCAAUGCCGCGAUGGCUCCCGUUGAAGAGUUGUCUGAUGUUUGUCGCCGUAAUAGAACGGUUCAAGAGAUUGUCCAAGGAGCAUUGAAACCGCUUGAAUUGAAUAGGGUCCCUGUAUUAUAGUGGAAAAACAAGGAAGGGGCUGUUUUGCUAAGGCCCUGUCAGUUAUAUGAACUACUUUGUUUGUGUAUUAAUUAUAGUUAUUGGUAGUUGUGCAUCAAUUUUCAUUCUCCAAUUUUUUCUUAGGAGAAUCUUGGCGUAUGUAUUGGGUGGGACUUGGGGAGAGAAUUAGGUGAUUGUUGUAUCUUCAUUGUCCGAGUGAUUUCUACUACUGCAUUGGCUUCAAUUCUUUUUGGGGUAAAUUUUCAGGUAUAGAUGUGUAAUUUUCGUUUGUAAUGGAAAAGUAUUAUUUUUUUAUUUUUCUUUUUCAAUGUGGUUCACGGCUUUCACUUCUUUGUUUAUACAUAUAACUUUAGUCAGGGAAGCUCGCGAACAGUGAUCGAAACUCGAAACAAUUGUUUCACAUCUUGAAAAUCAAAUUCAAAACCGUCAACAAAGGGGGUGUUCGGUAUGCCUCGUUACAUGAGGUGCAUUGCUAAUCAUGCUUGGAGUGCCAAGUUGUAUUAUAACGCACCCUAAAAGUCAGGUUAACUAAUAUAGUAGUUGCCUCAUUAGCUUGUCUUUAAAAAAAAAAAAAAUCUUUCAAUUUUUUUUUUGUAAUAAUAAUAAAUAAAUAUAAUUUUUUAAUUUAAUAUAAUAUAAUUUUUAUUUUUACAUUAUAAUUAUUAAUAAAAAUUAAUAAAUUUAUUAUUCAAUAAUAUUAUAUUUUAAUUAUAUUUUUAUUUUUAUUAUAUUAAAAACUUAAAUAAAUAAUAAAUUAUUCAAUCGUAUUAUAAUAAUUAAUAUUUUAAAAAUAAUAAUAUUAAUAAUAUUACAUUAUUUGAUUAUAUUACUAUAAUUAAUAUAUAAACACUUAUUAUUUUUAAAAUUUCAGUAAUAAGUAUUUAAAUUUGAAUAAAUUUGGAUAAUGAUAGUUGAAAAUUAAUAAUAUAAAUGAUUACUAGAUAAUUUAGCACAAUUUAUUUUGUUAGUGAAUAUGUUACAACAAAUUGUAUCACUUUAUUAUUUUGUAAUUAUCUUGUGGCAUAUAUAAACUUUUAUUCUAUCAUCCUAAGAUGAUUUUUGAACUAAUCUUGUAGAUUUUAAAUAUUUAUUUAUGUUAUUAUAUUAUUUAGAGAUUAUUUUAUUAAAUUAUUUGUUUUGAUCUUUAUUUUACAUGUUAUAUAUUUAGAAAAUACUGAAAAAUAAAUGUUAUAUUUCUAAAAAUUUGAGACUAUAAGUUUCAAUCUUUAUGAAAAUUUAUAAUAUUUUUUAAUUUUUUUAUUCAAAACUUUUGAAUUUUUAAAAUUUAAGACUUUUAUAUAUAGCAUUUUUCUAAGCGAUGAAUAUUAUUUUAUAAAUAUAUAAUUUAAAUUAAUCAUAAAAAAAAUAAUAUAAUAGAAUCUAUCACCAAAUAUUAUACAGUAUUAUAAUAACCAAUAUUAAAAUAAUAUAAUAUAACACAAUAUAACGUGGCAAAUGUAUCCAAAACUAAAGAGUUUGGCCUUGAAUAUUUCACGGUUAUAUAGUGCGUUUCAUUCACGAACAUCACAGUUCGCGUAGGAGAAUAGUCAACAUCCCCACGUUGUGUUCAAUGAAUUCUCCUUCCCUUCGAUCUAUCUGCAUAGCGUUCAUUCACCAGACUCCAAUAAUGGACACUAAUUUUUUUUUUUUUUUUGAGAAGAAUAAUGGCUACUAUUUAGUUGUCCGUCACCCUUAUCCAACCUUCUAUAUAUAUAUAUAUAUAUAUAUAUAUAUAUACACACACACGCAAAUGUAUAUAUUUCUGCAAUUAUAUAAUUAUUUUUAAUAAAAUUAUAUUUUAUUAAAAUAUAAAUUAUAAUAUUAAAAAAAUAUAAAUUAUAAUAUAAUAAUAAAUAAAUAAAAUAUUUUUUUUUUACUUUAAUGACACCUUUAUUUAAAUAUUUUAAUAAAGUGGCAAUGAACUCACUAUUAUCAAUAGGACUCGACUAGCUUACAGAAUCUGUAAGGUACAGACUGCAGCAUCAGCCGUUGGAUGUGGUUGGAUGUGGAGUGAGAAACUGAACAAUAGAAAAUCGGAUGGUGGGAUGACGGGAGAUGUUUGUUACAGAAUCUGUACCAUAGACAGGUCCUUAUCAAUAAAGGACCCUAUUAGGCUAUUAUGUUUCACUUUCUGCGUCUGUCUCUCUCUCUCUCUCUCUCUGAUCACAAAUCAACCCCCUUCUCCGUUGUUCUGAAAUGUAAUCUCUGCUCCUCCAGCCUGCCUCGUUUGGCUGGCUCCGUCCUUGUUCUAACUUGGAAUAAAUAAAUAAAUAAAAAGGGAGUAAAAGGCGGAUUUCUCAUCUUUCUUCAACCUACGGAGCAAAAACAUGGUGUCCACGUCACAGAAAAACCUUCACUCACUAUUAACAACGAAACUGAAAAAGCUAACCAUCACUCCACCCUCCGCUUCUUCCCCAGACUUCGACUUCACCGAAGUCUUCGGACCCUUAACGCCCUGCCGCCGCAACAACCAAUCACCUGCAUCCACGUCAGCCUCUUUGGGUGACCCGCAGGUGAUCCACAACCGCUCCCACUCUUUCGUGGGUCCCUCCCCUCGUUACGCCCUCUCCUCCUCCCUUCGUCUCCAAAUCCAAGAACUCGAACACGAAAACGAUGCCGAAUUGGAAGCUGAAAGUGAGAGAAAGAUCGGGCCGGGUGAUUUUGAGAUAUUGAGGGUUGUGGGACAGGGCGCGUUUGGUAAAGUGUUUCAAGUGAAGAAGAAAGGAGUCGAUGAUGGCGAUAGUGAUGGGAUUUAUGCAAUGAAAGUUAUGAGAAAAGAUACGAUUAUAAAGAAGAAUCAUGUGGAUUACAUGAAAGCUGAAAGGGAUAUCCUCACCAAAGUCACCCAUCCUUUUAUUGUCCAGCUCCGCUACUCUUUCCAGGUGAUUGAUGCUUUUAUUCAAAAAAGUUGACUUACAAAGGAGUCCUUAAUUUUAAUUUUUUUUUUUUUUGGCUGGUUGACUUUGCAGACGAGGUCUAAGCUGUAUUUGAUAUUGGACUUUAUAAAUGGAGGGCAUCUCUUCUUUCAUCUGUAUCGGCAAGGAAUCUUCCGGUAUCGUUCUCUGCUUGUUUUUCAAGUUUUGGAAAUUUAUGCACUUUCAACGAUGAGUUGAGUCGAGUCCCGUCCCACUGUUACGUAUUAUUCAUUUACUAGAGAGUGAAUUUAUAAUUGAUAAAAUUAAUAUUCUGCCGUCCAAUAACUAAAUGCCACGUCAGUAGAGACUCAAAUUAAGACUCUUAACUGUUAGAAUACUACUCUUUUAGUUUCAGGGGAAAAAAGAAAAAAGAAAAAUGUUUUUGACUUUGGUUUCUUGGAUUGAGUAGUGAGGAUCAGGCAAGGUUUUAUACUGCUGAGAUAGUAUCUGCGGUUUCACAUCUUCACAAGUGCGGGAUCGUGCACCGGGAUCUUAAACCAGAAAAUAUACUCAUGGAUUCUGAUGGGCAUGUAAUGGCAGCACAUUCACUCAAUUCACAAAAUCAAUUAUGUUGUUUUUUCUUUUUUCUUUUUUUCUUUUGUGGGGGGUGGGUGUUUAAUUUCUAAAUGUGAUACUCGUUUUGUUUUACAGGUUAUGCUAACUGAUUUCGGACUUGCAAAGGAAAUUGACGAAUCAAGUAGAUCAAAUUCAAUGUGUGGAACCACAGAAUACAUGGCUCCUGAAAUUUUACUUUCAAAAGGCCACAACAAAGAUGCAGACUGGUGGAGUGUUGGAGUACUCCUGUAUGAAAUGUUGACGGGGCAGGUAAUACCAUCGCCAAUAUCAAAUCAAUGCAAGUAUUAAUUAUAAUGGAUGAUAGCUUGCAAUACAAUGCUUUUAUUUUAUUUAAUUAUUUUUCACUGUUUGUUCGUGAAUAGUUUAGAACUGCUUUCUCAUUUCCCAGAAAAUUGCCCUGCUUCCCAUUGAAAUUAAAAUAGCAAAAUUGUUGAGGAAACUCAGGAUGCCAAUAUUUCAGUUUUUUUUCCCCCCAAAUUUUAUGUUUCCAUUUGCCUCCUGCAGCCACCGUUUACACAUGCAAAUAGACAGAAGCUUCAACAGAGAAUUAUUAAUGAGAAAGUGAAACUUCCACCUUUUCUUACCAGUGAAGCUCACUCUUUGCUUAAAGGAGUAAGCUUUCUAACACAGGUUUAUUAGUUUUUCUUUCUUUUUUUAUUUUUCCAAAUUAAUGGCUGUAUCAAUGGAUAAUUCUUUUAUUUCAGUUGCUGCACAAGGACCCAUCUAAAAGGUUAGGUAGCGGGCCUGGUGGAGUGGACACCAUCAAACACCACAAAUGGUUUCGAUCAAUCAACUGGAAGACGUUGGAGGCCAGAGAAAUGCAGCCAAAAUUCAAGCCAGAUGUGAGUGGAAAAGACUGUAUAGCCAAUUUCGACAAGUGCUGGACAACAAUGCCGGCAGAUGAUUCACCGGCUCCCACACCGACAGCAGGUGAGCAUUUCAAAGGGUACACUUAUGUGGCGCCUAACCCUUGGCUUUCAUCAGUGUGAAUUAAAAGGUUCCAACCCGAAAAGGGGGGAAAAUAAAAAAGGCGAAUGAUGAGGAAUGCACCUGUCCAUAACUCCUUGAUAGUUCUUUCUUAUUUUUCAACUAGAAUAUGAUGUCUACACUUGUUGUAUAUUGUAUUGUAUUCUUGUAAGAAUAGCAUGGAUUUUCAAUCAAGCCUCUAGCCAAUAUAUAGAAAUGUUCGAAUGUUUUCGUUUGGUAAAUUGGAUUACAUCGAUUCAUGAUUUCUAUCAACUUUUAAGCCAGUUAGACCUCAGCAUGGUUGCAGAAGUUGAAAAAAGCUUCUCAUGACAAUACCUUUCUUUUAUCUGUUUUUCCAUUUUGGCUUCAUAAGUAGAUUGAAGACCGAUGGCCUCGCAAUUCUAUUUUAUCUGACUAUUUUACUGUCAUUUAGUUGUCCUGCACCCUUGGACUUCCUUAAGAAGGAGAUCAGUAAUUACAGAUCAUAUUUUCAAUUUGUUUUCUUUGGCAAACUGUGUUUGAAAUAUGCAGUGUUAUAACUGAAAAGUAUUAGUUUGAGCACUUUAUAGUGUUGAAAAUAAGAGAAGCCUUACAAUUGCCCUUAUUCUCAACCCUAUUCUGUAGUCAUGUAUGGCAAUCUUCGUCUGAGAAGCCAAAAGUUGUUUGUAAAAUUUAACCUUGAAUUUCUUGCGAGUGAGAGGCAAAGCAAACAAUAUGGGGAUAUGGCAAAUUGGCAAUUACAAGUUUACUACUUGAGUGUGGCAUCGGUUGAAAACAAGAUGGGGGAAGUUUUCUGAAAUCGCUUGGUUAUGGGAAAAAAAAUUACCAAAUCGAAUGAGAAAGUGGGCACUGGAAUUUUGAUUGUCGCAGCCAGAUAAAGAGCUAUGGUUAAGUCCGUAUCCUGCGGAGAAUUUCAAACUGAAGAAAUAAGUCAUGGAAACCUGAGUUUUUCGAUUAUCACAAACAAUGAUAUAAUUUGUAACUAUUUUUGUGGGGUAUUUUUCAGAUACCUCCCCUUAUAUGGAUUUUUCAGGCAUAACCCCAAAGUUAAAACUGAGUCUGUGGUGGUACUUGCAAUUCAUGGCUAUACCGAGUUGGUACUUUUGGAAAGAAAUAAAAGUUGGAGAAAUUCUGAUUCUCUUCAGAGCUACAUCAUGAAUGUGACGCACAAGCUGUGACGAUUAGUGAAGAGAAGCCUUUAGGAAAGUACAAAAAGGAAACUAGAGUAGAAGAAUCUUGUUCCUUCCACAUGGAAGGAAACAAGCUACAAACCAUACUAGUCUAUGCUAAUUACAAACUUCAGAAUCAAGCUUCUUCUUCCAUGUGUAUUGCCUUAAUCAUUGUGUAUACGAGUGUGCUGGGCAUCUGGAGGAAAAUAUGUAUGAAAACGCCAUUUGCACUCUACUUGUCAAGAGCUAGAUAUUAGGGAGGAUUGAUUCUUCCUGAGAUCUCUUACAUUUAGAUGUCAGCCUUUAUGAAAAGUACCUUCAUACAUUGCUUCAACGGCAAGUAUCACAAGCUUAUAUAUAACACACCCAGUUGAUCAUUACAUUUAGUCUUCAAUCAAAGUUUUCCUUUUGUUCUUGAGUAGCCAUGAAUAGUAAGGAUAGAAGCAACAAAUCCCUUCGUGAGAACUCAGUGAAGGUGGUGGCAAACAUCGUUAAAUCGUCAGCUUUCUCUAUUGCCAAGAUGAGUCUAGGAGCUCCUGCAGCUGCCAAAACCGCUGGACCGAAUAAAGACCCAGUCAACUUUAUUAUAAAACCCCCGUACCGGUCAGAAAAACCAAAGAGCAGCUCAAAUCCUGUUUCAUUCUUGAUGGAGCCAAAUGAAGGGAAUGAGUCUUCAUAUGUGGUUCAUGAGGGAAAAAGUGUUAUUGAUGGUAUGGCUUCUGCCUACAUCCGGAAGGUGCAUCAGAAGAAUCAUAGUGAUUUGUCUGAGUCAUCAAACCUUCGACAAUAUAUACUGCCGCCUCCUCCUCGUGCAGCAGCGAUACAGUCGUCUAAUUACUAAUUGAUCUUUGUUAUGCAUCAAAUUUUAGUUGUUAAUCCAUGCCGGUCGGUUAGUAUAAACCGAUAAAUAAAACAAAAUAUUUUGCUUGCUUAAUCAACUUGAUGAUGGUUUCUGAUUUGUAUUUACUGUUUAUCUUAUCUUAGGAAGGGUAAGUUACGAUCUUUAGAAUUUGGUUUCUUUGUAUAUAUAUAUUCCUGUCUAAUGUGUUUGAUAAGUCAUGCUUGGCACAACGCUUGAGUACCUGUAAAAUAAUUUCCUCCUGUUUUUAUUGCUGUCAUAUUGUUGGGACGCCAGUUGUUUGUAGUUCAAUUGUCAUAUCAUUAAUCAUUGAAAGACUUAACACACAUCACAUCUUUAUCCGGGAUCAGCUUAUUUAAUACAUCUUGUAAGAUUCUGAAAUGAUUUUCUCUUGUGCAUUUAAAACUGUCUUGAGUGCACUUUUUUCCAGCUCAAUUUGGACACGGACCUUGGGAAUCUGGCUUUCUCUGUCUCCUAUUGUUUUUAACUGAAAAAACAACUUUUUAUGGUCUAUCUAAGACAUAAAAUCUCAUGUACACAGAGAAGAUGAUAAGGUGGACGGGGAGAGAAUCUGUUUAAUAGAAAUCAUAGCAGAAUAAUUGGAGUACUAACUAGAAAACAUUGGAACAGACGGAGUAAAGCAAGCAGGAAGAAUAAUUGUCCUAAUCUUCUUUCUUUAAUCCCCAACUGAUUAAAAAUGUUGACAGCUCACAGUAGCUUGGGAAUCUUGUAUUUCAUGAUGAAGCAAACAUUGUCAAAAGGGGAAUCAUUAAAGUCUAUAACCAGGCAUUUUCUUUCCGUGUGAACUAGGUCGGUCAUCUUCGUAAGCUGUAACAGAACUCGGUGGAGCUUGAGCAUCUUAAAAGUGCCUUUCUAAAAUGUUCCAAGUGAAAUUUGAGUUCUUUUUCUUUCUUUUUUUUUCUUUUUUUUGAAAGCCACUCAACAAAUUUCUUGAUUUUCAACUACUGUAGAGGAUCUUUAUCAGGUCCCAGCUAUGAGGCAACAUCCUCUCCACUUGAUGCAAAGGCAGAUAGCAGAGAUAUGGCUAGAUUCUCUCUACAGAUCCUCAACAGGACAAAUACUAGGCGCCUACCGGCAACAAAGAAAAUUUGAUGCCUUCUGCUUUAAUAAAGAAGGUUCCUGCACUACACAUCUCUUAUCUGGAAAACAAUUUCAGUCGUAUCAUCCCUUUGCUCAAUUGAAAGUAGUCCAGCUCUACAUUUCAUGGACAACAGAAGCAUCUGCUACAUCCCACAACAAUUGCUUUAACAAAAUCCAUUUUUGGGUACUUAUCUGUAAUUCUGUGCAGUUUGAUAUAACGCCUGGACUCCCCAAUGAAAACCUCCAAGUUCUUUCUUUUUUAAUUAUCCCUUAGUUUUUCAUUGUUGACUUCCCAAAUUUUACGGUAGUGUGCACAUUUUAUCACAAGUUAGGAAAUUGGAGACAAGAAUGAAAAUUAAAAAUGUUUUAACACAAAAGUUUUGAAAACUGGAUAUUUUUCAAUAGACAGUGAGCUUAAAAACGUUUUACUGACAAAAAUCAGAACUUACAGAUAGGAAGUUUCAUAGUGGGUUCAUGCAUUUUCGUUUAACAAUCUUCAAAACCAUCUUCCAACUUUGAAUGGGAAAUCUCCUCUUCAACCUUCAAAAUUUGGACCGAAUUAAUAUAAUUAAUAUCCUCCCUAAAACUAAAGUUGCUCGGACACUCAACUUCAAGAAAGCCAGGCUAACCUUUCCAAGAAAUUUUGGUUUCAUUUUCUACACAUCCUGCAUCCAUUGCACUUUCGUGGCAGCCGGUAGGGCUACCUUUGGACUUCGGUUGCCCCCAAGGAAAAGGAACGCAAACAAUCAAAUUUUGUCAAGACUAAGUAAGAGACUAAUACUAUGUGCAACUUCUCAAGCAUUUCUUCUUCUCCGAUAUUCUCAACUAAACUGGGAAAUUUUUGCAAAUUUUCCAUAUGUACUAGCUCUCAAGUAAGUUUUUCAUUUGAGGCAAGUAAAAUCCAGACUAAAUAUUAUUGCUCUUUCUCUUGUUUAAUAUUGUUGCUCUCUCUCUCUGUUUCUUUCAAGCAAAUUCAGAAAAUUAUUUAAUUCGUUUCCUUGAAACUAAAUUGUAAACAAGCAGAGUAGGCCCCGUUCCAGCAACCACCAUGGAAAGUUCAAGCUCAACUUAAGCAAGCAUUAGACCACAACAACAGGCUGCACACAAUUCUCCAGCUUUUCCCAACUUUUCAACUGUCUUGGCAACUUAGAUGUUCAAUUAACAAUACCCAGGAGACAUAACAUAAUUUAGUUCAUAAUCUUUGUUAAUUUGAGAACCGUUACAUAUACUAAACAUAAAGGAAGCACCACCAUCACUUAUACCGCUACAUGUAUAUGAAGAUCAAGCGUGCAAGUGAAUUAUUAGUUUAAUAGGAAGCCAAAUAGACAAAAACGAUAAUUCCCAACGGCAGCGGAAAUAGCAUAGCAUUGAUAGCAAUACUCUCAGUCAAUUAGGGGGACCUAAAAUGACAUGACACCAUCAUCUGUCUGUCCAAUUAAAGACCAGUCAAGACAUAGAUGCAAACCCACCACACAAAUGACAACUACUUUAACUAUUUAGAUUAAUACUGUCAAUACAAAGAUAAGGCAUCUGGCACAUGCCCCCACAUUCCACCACUCAUUUAAAGACAAUAAUAUCCAUAUCCACAAUCCUCAGCCGCUGAUCAGAACCAUAUUCAAUACACAUUCAUUCACACAACAACGAUUUCACAAUCUGCCCAUCGCAUUCACAUGAAAAGAGGAAAUUAAAAUGCUUCCCUACCAUUUACACGCAACUUGAUAUUUUUCUUCAUAAAGCUAAUGAAAACCACUAUAUUUUCAUAACCAUAGGGAAGGGGUUAUUUUUUAGUUACUAUUAAUUAUGAUGGCAAGCAGACAAAUUAGCGAGAAUUCAAGAUAGUACCAUAAAACAACAAAUACAACAGGACAUGAUCGUUCUAUUUCCCAGUCUGUACAAUAAAAACAAACUAACAAAAGGACCAAAUUCAGUGACCUAAUUAUCUUAUCUUCUCCUCUAAUUGUGCACCUUCUUUUCAAUUGUUAAUCCCUUCACCUCAACUCAAGCAACACUGAUGAUGCUAUUGCUAUCCCCAUUAUUGAAGGUUUGCAUCACCUGAAAAGCUGAAUGCCUUGAUGAUGAUUCCCUUUGAGACAAUGGCGGUGGAUCGACAGCUAAAUUCAAAUUUAAGUUAAGAUCAGACACUGUUGAUGAUGGUUGAGCUGCUGGAAGAACAGGAACAGGAACAGGACGGAUGAGCCUUGUUGCCUCGCCCGCAGUCCGUUGACUAUUUUGCCCCAGCGUCAGGUUUUCCAUUGGAUUCUCAAUUGGAACCGGUAACACUACUGGCAAAGCUGGCAUCAUAGAAAAUCCACCACUUUUGUUGCUGGUUUCAGCCGGAGUAGGCGGCAAUAAUGGAUAUGACUGAGAAGGGUUGUGGUCUUGGUGAUCAACUAGCUCUUCUUCCAUUGGAGUAGCUGCAACCUGCACACGGUUUAAAAAAAAAAUGAUUAACUUCUUCACUGUUGCUGACUAAAAGAAAAGUAAAAAACAAAGAUACAAAAGCUUAAAAUUUUGAGCUUUCAUGAAUUUUUAGGACCUGAGUAACUAAACACCCUGUUUGAUUUAGAAUCCAAAUACAAGUCUCUAUCAAAAAUCUUAGGAAAAUCGGAUUAAGUUUCGGUUUCAAGCAACAGUUUUCCCAUGAUUUUUAACUGCUACUUCAAAACCUAAAAAUAAUUUAUACCCAAAAUUCUAUAUCCUAAAUAAUUUCCUAAAAAAUCAACCAACCGAACACCUAAUAAAAGAAAUUGUUUUACAGGAUCCAAAAGAACAACUUCAUCUUCAUUCUUUCAGACUUAAAACUAAUAUUUUAAAACAAAUUUAAAAAAUUUACCCCAAAAAAAAAAUGAAAAGAGUUUCGUUGACUUGAUUCAAGUAGACUAAUAUUGAGAUUUAAUAAAUCAAAGGAUUCAAAGCAACAGAAAUAGAGAAAAACGAAAGAAAGAAAUGAUACCGAAUCAGUAGUAAUAUCAAAGAGGCUAGAUCGGCGGCGGCGGCGGUUGAGAUUGCUCCGGCGAAGAAAAUAUUUCUGCGCAUGACUGGCCACCUGCGUCGGCGUCCUCGUCUUGACGAAGUUUCUAGAAAUCCCUCUCCAAUCUCCUUUCCCCACCUUCUGCAGUCCCAACAAAAACAACUUGUGCUCCUCCUCCGUCCACGGCACCCCUAAACAAAUUAAAAAGGACAAAUUAUUCUAUUUUUCCACUAAAUGAAAUAUAAUGAAAUCUUAAAUCUUAUGAUUGUUGAUGUUAGAAAUCACAGAGAUCUGAAUCGAACCUCGCUUCCGCUCGCGACUAGCUCUGGAGGAGUUGUUGUGAACGGCAUCAUCAGCGGAGGCGUAACCAGCAGCCGCCACGUCAUCCUUGUUGUUGUUGUUGUUGUUGUUGUUGUUGUUGUUACAGUGACUGCUGUUGUCCUGAGGCUGUUCAUACUGAGACAAAUUAUUCAAACUGACACUCUUUCUCAUGGAAUCCACAACCACUCUGACACCGAACAGCAUAAUCUCGCCACCACCGCCGUUGACGGCGGAUGAAUCGCCCGUUCCCGACAUUACUCCGAUGACUCAAUUGUGAGAUGAGAGGAAAUAAGUGACAACUAUUAAUUGGAAUGGGAUGAAAUGAGGGCCAUUUGAGGUUGUUUCUUACUUUUAUAGCGUCGGAAGGCAGAAAUGGAAACUGAACUGGACGCAUGUGGGUAAAGUUGGUUGUUACGUGGCAUUAUUGUAUUCGCUUAUCUUCCUUUGUUAUUCUAUGUGCCGUCUAUUUUUAUGGGCGAUGUUAAGUUACGUAAUAAUUUAAGUCACAUUGAUUUGAGAAUUUUAUUUCUGAUUCUACGACUCAUGCCCGUAGAGAACCACCAUAACGCCAGUAAUUGAAAUGUGUAUUUUUCUUUUUUUCUUUUUUUUUCGCAACUUUAGGUUUGAGUUAUAUAUCUCAUAGGUAUGAAAUUUGAAGUACGAUGAUGAUUGCAAAAAUUUGUAAAUUAAUAAAAUUUCUUCUCUAUUUUUUUGGAAGCAUCCGCAUAUUAUUUUGUUUUAAAAAUUGAUUUUCAAAUUAUACUUGUUAUCAUUAUAACGAGCAUAGGGGGUGACAAGCGAUGAGUAAUAAUGUCAAAUCUAAAUCAUAUUUGGUUGAAACUUUAGAAUUAAAGAUGCUAAAAAUUAAUUAAUUGACUUUUGGUUUAGUAGGAGAGUUUUUACACUCCGAUUGAUGAAUUAGUGAGGGUGAGUAGAGUGGACAUUCUUUUAUCAAUAAAUUAAUGAGGGUCAUGAAAUAUGAACAGAGUAGGUGCAUCUUGAUUAAGAGGAAAAUGGACAGUACUCGAAUAAUAAUAAGGGUAAAAAGUCUGGGUAAAUCUUGUACUACUACCAAUAAUAAUUGUGUGUAUCAGGUUAUUGGACCAAACGAUGUCCCCUCUGUUUGGUGGAUAUAAUAUUAUAUUUGUAUUUGGAUGGGCUACGAUUCAUUUGGUUGCUACUUUUAACGGUAGAAAGGACAGUGCACAUGGAAGUGCUGCAAGCAUUUCCCGGAAAACAAUAUCUUAUCCUAUCUCUUAUCCUUUCUAAUCUACAUCAAUUUAGUCAACAAGUUUGCCCCCAUCCCAACUUGGCUAUAAACUAUUACCAUAAUCACGUGAAUAAGUACUUCUUAUGGUAUUAAUUAUAAUAAAUCAAACCCCCUUGUAUUCAAUUAAUCAAUUAUUUUGAGGUAGAAACUUGAACAAACUUUGAGACACUUAUUUUAACAAUUGUACAAACUCGAUUAGUAUGAUCUGAUGUAGCUUGUAUAUGAUUAUGUCAAUACCAACAUUUACCCCUCUAUUUGGUUAUUAGACCCUAAAAUGUAAGGGAUAUUAUGGUUAGCAGUUUAUAUGCAACACAUAAUCAUGCAACUUCAUGAAUAUAGGAUAGGAAAAUGGACCAAGGGCAUGGAAUAUUCUCUUAAAAGAGAAAGAGGAAGAGGAAGAGAAAAAGAAAGAGAAGAUAAUUUAAUGCUUAAAAUGAGAACAUGGGUCCUUUUUAUUUGAUCACCAUUGAUGGUGGGGUGCAUCUGAAAGAAUAAGCCAAGAUAAGGUUUUUGUGGGGUUCCACUUCCACCAUUUCCAUUCCAUCAAACAUCAGAUCAUCUUCUCUAUCUCGGACUUCUUCUUUUUUUUCUUUUUUUUCCCCCCCAAUCCUCUCUUUAACCCCAUUUGACCUAACAUUUUAUAUAGAAAAAUCUUCACACUACACUAGUCACAACCACUAGUAGUACCCCUUCUCCUCACCAUAUGUUGGAGGCCAGGCCUUAUGUUUUGUGUCAUAGCUUUUAAGUCACAAGGUCUCCUCCUUCAUCUUUGUGUUACAAGUUUCAACUUCCAAUUGUUGCAAAGUUGUAUUAAGGAAGACUAAUGACAACGUGCAUAGUAAAAACUCAGAAAUUUGAGAGGAGUUUAAAGUAAAAUAAAACCCUAAUGAGAUAUGGCACUUUGUUUUGUUUAGAAAUUAGAAGAAAAGUGAUUGUCAACUUUUUGAUAAAACUGAGUGGAAGAUACAUACAAGGUUAUCUUUGUUUUAUGACUUUUUUUUUUUUGGGUUGGAUGGGAGUAUCUUGAUUUUUGAGGGUUAAAUAUUUGCUUUGCUUGGUGCUUUUGCAAUUCGUACACGUGAUAUGAUUUUACUUCUCCUUUUUCUUGUCCAUUGAAUGAAUCCGCAAUGUCUUUUCCGCACUACGGCUUUUCUUAGUGACAAAGAAAUAGCCCUCCAACACAAAUUCAGCCAUCAUGCUUACAAUGCAUUUUAGCUUUUUUUUUUUUUUAAUACUGAUUAAUCAUCAGAUUACUAUAUUACAUAAAUAUUUAUAACAAUUGCUAUUAUAGUAGAGAUAUUACACUGAUAUUUAUAAUCAGAUAUACAUGAUUGGGACUUACAUUAUUACAUAUAAUUCUAUGAAGUACAUGCCCAGACAAAUAACCCUUCACAGGAGAGAGAUGUCCAUACUCCACUUGUAUUUCGCAAGAGAGAAUGAUUUUUAAAUAUAAAGAACAUUUAGCCCCCACAAUGCUUUUGUGGGGGCUAGAACCGCUGCCCUCACAAGCAAGCCCACCACUUCGACCAAGGCCAAAGUGGCAUGCAUUUUAGCGUUAGAAAUUAGAAUAAGCGGUCUUCUUAAAUUAUAGUUUAUGUAUUUUUCAGUCAAACAAAAUUCAUUCACCAAUCUACUUAAUUCUAAUGUUACUGUUACUUAUUUUUCACAUUAUUUAAUUUAGAUAAAUGUAACUUAGGCAAAACUGAGUGAGACUAAGAGGAUCAAACGGGGCCAAUAUAAUUUCAGGCUCCAGCUGCGUUGCCACAGUUAUAUUUUACCACACUUCUUGUCUUUAUUUCUCAUUUUUUGUUGAAUAAUUCCAUGUUUAAUCUAAGGAAUGAAAUCAUUUAGGUCAGCGACCAGCAUUAGCAACCAUUUCUUUGCCGAUAUCAUUAGCUUUUUUGGACUAAUCAUGUCUGCUCUUGUUAGUUAGUGGAGAAAGAUGCUGCGGAUUGUGUGGAAGAUGGCAAAGGGAUUGGAUUUGGAAAAAUAGUUAUUGGAUCUCAAAAGCUUAUUCAGCUAACCCAACUCCACACACACUUACAGCUACUGUUACCCCUUUUGUUUUUAAUAAAUUCGAAGAAGAGAGAGAGUUUCUAUAGCUUCACUGAGCCUAAGCUUCGACUGACUGCGUGCCCACAAUCAACUUUUGCUCAGACCCAGCGGCUAAGCAGGACUCAGUGACAGAACUGACGAGAAUGCAGCAAAGCUGGUGCAAUUGAUGAUUCCUUCUUCAACUACUAACUAUAUAGAUUGUUGAAAGUCUUUGAAAGAAGGCGGUGGUUUUAACUUAGUCUUUGGAUAUUGUUAAAAAAACAGGGGAGAAAAGUGCUUUUGGUCCAAUUCAUCGGCCAAAAAUCCAAAUUCCUCCUCAAACAGCUUCAACAGUUCUCUGAAAAUCAUUUCUACUGAUCACCAUUUUGUUGUUUCAUUGCCUUCUAAUUCACUAACAUCUCACACAAAGUUGUUUCUAUUAUGUAAAAUGUUGGUGAUUACCGUGUAGAUUUAUCUGACCUUAAGUUGUUAUUUUCAUCCGACCAGAGUGUUGUUACAUAUAUCACCACACUUUUGUUACAAGCGAGUUUAUCUUUUACUAGCCAACAUGUCCGGUUUACUUUUACACUAACGUGUCCAUCUCGUAGACAUCGGAUCACUUAGGUUUUAAACCAACGGUUACCUAGAAUAAAGACAGAGACUGCGGCACGUUACCGCCAUUGCAACACAGCUGGACCCACAAUUCAAGUGCAAUCUCAUUUUACUUUCUGAAAAUUAGAUCUGAUUGAGGGGAGCGUGCAUCCUUUAAUCCUUUUAAGAGAAAAAUGGAUGAAGAAAGUGGGUGAAUUCUGCUAAGCAUUGCAUGUGAUCACGGUAAAAAGUGUCCAACAAAAGGAGGAGCAAUAAGAGAAUAAAAAUUUGGAAGACAGCAUAGUAGAAGAAGACAUGAUAGCGCUUUCAUAUAAUUGUUGAAGAUGCUUUCUCUGUAUUAUCAAACCUUCCCCAUGUUAUCCAAAAGUCAUGGUUUCCAAAUUUAGUAAAAUGGGUGAUCCAUUAUUGUUGUGGAGAGCUUGUAUUAUUGGAUGCUUUUGUCUACCACUUCCGUUGGACAGCGAGCAUUAUGAUUUAAUUUGGGCUUUAGUGCCUGGAAGAAACAAUUUCUUUUUUCUUUCACGCAGUUUCCAUCCCAGGGCUGGCUAACCUAUGCUUCUAAUCAUGCUUGAUCAUUCUCAAAUGAAUGAUAUUAGAAUUUAAAAUUGAGGUGAAAGCAUCAUGAGAAUUUAAAUUUUUUAUUUUUUUUAAUUGAGAUUAGACAGUUGUAACUUAAAAUUAUAAAAAUAAAGUAUUUAAUAAAUAUUAAUUGUUAUAACUUAAAAGUUAAAUUAAUUUAAUUUUUAAUUUUACACUUGUAUAAUAAAAAAAUAUUAUAUCUUUUGUAAUUUUAUUAAAAUUUUUAUUUAAAAAUUGUAUCUAUUACAUAUUAUUAAUUUUUAUUUCUUAAUUAUAACUUCUUUUUUUACGGUGACUGUGAUUUAAAAGUUAUGUCACAUCAAUACCAAACUACACCUUAACAUAGGUAAUAGAUAAUAAAACUUCAUGUUCUUAAUAUUUGGGACGAGUGAACAUAUAAAAGCAUCAAUUUCAGAUCAUCGUGUAUCUGCAUAUCUUGAUAGAACUCAUUUUGUGUGAACAACAAAUCUUUCAACCUGUCUAAAAGAUCCUAAGCUAAGCAUCUUGCAUCUCUGCAUCAAGUAUAGACAUUCUUAUUUUUGCUUCAGAAAUCAUUAGGUGGAUGUACUCUAUCGCAUAUGACAUACAUUUUUGUGUAAAUAAGAAUGAUCUACAGCUACAAAAAAGCUAAUCCCCCUCGUCAUCCAAGAUCUCCACUGCUUUAUAAAGAGAUCAGAAAUAUCUUUUUCUCAAACCAAUAACAUUAAGCAAACAUGCAUCAGCUCACCACCAACCAUAAGAACAUUUUAAUCCCCCUGUGACAUUAUAAAUGGCUCCGGCUUUUUCAUGAGCAAAGACAUAAAACUCGAUAGAGACCAUGAAUCAUUGACUUUUCUCUAGUGGAAGCAUUGGAACAGUAAAUCAAGCCGCAGCAUUUCACCUUCUUUCAACUGUAACAGGGAGACGGAUCUUCCGACCACUGGAGACUGAUGAAUGGACUUUGUUUGACUAUUUAUAAUGUGCUUGUCAUAAGCUCUGUGCUUGCCGACAUUUUUGUUUCAGAAUUGGCAUUAUCAAAUAGGCCAUUCCUUAAUCCUGUGGUGGAUGCUUUUCUGUCUGGAGGAGAAAAGGGUGAAUUACUUAGAGAAAUUAUGUUAUCCUUUUUGGAGCCAUCUGACGAUGAUUCUCUGCCUGACAAAAUCCGCUUGAGCUGAGUUCGCUGGCAGAUAAUUCGUCCCUUGUUCCAUUGUGGGAAAUUAAAUAAUGAUGAUGCAUUUUCCUGCAAGAAUGUGUAGGCUGCCUUUGCAACGGGUAGAUCUUCUGUAGUUGAGGUUCUUUCCAUCCGUCCCCGUCUAAAGAACAGAAAAUUAAAUAAUUAACUUACGACAAAUUGAAACGAAAUAUUACAAUAUAUGUAAGGGAUAAUGGUCAAUCUCCAUCUAGCAACAUACUUUGGCUUCAAAUUAGAGGCUGAAUUCUCUAUAUGCAUAUCAUUCUAGAGAUAAAUUCAUAAAUGUGGCAAAUUGGCCUAGUUUGAUUGCUCUUUGGCGAGUUAAUUAUCAGCAUGAGUCUACAGGCAUACUUCGCCUAGAAAUUAGAGGCCAAAUCCACCUUAUCAUUUUCAUUAAUAUUGUGGUAGCAAUUUAGUUUUGUAAAAAUUUUGUAGAUAUAUCUUAUCACUAUUUUAGGGGAGAAUUUUUACAUCCUUUUGUAACAUCAAUUUGGUUGGAAACCAAGAUGAAUUGAUGAAUGAUUAUGAUUUUUGAAUUUGACAAUGCUUCAUUGUCUAUAUUGACAUCUAAUGUUAGUUCCAAAUUCAAAAUUUUCUGGCAGGCUAGCCUGUAUUCAGCUUGAAAUCAUACGGAUAGAUUGGGCUUUAUCGUAUGGGGUCCUCGGACUGAAGACAUGUUUGGCCUCAAUUUUCUUAUGAAUGGAUUGGGUCAGUGCGAAAAAACCAGACCCGGAAGCCGGUGGUGGACAUUCGGGAAAGUCGGGCCGAUCAGGUGUCUUCAUUCAAGUGACGAUACAGAAGAAGAACGAAACGAAGUGAAAGGCUGGAUUGGGUUGGACAAACAUAGGCUAUGCCUAAAGAAAGACAAGGACUGGGAAAUAGAUAGGAAGUAGGAACUUGUCUAUCUACAACGAGAAGACAGUUUGACUAUCAUAUCCAUACCCUCACUAUUAUAUAUGAAACCUAAAGAUAACAGCUCUAACAUUGCCUGAGCCCAAGCCGUUCAACAGCUCUAGGUCCAACUUUAGUUUUAGUUCAUUUAUAACGUACACAAAUAGAUAUGUGAACAGGAGGAAAGCCGUCCAUGGUUUUUCAUCCAACAAUGGAGAAGACCAAUAGUGCAGCAGAAAGGACCCAUGUUUGAGAGUUAACGAUGCUACAAGGACAAAAGGUAGACCGAAAGUUAUGCAAUUCAGAGAAAAAAUUACUUACACUACGACAACAGUAGCAAGUUGAGGAAGAUCCUCGCCCAUCAUAAACAUCUCAUACAUUUUGUUGAGCCAAACUGAUAUUGCUGUAUAUGCCCCACCUUCCCACAUCCUGAAAAAAUGAUAAAUAUCAAAACUGAAAGAAAAUUGAUUGAAAUCAAUUAUUAGAAAAAAUAACUUUCUUUGUACCUGUGCACAUCCACAGACCAAACAAGCUUAUUAUGACGAAAAAGUUCAGGGAAAAGCCCUCUCUUUGUUGCUUCAUCAAGCACUCUUGCAGCCCGUUCUCUCAGACCCAGACACCAAAGCGCUUCCAACAGUGCAUUAUAGAACCUCAUUCCCAAGCCGUACCCUUCACAGUUCAGUUUAUCAAAGACAUACUCUACCAUCUGCCAGUUAGACUCAUCAUCAAAUUCUCCCUUGAUCAUCUGCCCGGUUACUUGAUGAAUAUUUGAAAUUCUAUUUGUGUACAUCUCAUCCAGUAAUCCAUAGGCAUCAUCCCACCUGAAAUUAAGGAGCUCUAUAUAUCAGAUAAUUUACCAAAAAGGAAGAUCAAUUGUUGGUACUCUUAACAUGAAUGUGCAUAGGAUCAAUAGUCAACUAGUUACAAAUAAUUAGCUUAUAACUAAUUGCCAAGUAACAAUAUAACAACAAUUAUAACCUUGGUUGAAUUUUCCUGAAGUUUACAUUAAGGCAUUCCUCAUAUCAGUUCCAAUGUGAAUAAUAUCAAACUCUGAGGACUAUGAUAGCCUCUAUCUAUCUUACAAUUCUGUAAUAUAAUCAAAUCUCCUAGGUUCAUGUUAUUCACACAUUCAUGAAACUAGGACUAGGAUAGCUUAUCUCUCUUAUUUGUAAAUUCUUAGGAUGUUUUUGGGGCUAGUGGGCAUCUUGUACACCUUUGUAAAUUUACUUGACUUUUUUGCACAAAAAAUGUUAUUCAACAUUCAUGACCGUGGAUGAGAACAAAUGCAAUUAUUAAGACAUAAAUUACUCCAAACUUCCUAACCAAACUGAAUGAACUCUAACCUGUUACUCUUCGCAUAGACAGCAAGCAACAUGCAGUAGCACAUAACACUAGGCAAUAUUCCGGAUGAUUUAAUUUCCUGGAACUGCUCCUUGCUCUCAUCAACAAGACCUGCAAAGCAGUAAACACUCAAAACUGCCUCUAGGGUCCUCUCAUUUGGAUCGCAUCUCACCUUUUCCAUCUCAACAUAGGCCUUGAUAGCUUCUUCGAAUCGACCUCCUUGCCUAAAGGCUUCAAUAACAGCAUUGAAUGAAUCACUAUUCCUCGCAACCCCAGAUUCACUCAUUCUCGACAAAAUUGCCUGACACUCCUUGUAGAGUCCACCCCUGGAAAAUGUAUGAAGCAGCGAGUUGUAAGUUUCAAUAGUUGGCUUGCUCUCCACUUCAUUCAUUGUGUUAAACGCAACAAGUGCUUCCUCAUACAAAGCAGCCAAUCCAUAAGCUUCAAUAACCCCAGUGUAAGCCUUGGAACUUGGCACUGUCCCUCUCUCAUUCAUGUAAAGCAAAAUCUUCUUGACAUCCUCAUGCAGCCCUCCCUUCCCACAAGCAAAAAUCAACCCCUCAUAUGUCUCCAUAUUAGGCUCAACAUUCUCCUCCACCAUAUCAUGAAACAAAGUUACCACCUCCUUAAAAUAUCCACCUUCACCAAAAACCUGUAUCAAAAUAUUAUAAGUAGCUGCAUUUGGCUCCGUAUUGCUCGCUUUCAUCUCAAGGAAAAGCUCCCUCACAUCAUCAUACCUACCAUUCCUCCCAUACAAAUUCAACAAAAUGCUAUACGUUGUUGCAUUUGCCACACUCCCAGCUGCCUGCAUCUGCCUAAACACAUCCAUUGCCUCCUUUAUUGACCCCAUUUUAGCAUGUGCUUCCAGUAACACAUUAUAGCAAGUUACGUCGGGCAAAUUCCCUCCUGACUCCAUCUCCCUAAGAAGCUCAGAAACCUUUUCUAAUUUACCCAAUUUCCCAAAUGUCUCAACAAGAUAACUAAACGUUGUCAGAUCAGGCAAUACCCCACCUUCAUUCAUAGUCCUAAAAACCAUCUCCGCCUCAUCACCUAAACCUCUACUGCCACAAGCACUUAGCAAAGUAUUAUAGGUUACAAUAUCGGGUUGUAUGCCUUCGUGUCUCAUUUCAGCAAACAAUCCCAACAGAUCCUCCCAAUCUAAUCCUCCUCUUACACAUGCAUUAAUCACAGUAUUAUAAGUCAAUAUAUUUGGUGCUAUCUUUUCUCGUUUCAUUCUAUCUAAUAGUUCAAGAGACGUUUCAUACUGACCGUGCCGCCCAUACGCAUUGAUCAAAGCAGUGUACGAGAAAACACUACGUGGCACCCCUUGACUCGGCAUUUCCUCGAAAACCUCCGACGCUUUAUCGAGCAAAUUCUCGCGCCCCAGCAAACUUAUCAUUAUCGUGUAAAUUUGUUCGCUAGGCUUGCACCAGAUUUGUCUUUGCAUGUAUUUGAAUAACCGAAGAGACCGUUGCCAGUCACCGCGCUGGGCGAAUUCUUUGAAGACCAAAGCGAAAUCAUUUAGAGAUAGCUUGUUUUUAAACAUGUCGAGGCACCGCGCGAUGCUGCCACGUGGCGGUAGGGAGCUGAGCUUAUUGAUUAGAGUUUCGACGUCGUAGCUGUACUUGCCUUUCUCGACGGUCACCGUGGGGCUGCCGAGUACCAACUCUUUCGGCUUGGCCCGGACUUGCACGGUGCCGGACGUGAGACUCCGGCGACGGGAGGUGAAUAUUCUUUGCGUACAGGGCAACUCAUUGUUGCCAGAGAGGAAGCUGUGAUUGAGGGAGAAAUUGAAAGAGUGAAGCUCACGAGGGUUCGGUUUAAGGAGUGAAGGACUGGGAAUUGAUAGGGUCAUUUUAGUAAAUAAACUUUCAUGAGCUUGGGGCAAAAGUAGGCGGAUGAAAUGGAUUUCCUUCUAAGUGGAUUGGUCUGUUUUUGUCUCGAAUUUAGACGGGAAAGUUGCAGUGAGCCGAGAACUGAGUUGAAUUGUUGAAGCGUUUGAACUCACAUUUGACGAAUGACACGUGGAGUUUCUGCGGAUAAUAGUAAGAGAUACCGGGUCGAGGGUUAACGACCCUGAUCCGAACUCUUUUUUGCGGUUUGCCCACAACCACCUGGUUUUUGGCGGCAACAUAUGUUUAAACGGCAAAGAUUUAAUUCCUGAAUCAUAUGAUCCAUCUAACUAUCAAUUUUUAUUGGAUUGCAACUUUUUCAAAAUUUAAGCAAUUAAAUGCAUAUUGUAAAUUAAUUCUUGUCUCAAUUAUCCAAAAUCUUUAUACAAUAAAAUUCUAAUGGGGAACAACUAUUUUUUAACUAAUUUUAUUAAAUGAUCCUUUUUAGUUUUAGCUGAAUUAUAACUCAAAUAUCUUUCUAUUUAUGUGAGCAUAAUUCAAAUCCAUACGCUUCUUGUUGAGAGAUCUUUAGCUAAUUUUAUUAAAAGAUGUUGAUUAUUAGUAUAUUUAUUAUAUGAAAAGAGAGUUUCUUCACAAUAUUUAAAGGAUAUUAAGUAAAACCUUUCUUAAUUAUUUCGUGAGGAUUUUUUUAAGUUGGAGAAAAAGUGAUGAAUUAUAAUUCAUUUAAGAAAAUAAUAGAUUUAAAAUAUACUUCAUUAGCAAAUUACAUAGCCGUUCUUGAAAAUAGUUGCAAUUAGGGAGUUAUAGUUCAGGUAGAUCAAUUUUUGCAAAUAAAUCUAUUAUUAGUUAGUAGAGCCAACACUACUAACAAAAGAUAAGUUAAAGUAACUGAAGUUAUUUCAACUAGAGUUAUCGUAUAUAAUAUUGAUAGAUGACAUCCUUUCCGUAUUUUUUUCCCUUUUUACUAAUUUUUCCUUUAGUCUUUAAUGGGAUAUUGAAUUUAAUUGACUUGUCUAAUCAUAUGCUGUAACGGAUUAUUUGUAUAAAUACUAUAUACUACUACUGUAAAUACGUAAUGUGACCGCUAUUAGAUGGAAUGAAAUUACUGUAUGCUUUGAUUUAUAUACAUAGUUACUAGGUUUUGACAUUUGGGCCUAUGAAAAUAUCACCUUCUUUUCUCAAACCCAAACAGUGACUACUGACCGGGUUGACAACUCAUGACUUAAACUAAAUUUAGUUGGAUUCUCAAGGGCUCGACCGCCAUUUUGCAAUUUCCCACUCGAAGCCAGAAUUCCCUGGCCUCGACACCACUAUAGGCCAGUAAUCACCACCGCCCAAGUGUCAGACUUCACGGUUUUUAAUGCAUGCCACGCAUCUUACAUCAAAUAAUUGCACUCCUUCUCGCCACGUGUCACUACUCCACAUGUACAUCACAUAAAUCUUCCGCGUCACGGCGUCAGCCCCACUACGCGAGCCCGCCCUCACGCCUGGCGCCUAUAAAAUGAUAAAACCGAACCGCGGUUUUAACAGUUUUGUAAUAUGACGUGGCAGUUCCGUAGUUUGUCCCAAGCAGCGUGGGCAAUAGGGUCAUACGAGCCGAACUUUCAGUUCCUAACAGACAACAGCAGCUGCUGCUCCGAAGGAAAGCGAAAAAACAUAAACAAAACAGGAACGAAACAACCUCCCUUUGUUUCUCUUUUGUUUAAACUUCGGUCUGAUAUCAAAAGCAGCUUCACAUCGCUUCUAUGCAUUUUUUGUAGACUCACAUAAUGUCCGAUUCCGAGGUAAAGCUUCGAUCUUUUUCCCUCUGUUGAACAAUCUAACUUCCAAAUUCUUACACCACCUUUUUUGGGGGGGUUAUCUGGAGUUGAUUCUGUUUUUUCAUGUUACUUAUAUUGUUCUAUGGGUUUUGUUUGAUUUUGAAAAUAAUGAUUGGGUGGUGUUUGGUGUUUGCUCUGUUAGAAAUUGAUGGCCUUGAAGAAGGCCUACGCCGAUAUAAUUUUGAACACAGCGAAAGAGGCAGCGGCGAGGAUAAUGGUGUCGGAGAGGAAAACGAUUAGGUAUCAGCAGGAGUUGUUUGCGGCGAAGGAAGACGCGUUGCGGAUGCUGCUUAGGCUUAAGCAGAUGCUGGAUGCUAAAGUAUUUCUCUUUUUCCCAAAUGCGAUAGUGUUUGAUCUUGUCUUGGUUAUGAUUCUACGGAUUUUGGUGUUUUUGGGUGUCAGAUAAGUGGUCUGGUUCCUCUGGUGGUUGCAUUUAGUUUUUUUUUUUUUUUGGUUUAAUUGUUUAUUUGGUAGGGCAUUCAGUCUUCUUCAUUGAUUUGAUUAUGUUUUCACAACCCGUUGUAGAGAGAGCUUGAGUGCAUAUGGUGGCUUCUUUUCUAUACAUUUAUGGGAUACUAUGCAGCAUUAAACUUUCAAUUUGCUGUUAAUGAUUUUUUUUUUCCUUUAGUUCACUGACAAAUGAUGGUCAUUAAUUUGUAGUGUUUUCUUCAACAAUAUGCUCUGGAAUCACGUCUUGAAUUUCUGAAAAGCUAAGCAAAUUGCAAUUGCACUAAUAUUUCCAUGUGUUGGUAUUGUCUUUAAUAUAAAAGGUACAUUUGAAAACCAUUAAGAUCAUCCCAUUAUAAGUUCAUCAAUAUCAUUCUCCUAGAAGUCCCCAUGGUUGUUAGAUGUUUAUUCUCCUUUCUUCUGUGUUGGAGUCAAAACUCAUAUUGUGUGUCUGUUGGGAGGCAAGUGCAGAGUAGGAGUUGGAGGUAUUUCUGAUAACAAAGAAAGUUGCCUAAAUACCACUGCCCUUUCAUUCUAAACAUCAAGAUGGCUGCUAAAUUGUGUUUUUAGUUCCAAGCUUGGUCUGAGAGGCGCUGGGUUGAGAUAAAUAAACAACUAGGGAGAAAUCAUGCUUGUCAAUUUGAGUGAAAUUAAGCAACUUAGUGGAGAUACUGGAGGCAAUUCUUUGUUAGACAGUUUUGGUUUAUUUUUUGCUCUCUUUGUCUUGAAGAAUUGAUUUCAUCGUCAGCUGUGUGUAACAAUCAAAGUACUGACUGAUAGUGCUGUAUUGUAGGUUAAUGAAGCACAGGUGGUAUCCUUGUGUCAACAACAAAAGAUAGAUGAGCUUGAGGCACAACUUGGUGAAGCAGAAGACAUUGUCAAAGACCUUCGAGCAGAUUUGAGAGAAGCACAGGAUGAAUUGGAGAGGGCAACUUAUAAUGAAAAGCAGCUUUUGGAUGAACAAAAUUCAACUGGUGAUGUCACUACUGUGAUGACACCAUCACUGGAAAACAGACUCAAUACUUCUGAGGCUGCAAUGCCCUGUCUACCUGAUGUACAACCUGAUUCGGUCAUGGCUUCAGAUGUGGGGAAUUCAACUUUGAACGACACAUAUGAGAACAAGAUGUGCUACAGUGAAAAUGGUUCUCACAAAGAUAAUUGCUAUUUUUGCAACUCUAGUUUUGCCUCCAUAGUGAUGAGGAGAAAAGAGCCUAAACUAUAUAGGAAUGGAUGUACACAGAGAAUUCAUGCAUUUGAAAGGAACAUCUUAGAAGGAAAUUUGUCUCUUCCAGGGCAAGUAGAGCAGCAGAUAAAAAAUGGAUCGUGUACUCAAGAAGAUGAAGAAUUGUGCAAAAACCUUGACCGUGGGGCUAACCAGACUUGCAGAAUAGAGGAUAACCCGAAUGAAUCUAGAUUGAAGCAGGAAAAUAGCAACUCCAUUUCAGUUCAUGCUAAGUCUUUUUGCAAGAAAAGGAAAAGAGCUGCUAGAUAUAAGAAAAGUAGGAUCAGGAAUUUUCCAGAUCAGGUAGCACAAACAACUCAAAAGUCUGAUAUUUCUUCCACAACUUUACUAAAUGCAGUUGAUAACUAUGUUAAGCAUAAGGAGGAGUCUAAGAUAUUUGGAAAUAACAUUCAGAUGACCCCAGCUUCCCUGUCGGCGCUGAAUUCACCCUCAGAUACAACUGAAAUGAUUCUUCAGUCAGGAUGUGAAGAAGUUCCCAAGAGUGAUACUGUCCAGACCACAACAAACAAUGAUGACCUGUUGAUAGAUCGGUUGAAGUUGACGAGACAGGAAAGCGGACCCGCUGAGCUUACUGAGAUGUCAGCUUGCAAAACAGAUCUUGAAGCUGUUAACUUGUCCCCAUUGAACUCAAAUGUUAAGUCAUCCAAUUUAACUGAAGGUGUUUCUAGUCAAUCAUUAAAUGAUAAAUUUCUGAAGUAUACAUUCCAAAGGAAGCGAAAGAAGGAGUCUCUGAGCAGUCCUGAUGGGUAUUCCUCCCUUGAGGAAGGUGUUAUGAAGAGGAGGAUGGUGGUGAAUCCAAAUGGUUCUGUGGAGUCAGAAAAUCCCAGCUUGAUUACUGAAUCAUCUUGAGAUAGUGGAAGCCUUGUGCAGGUUGCCUGUCAGGUUAGUUUUAUGUUUAAAUGUGCCUUUUCUGCUGUGUUUAUUUAUGUACGCAUUUGGGGUAUGUCUUUGUCCAUAUGGGUCCAUGUCUAUGAAUAGUGACAUCUUUGUUUGACAAAUGUGGGGUCCUUGCUAGGUUUUGUUGUUCCGCUGACAUGUGUAAGCUUGGUUGGGCCUCUCUAAAUGGGAAUAGUUAUGCCUUUGUUUUGGCUAAAAAUCUUCAUAUCCUAAUUAUGGAUCAAAUGAAUAUAUUUGAUUCAAUGGCUUACGAUAACCUGGUAAAGUCAAUAGGUUUUCAUCAAAUGUUAGCAAUUUUAUCAUAUAUUCAACCAUUUCUUGGUUGCACUUUUAUGGGUGAUAUUUUCUUGUAGAUUCUAAAUUUCAUCAUGUUCCACCUUUCCAGAAUUUCCAAAUUUGCUGUCUAAGUAGACUAAUUUGAUCCAUUAUGUUUGUGGCAUUAGACAUCAAAUGGGUUAGACUUAGGCUUGAGAUAAGGUGCUUGCUGCUAAAAUGCAUCAUUCAAUUGAUUUAUCAACUUGGUGGCUUUGUUCACUUUUUCAUUGAUCUUAUUUUGCACACAUCAUGUGCUGCUCUCUGCACUACUUCGUCAUCGAAAGAUUUUACAUUCAGGGUUGGUACCUCCUAUUUUCUUUUCUUUUCUUUUCUUUUUGUGGGAGAAUAGAAUUUGGAGGGGAAUGUUUUUUGGUUGUGUUGUUCUUGGUCGAUUGGGGAUAAUUCUUGUAAAGUUCCAAGACAUGUCUCAGUGUAUUGGUUCUCGCGUAAAUUGGGUUGUGGGAGCAAGCAGCUGCUGUACUUCAUCAAUCAUUGUUAAAAGUCGCAAAGAAAUCAUAUGCUUGUCUUUAUCUUUGGACUUGUGGCAUUUCCUGGUGUGAAAGCAUACUUUUGUUAGUAUAAGAUGCUUCCAAUCUGAAUUUUUAUCACCCUUUCUCAUGACAUUUCCCAUCCGAAAGUAUUCAUUCCAUUGGUUGCAAUUUUCAUAAAUGUGACAUUAGAUGUGUAGUUUGAUGACAAUUUUGAUGCAUUAUUUCUGAUGUCAUGUUUCCAUAGUUAUGAAUUCAUCUCAAAAAUCCCCUUUUGCAGCUUAUAUCACUGUCUGAGAAGUGGCAGCGGUUGUAGUUUUGCCUGAAUGGAGAGACAAUUGACUUCAGACCCUGGGCUUUAUAGCUUUGAAAAUGAUGUUCCAGCAAGGAAACUUGAUGAAUCAGCGGCUUCUUAAUCGGGGAAGAGUUGUAGAUCCUAGAGUUAUUACAAAUGUAGACAAUAUAUUCAUCGAAUCAAAGUUAUGGACGUUGGUGUAUUUUUCUAAGCUUCUCUUUGAAUCAUAUGAAACUCUUUGGGUAAAUGGGUUGGUUCUAUUAAUAUGAUAAUUGCAAUUCUAACGCUAGUAUUUUUCGGCUAGUGUUUCCUUCUGCUCUCAUCUUGGAAGCCCAUUACUGUCGUGUUAACUUGGAUUUCCCGAGAGGAUUUGCAUAAAAAUCCUAAAAUAUUAAUUUUAUCUUAAAUCUUUUUCUUCUUAUUAUUAAUUUCUAUCUUUGUAACCCUGAACUCCUUUAAUUUUCUAAAAAAAUAUAUUCUCAAUUAAAAUUUAAAGUAUAAAUAUAAAUUAUGAAAUAGGAUGUGUGUAAAAAGUUUGUUAAAAUAAUAAUUUAUCUAAAUGUUUAAUUAAAUUUCUACUCAAAACCAAAAAUGAAUUAAUUUUUGUUAGGUUAUUUAAGUAAUUUCAGUUCAAAACGAGUUUUAAGAGAAAUUUUGAGGAGGCAUGAAAAGGGCUAAUUAAAAAAAAAUCGACGAUAUUAGAACUGAUCUACGGUAGAACACUAUUUCAUAAUCACACGAUCAAAAUUAUAAUGUAUUUUUUAUUAUUUAUUAUUUUGUGUGUGUGGCUGUAAUUCGUGUCUUACUUCAAAGUAACUCCAACAAAACCAUGACCUUAAAAAAAAGAAUAUUAUCAUUUUACCACUAAAGUUAUUCUGACAUAUCAUGUUAGUAUCACAGUUUGUCGAAAAGUACAUUUUGCCACCAAAUAUUUGCACCGUUAUCAGUUUACCACCCUUCCGUUAAAAACGUUAAAAAUUGUUGAUGUUUUGCUGAUGUCAUAAGGGCAUCAAAGACAUUUCCUAUUGAAGGCAACACACUGCAUUACAAGUGCAAAAUAAACAAUAAAACAAAGUAAAAACAUUUCAAGGGAAAUAAUUAGAGAAUUAAGAAAUUGAUAACCAUAAAAUCGACCCCUCUCAUUAAUUUGUUCCUUAAUUAAAUUGUUAUUAUUUUUAGUUGUGAUUAAUACUUUAAUUUCAUAGAUUAUAAUAUUAAUUUUGAAGCAUAAUUUUUUAUUUUUUUUUGUUGUUUGUCGUAAUUCUGCAUAUUGUUCAUUAUUUUUAUUAAUUAAAAUUUUCAGUUGUUUUCUAAAUCUUAUUAAUUGUUAUUGUUAUUAUCAAUUGUUAUUAUUUUUAGUUGUGAUUAAUACUUGAACUUCAUAUGUUAUAAUAUUAAUUUUGAAACAUAAAUUUUUUUAUUAAUUGUUUUCUUUGCCAUUUUAUCGUAAUCUUGCAUAGUAUUCAUUAUUUUUUAUUAAUUACAAUUUUUAGUUGUUUUCUAAAUUUUAUUUUUGUUCAUUGUUUCUUUCUUUUCAAAGGGUAAAAUUACUUUUAUGCUCCUUAGGGUAAAAUCGACUUUUAACUCAUUUUCUAUUAAACAUUAACGUUUUUUUUAACAGAAAUGUAGUAAAUUGAUAACAACGCAAAUGUUUAAUAUUAAAAUAUACUUUUUAUUAAAUUAUGUUAUUGACAUGAUAUGCCAGAAUAACUUUGGUGGUAAAAUGAUAAUAUAAAAAAAAUUCAAGAUAUUGUCUAUACAUAUAAUGGGCCAAGGUAUCCUGAAACAGACCCAUCCACUUGAUGGCUCUAUGGUUAGCAACUCAUUGGGCCUGCGACUUAUUUCUAAGUUCACCGUCAGCCAUGCGGCCUUUCAGUUCUAUAAUUCGAGUUCAACCGGUGCGGCGGUGCUCCAAGUUGUAGACACUAAAACCCUUUUUAUUUUUCUCAAAAACCGAAAAGGGGAUCGUGGGAGUCAGCUGAGCGUCAAGAGUAAAUAUGGGAGUUGCAAGCAAAGCAGGGGAUUGGGCGUUCAAGGCAUUCACAGCUGGUCUCGGCGUCACCACCAUCUAUCUCACCGCCACUUUCUCCGUUAAUGUCUACAGAGGCCUUGCUUGGCACAACGCUCAAACUGUAAUUAUCGCUAUAUCCCUCUCUCUCUCUCUCUCUCUCUAUAUAUAUAUAUAGAAUACGAUAGCCCUAGAUUUUUAUAGUACUAUUGUGGUUCUUGUAUGAAUUGUGUUGUCGUUUCUAGCUUAUUUUGAUGUUUUAAUGGGUAUCUUUAGCACUAGUUUCUUGCAUGAUCAAGGAAGCUAAGAGCCCAUGUUAUUGCAAAUUGGUGUACUGUGUCCGUGUAAGACAUGUUAUUUAUUUGUCAAAACAGGUAAAGAUACUUAAAACUAGACUUAGAAGAAGAAUCUUAAAACUGGGUUGUUGCUCGUGCUGUCACAGUUGAGGUCUAUCAUGUAUUAUGGACGCAGAGAUGUGAUUUUACAAGUCUUGGCAGCAAGAUUUUAUAACUUUUGUGAGCUUUUGUUUGUGUAACAUUUGAAUGGUGGGGACUUCAUUUCUUGAGGUAGUUAUUUGGCGAAUGUGCAUGAUGAAUCUAUUUAAGAUUAAAAGAGUAUUUGGAAGAUUAAUAUGAUAUCUUGAUGGCUAUUUGAUAAUUUGAAAUUUUGUUUCUCCUAUUAGCUGUAUGCUUUUCAAUAAUCUUAGCAUAAACCUACCGUCAGAUAGUCCUCUUAGUUGUGUAGUGACAAAAAUAUGUUUUAAUGCUCAAGUUUCUUAUUGAAUAUCACGAAGCAUUGCAUUGCUUUCUGUAGUGUGCAUGAGUAUGAGUGGCAUUCGUGCUCCUCCCUGUCCUUUCUUCUUUUUGAACCCAGCAUUAUUAGCUUCAUUGUUGGGUAUUAAAUUAUAUAUGGUUUAGCUCGCUAGUUUAUGGAGCUAUGCACUCUCUUCUCAUUCUCUCUCUCUCUCUCUUUGUUUCUUAAGAUAUUACAGUUAUGUGUUAAUUAACUAUUGGUUGUAUAGAUUUUGCGUGUUCAACACUAAAAAUACAAGGCAUGUAUCAGUUGACUCACUUGACAGUAGCAUUUUUUAUGCCAGGCAUUUUUAAAUACUGCCUUGUCCUAUCUAUAAAUGCAUUAGGCGUAAAAAAGGAAGCAAAUUGAAAACAUUUUUUAGUCUGUGUGGUAACUUGGUCACAGGUGAUGCAUGCAGGAUUAUCCUUAUGAAUUAUAAUUAAUGUGAUGAUUAAAAUUUUGUUAUAAUCCUUAUCAUUUUAGUAAAUAUGUUGAAUAUUUUGUAAUAGAGAAUUGUAUGCUAUUACAUAUUAACUUGGCCUCCUAUUGUCAUCAAUUGCUGCAUAUCUUGUUUUCUAUUAUCUCUGAGCUCUGGCAUUUUCGUGCAGAAACUUGAGAAGCAAGUCUCCAGUGAGCAGUCCUCUUGAGUUUGUGUUGCAUCUGAAGUGGAAAGAAGUUACAUGAAAAUUAGAAUGUAAAAGUGUCGCCAACAUCUCCUUUGAUGGUAGAACGAGGGAAACUCCCAGCAAAUAUUUGUAUACCCUAGCUACUAGGAUUCAGUCCCGUAAGUGAAUGGAGGUUUUGUUUAUUUGGUGUAUUAAUUUAACAAUCGUUUCAGUUUCUCAGUAAACAUAACAUGAUUCAUUAUUUCAUUUGAGUAUCUUUGUGUGCCUUGUAGCUUUAUGUUGCUAAGUGUGAUGGACGAUACUGUAUACAACUGAGAAACAAGUUCCAUUUGGAUUAAUGUGGAGAGCAUAUCUGUCUGGUAUGAUUGGACCAUUACAACAGUUUUUCUUUUUUGGUUCAUCGGACAGACUUGAAUAAGUUCCUCUUUGAGUUUGUGUUGCACCUGCAUACUCCACAUUCAACUAAGGGCUUAUUUGAGAUUGAAAUCAGAUAGUUAUAUCUUGAAAAUUACAAUAUUAAAAUGUUUGGUAAACAUAAUUGCUGUAAUUUGAAAGUUAUGUUGAUAUAAUUUUUUACCUGUAUAAUAAAAAAUUUAUUAUAUUUUUAAUAAUUUUUAUCAUAAUUAUUAUUUAAAAAUUAUAUUUAUUACAUAUUAUUAAUUUUUAUUUCAUAAUUAUAGAUUUUUUUUUCAAAUUUAAAAAACUACCGCAUCUCAAUUCCAAAUAAGAUAUAAUCCUUCGGGUUGGUUUUAAAAUUUCCGGAUGAAUGCAUUAUCUAACCAACUUACAACUAUUGAGUAGGAUUGGACAAUGAUUCACAAUCACUAUUGCCUCUGAAAGUUUCUCUCUUUCCACAACAAGGAUAUUAUAAAUGUGAAAAAUACACAAGCAAGUUUAUAAUUAUCUUACCAACCACAUCUCAUUCCAUUUCAUGUCAAGCAUAUUUCAAAAAAGAACAACAAAGCAAAUGAAUUUUUACGUAACAUGAUGGAAAAGGCCAACACCACUUUACACGUCUCUCAUUUAAUACCCGUGGUGAUGGCAAUUUUUGGUACUGAACACGCCUCUUCUAUGGUCUCCAAUUCACUUUCAAUAUAUAUAUAUAUAUAUUUUAAAUGCUAAACUAAUGAAGAAUCAUUUAACGAAUCUUGUUUCUCAAUUCUCAUGGUCCCCUCUCGUAAUAGUGUGAAGUAGGGGAUUGCUUUAUAGGUAAGUCAGAAACUACUGCGUCCAUUUGCUCCCAACGGGCCAUCCAUAUCCUAUACAUGAAUCAUAUGUUCACUUGGGCAUGCUUCAGGCAUAUAAUGAUUUCUCCCACUGCCAGCUGCCUUGAAACUUCACUUCCCAUUUUUCUGUUAAAGAAAGGAAGAAAUUGCAAUUACAACUAUAAGUAGAAGAAGCAGGAUUUAACCACAAAUGUUAAAUUCACAAAGUGCGGUUAUUAUCAAGAAAGAAGAUAAAAACAAGAAUGCACAUCAAUACAUUCACCAUUGGAAUACCAUGUGCCUAUGAACCCUAUCAUGACAAUCCAAAAGAAAAUGGACAUAGACUUCAUGGAAGGGGCAUCAAACUGCAGCAAGCCAGCUGGACAGCAGAGAGAAAUUUAGGAAAAAGUUGAGCACUUUUUGUAGAAAAGCAUUUACUGAGCAAAUUAUGCCAUUUUCCUAAUUAUGCAGCCUAAUCAUGGUUUGCUAUCUUUCCACCUACAGGGAUGAUCAAUUACAAAGAUUAGGGCAUACAAAUAUACAAUGCAUGGCCCCAAAUAUAAAAACCAUUUGUUAAUGGCGAUGCAGUUGCAUGAUAGCAGGCUUAGCAUUUUGAAGGGAUAGAAAGGUUGGGUGCUUGAAAAAGAAGAAAGAAAGAAAAAUGUGAAGAUUGCAUGAAAAUUCAAAGGAUAAAAUGUGAAUUAUUAUAGAAUACAAUACCUGCUGAUUCCACCAGUUAUUGAUGUGCUGCCUCAGAGAUACCCCUUGAGCGAGGGUGAAUUUCUGCCAGUGGAUUCACAAUAAACCCACCACUACUCUGAAACCUCGACCUUCGAUUUUCCAACUUCAGCUUUUCAGCAUAGCGAUCCUUAUUGGUUCCAUAAUUCAUGGCAGUCAAAGAUGAGGUGCCACUGGAAGUGGAAAAUUUUGAUGGUGAAUAUCGGCCUUCUGUUUUCCUCCAGAAUUUGGAGCUCAAAAAGUCUGCACCAGGCAGUAUGCAACAUGUGGCUCCAUGGGAGUUAGUUUUAGUCAUUCUUCCAGUUGAUACAGCCAAAUCAUACGAGAUUUCAUCCAAUGCCAGCUCUAGGCCAAGAACACGUGUCUCCAAAGACUGCAUCCCACUUUCUGAUCUCCCAAUAAAUCUCUGGACACACAAAGGAUAAUCAGAGGAGCAACGAAUGAGAAGAAACAUUCAUCAAAACACAAUGAGAGACUUGAUUCCGCAUGAAUACAGUCAUACAGAAACUCUCAUACAUGAUCUGAGGCCUUAAAUUGUUUAGAUGGUGGAAACGUAAAUGACAUAAAAUUGGAGAAAAUUGGAGAGGACUUUGUGAGCUGUCAAAGAACAUAAAUAAAAGAACAACUACCACGUAAUUACUUUGAACUGAUGGAGUAAACAACAAAAACAAAUUAAUCAGUACCCAUUCAUAGAUCAUGAACCGCUUUCUGUUCCAAAACAAAUAGUGAAGGCGUAAAGAAUGCUAAAAAUAUUUUAUCAUAAACUAUUUCACAACUAGGAACUUGCAAAUAGAAGUUGCAGCUUUUUGACUUCAUCAAGUCCAACAAUGAAGAACCAUGAAGCUACAGUAACAAAAAUUUCCAGUAACAAUUCAUGUCAAGGAUGCCAAUGUUCACAAAAAUUGUUUCUCGAAUGAUUCAAUUUUCAUACUACUUCAAGGUAAGCUUAAGCUAAUCAAGUGUGUAAUUAAGAGACUUGUUUAUUGUAAUUCACUAAUUCCAUCAUUGCCACAUGACGAUGUAAUUGCUUGCAAGCUGAGGUCAAUAAUAAGAUGAACAAUUCAGCAAGCAGUAAGCCAACAGUAGUAAUAAAACUGGCCUAGACAGAUUUAUUGGUACUUUCCACUAAAAUCUAAUUAAAUGACAGCUAAUUACUCAAGUGCAAAGCCCAGAUUCAAGCAUCAUAAACAAACCUGAAGAAGAUCCAGUAGACUGGACUGUUGUUGUUCAAUCUGAACUAGCUGGUUGCGGAUCGUAGAUAAAUCUUCACAAUCUUUGUGUUUUAUGUGGAGAUUCUCAGUAUUAUCACUAACAGUAAAUUCAUGGCUUUCCUCAUUAUACGGAGUUACCCGAGAUCCAGACCUCAAUUUGUGCACCUUGUCAUCAGAACUCCAAUUGAAAAGGGCACGUUUUGUUUCAGGUUUUGGAAGCUUGGUAUUCUCAUUAUUCCUAAUCUUCAAAACAGUACCGUCUUCAUGAGCAUCCACCAAAGAAGCACCACUGGGAGCAGAAAUCUGAUCUCUCCAGUCAGAAGGUUUCUUCUGAUCCACCUUAUGGAGCACUGCUGGACUCACUUUCUUUAAGAAACCUCUCUUCCUGGCGGUGGUUGGAAAUGAACUAUCAGGUGGAGUUGACUUGCUAGCUAAAAUCGAUCUUUUCUUCAACUCAAGACCUUUCGUGGAAGAGCUCCUGGACUCAGUCGGAUACCGUCCAUCACUCCCAUCCUCUGUCCAUUGUCAAAACAAAACAAAAUAAAAAGAUAAAAACCACAUCGCACAAGUGCCACAAACAAAUUCCCAGUCUAUCAAAAAGCAAAUGAAUCUAAAUUAAACUUGUAUCACAAGGCAGCAGAUCCCAGCAACAAAAAUAUCCUCAAUAAAAUGGAUGAUCUAUCUGCCUAAAGAGCUGACAUUUAAUAAAUCAUCCCCAAUACCUUUUGAAGGAUCCAGUGAUUGUGGUGGCGGAGACGCCUCCUCUGACAAAUCUGGGACCUGUUUCCACGCCUCUAUCAUCUUAUUCAUAACCUCCCUGACUACCUUCACCUAAAAUAUUAAAAAUUUUGCUUUGUCAACAAAAUAAACCAUAUGAUUAAAACAAUUUGAUAAUUUAGAAAACAAAAAAUUGCGAACCUUAUCAAAUCUUUUACUCUCAAAAAUCUUCAAGCACUUUCCUUUAAACUCGGGCACGGCAUCCUUCUCCACGACCGCCAACCUCCACAGCGCCUCCGCAGCAGCUUUCCUUGCCGCCCAAUCUUGACUACUCAAAAAACCCAACAAACAACUCACUAACCCCUUGAGACCCGAGCCGUCCACCGCACCCGAGCCGAUCACGCUCCCAACCACAACCAAACCCGCAGCUUUCGCCUUAAAUACUUCACUCUUCAGCAACCUCUCCAACCUCACCUCCAUUCUCCCCAAUUUCCCCGCAUCCGGAUCCUGCGCCGCAUCAAUUGUCGCAGCCAGACACAGUGCCGCACCUACCUGCGCGUUCGUGUCCUGCUCAGUGAAGAGCGCGUCGGACAGCAGCUUCAGCAUCGUCACGAACGCCGAUGCGCCGACACGCGGCGAGAGAGAGGAAACCGUGCUGAUGCACGUCGCCUGCAGGGCGGAGUUCUUGUCUCGGAAGUUUCGCGUGAUGCUGUUGAUGAUUUUGGUGAUGUAAGGGGAGAGAUUGUGAGAAUUCGAAAGAGUGGCGAUGACGUGGAUGCAUUCUUUGCGUACUCCAGGUUUGUCAGAGGAGUUUGUCGAGAGAAUGCAGGAGAGAAAUGUCGGCAGUAGAGUGGGAUCCACAGUGGCGGCGAUAGAGUCCAGUUCUUUUGCUGCUUGUGAGUACGUGUCCCGGUCGGACAGUUUGUUUAGGAGACCGUUCACGCUGGUUUUGAGAGCGUGAGCCAUUGCCUCGGUUGCUGCUUCUAGUUACGAUUCUUCUGGUGGUGGUGGGGCCGCCGGAAUUCGAGAUGUCGCCGGUAACAUUAGCGGUGGUGAUGAGACUGUCAGUUCAUUGUGUUUGGGCUUUUGAAGUUGGAGGAAAUAAAACUAUAAAGGGAAUGGUGUCAUGGGAACUGUAUAAGGAGCGACGUCGUUUAACCCUUGGGUCAUCUGUACGCUAGAGAUUGAAAUAAAAAAUUAGAGUUGUUUCGGUUUUUUCACUCCAACUAUGUUAAUGACAUUUUAAUGCUUUUAAUUAUCCAAUUUUUAGUUGAAACUUAAGCAAGAUUUAUAAUUACCUCUGCAUACCGAAUUGUACUACAAUAGACUUUAAAAAAAAAAAAAAAAAAAAACUCUGUAGUCCUCUUCUCUGGUCAGUUAAUUAUACUUUCGCUUAAAAAAAAGGAAAGAAAUUGCAGAGCACCGAGCCACCGACUUCUAUCAUAACCUGCCACGUAACAUAUUCUCUAAUAUUUUUUUCCCCUUUUUAGGUUAUAAAUCUCAUAAUGUGACUUAAGGUUAAAGAGUGUGAAAAUUCAGAUAGGGGCACGACCACGAUGGUCCUAUUCUUAAGGAGGGGAGUUAAUUAUGGAGCCCCAUAACUUAGGUCAAGUGAAGGGUAUGUGGAGGAAUCAUGUAAAAGAUGGGGUAGUUAAUUCCGGUAAAUUAGCGCCAAAAUUAAGGAGUCACGUGACGCGUGAGGCAUGUAUUAUUAUGAAAGUUACUGUGGCUGUAAUCGAUGUGCUCCCUUUUCUACCGCUGUAAUUAUUACUAGAAAUCGUUCAAAUCGUCCUCGCGAGUUGAAAAUACGAGUAACUCCUUACUGUAAUUACCCAGUUGAAUGGUUUCGGGACACAGCUAUUGAACGUGCUGUGUUAUUACACCAAUUCAAGUUUACUAGCAAUAAGAUUUGAGUGUCGACUUACGAACCAACAACAAUCAAAUCGAAGACAUAGGAAUCCUCAGUAGCGUCAGAGCAUGGAGACAAUUACCAUUGGUUGACCAAACGUUAAGCUGGACCAGUACCAUUUGAUUUGCCGACGUUACUGAAGGAUAAAAACGUCCUUUUAUGUUUUCUUGAGAUUUUAAUUUGGUUGGUGGGAAGCAUGAGAGUAAAUGAGGGAAAUUAAAUGAUGAGAGCUAAGGUGAAAAUAUUGGAAACCACUUCUGUAUAUUCACUGAUUUAAUCUUACAACCCACGUCCAUAUCCCACAUGAAUUACUUUGUGUCGGUAAGAAUCAAAAUUGUUAACGUUGCCUUAAUUUAAUUAAUUUUAAUACUUUUUUUGUUAUAAUUUUAUGAUUGAGGUUAAUUUGGUAAAUUAAUAUACUUUAAAAUUGUUUACUUUGUCUUAUUUUAAUUAAUUUUUCAUAAUUUUUUGUUAUUAUUUUAUUAUUGAGGUUAAUUUGGUAAAUUAAUAUAUUUUACUUUUUAUAAAUAUCCCUCAAAUUGGUGCAAAGGUAUUAUUGUAAAAAUAAAACAAAAACAAAGAUAGAAGUGUCAUAUAAUUAACAAUAAUGGUGUAUUAGGUAUUUUCUAAAAUAUAAAGAUUAAAGGGUCACACAACCCAAAAUUUAAGGAUUAAACGAACAUUUUUACCAUACUUUUGAGGAGUUGUACACAAUUAUUGACCUAAUUUGCCUAUAAUUGGUUUAUAACUAUCACUUUAUUUGUCUAUGCAUGUGUUGAGGAGCCUCUUUAAAAUUUAGAUUUGGCUUUAAUGCUAAGGUGAAAUUUUUAUUAAACUUUUUUAAAAAAUAUUAUUGGUAGUUAUUGAAUAAAAACCAUAUAGCUAACUAAAAUCUUAGCACUUUUGGCUGAAGAUUAUGAAGAGUUAAGUAUAGAGCAACUCAGCAUUGGAUUCAAAUCCUUAAAUUUUAGCUCCAACAUGGACCAAUAAUCUGAGUCCAAUGUAUUGCACUCUAUAAAAGCUAUCGAUGAGUUUUGAUUGUUUUAUUUUUGUGUGGAGUUGAAGUAUAAAAGAAGUUGACUCUUUAUCAUUACUCUUACAUAGAUAGUGAUUUGUAUACUCAAUCAAUCGAGGAAUUUUAAAAUAAAUCGGCUGUAAUACAACUAAUUAAUGUAUACAUGACAUGAGUAGUUGAACUUUAGAUAACCACUAAUUAGAUACUAGUUUUUCAAAAUAAAUGCACGCAUAUUAUAAUAUUAUUUAUUUAUUAUAUGAUUAACAUGAUACCUCAUAAAUAUUCUAGAAUUUAUUUGAUUUGAAAGCUUAAUUAACAAAUGAGCUGGACUUUCUAUUAAGAAAAAAUGCUUACUAUAAACAUUAUAUCGGGAGGUCAUCAAAUAAUAUGUUUUCCUUCGCAGGUAAUAGUCAGUCUCUUACAACAGUGAUGGAGCAACAUACCAUUAAAAUAAAAGAGCAUCCAAGGCAAGUAUUGUCUUCAGGUGGGCGAGUUUCAUUGCCGCAAACUUUAUAGCAUGCUUACUAUAGCUUAAGAAAGAGAUUAUCAUAAUUAAUGCCUACAAUUAAUUAACUCAACAAGUUAUAGUCAUUCAACUGAAAUGAAACCUUCUCUCUCAAAUGUUGUUUCAACCUCUCACCUAAUACCUACCAAGAAAUCGAUAACUAGAAUCACACAGAAAGCCUUAUUAAUUAAAUAGAACGAUUUCUUUUUCUUAAAAUGAUUUUAUGUACAUAUACAUAUAUAUACAUACAUACAUACAUACAAUAUAUAUAUAUACACACACGUGCCCAUGGUGAAAAUAGAGAAUUAAUGGAAUAUAUAUAUAUAUAUAUAGUCAUUCUCUAGUGCGGGCGUUCUCAUUGUAUUUUUAUAUGAAUACACUUUAAAACUGUGAGGUUUAAGAGAGUUAAACUAACUCUCUUAAACCUCACAGUUUUAUAAUUUAUUAAAAAAUUAAUUCUUUUAAACCGCACGGUUUUAAAAGUGUGUUUGCAUUAAAAAAAAUGUAGAUGUCCGGACCUAAAAUAUAUAUAUAUAUAUGACUAGGUGGCAGAUGGUGAAAAUAGAGAGAAUAGAGAAUUAAUGGACCAAAUUAAAGGAGAGGGGAAAACAAAAUCGAGGCACUAUCAAAAGGGUAAUAUUGCUCUAUCAAAAAUAGUGAUCGACACCCAUUAUAUAAAAUGAUUAAUGCAAAACCGACAGCAUGUAUAAUGAAAUCAAAAGCAGCUCGGCAUUGGCUUUUCGCCCUCGCUGUGAGGUUGCUUUUAGGGUCAUGCUACUUGUCGGUUGGACUGAAACAGACGUGAAAGUUUCAACUACAUUUAGGAAACGCAAAGCAAAGCAAACCAAAUCCACUUGUUCUUAAAGGAGAAAGGGUUCAUUGAAGAAGCGUGAUUUCUAAUCUACUUCUAAUCCACCGUUACCAAAUCACAUAUUAAGUUGCUUACUUCUUCAAUGGUUCAGGACGAGUUGAUCUGUAAUUAUGGACACAGGUCGGUCAACGUGUAUUUGAUGCUUGGUUGCACCAGCUGACAGAAUGGACGUCUAUGCGAGUCCAUUCUGCGUACGUGUGUACCUCAUUGGGAGGUCCUCCCUCUCAACAUCUUCAAGACUAAUUUCAUGCAGCUGCAUUCAUUAUUCAUUCAGCACGACCCAUGCCAUGCAUGUGCCAUUUCUUGGUGCGACACAUAACGUGGAACUAGCUAGCCAAAGGACAAAUUCAGUCUAAGCCAGCUUCCGCUCUAACUGGAUAAGGCAUGUGCCGACAUUCUUCGAGUCGGCGCCUGUUGGCACGUGAAUCGUGAUCAUUUCUUUUAACUGUGACAUUUAACAUCGUCAUGGGAUGAACAUGGAUUGAAGUCAAAAAAAGAAAAAAAAAAAAAAAGGAUUUAAAGAGGAUGGUUUGACUUCUAAAUCUUCGUUAGACUGUUUGCUGUCAUUAAUUGCACACUAGCUAGCGUGGGAAUGGACACACUUAAAUUUCCAAUUACUAAACACAGUCGUUUUGUAUUAACUUAGGAUGCAUUUGGUAUAUUAUAUUGUAUCAUGUUGUAUUGCAUUAUUUUAAUGCAGGUGUAUUGUAUUAUACUGUAUUGUAUUAAUAAUGUAUUAUAAUAAUGUUGUAUAAUAUUUGAUGCUACACUAUAUUAUAUUAAUUUGUAAUUAUACUAUGUUUGGUGCUGCACUACAUUGUGUUAAUUUUUUGUGAUUAAUUUAAAUUAUAUAUUUAGAAAAUAAUAUUUAUUAGUACUUAAAAAAAUACUAAAUAGAGAAUCCUUAAAUUUUAGAAAUUUAACAUUUUUAUUAUAAAUGUUAAAAAAUAUCACAAUUCUUCAUAAUGAUCGAAUCUUAUAGCCUUAAAUUUUUGGAAGCAUAACAUUUAUUUUCAAUAUUUUCUAAAUAUAAUAACUUGUGAAAUAAAGAUUGAAGCAACUAAUUUAAUCAAAUAAUCUCUUAAUAAAAUAACAACAUAAAUAAAUAGUUAAAACCUAUAAGAUUAGUCCAAAAGUCAUUUUAGGAUGAUAAAAUAAAAGUUUAUACAUACCACAAAAUAAACACAAAAUAAGAAAGGAAUAUAAUUGUUGUAACAUAUUCACUAACAAAAUGAAUUGUGCUAAAUAAUCCAAGUGAGAGUUUUGUAGUAUAUAUAAUAAUAUUUUAUAUCAUUAUUUAUAUUAUUAUUAGUUUUAAAUUAAUAUUAUUCAAAUUUAUUCGUACUUAAAUAUUGAUUAUAAGUUAUAUUCAACUGCUGUACGGNNNNNNNNNNNNCGGCCAAGGCGGAUGUACGGUACAGCAGAAUUAAUAUUAUAUACUAUUAUAUUAAAAAUUAUACUUAUUUAUAAUUAUUAUAAAGUAUUUUUUUAAAAAAAAAAAAAAACUAACUAAUGCGACCACAACCGCAUUAACUAAACCCAACUCACAGUUGGAUUUAGCUAAUGCCGCAAGUGGCUGCAUUAUGAUGCGUUAUGAUGCACCAUAAUGCAGCCAAAUAUGGGAUUGCAAUGCAACUUCAUAUUUAGCUAAUGCAAUGAGGACUAAUGAGGCCCCUUUACUUCACUACUUCUCGUCACUUUUCAGUACAUCUGACGGGGUAACUUGGAAUUGAAGAAAGAAAAAGAAAAGAUUAUUCUGAUAUUUUUGUUUUAUAUAAAUCGAUUGCAUGACUGUAGGUUCAUCAUACCAUGUCAUGGGCCCCGUACUGCCUUGCGUUGGUUAGCUAGACCGCAUCAUACAAACUAUAAUUAGUAGACUUUGUAACCCAUAUACAAUGCGAAGUAGUCUUUUCCAACUAACAUUAUAGAAAAUGAGUUUGAAGUUUCGAACGGGUCAAGGUAACAUGAUAUUUGUUUUGGGAAAUUAACAACCCUUCCCCCUAAGUUUAGCCCACCACAUAAAAUAUUAUAAAAUUUUAAGUUUAUUUAAUGUUAUGCUUACUGCGUGCAUUUGUAUCGAUCAUUCACUAAAAAGGCAUAAUUAUCUUCAUAAAAUGAUAAAAUAAAAAUCAAACAUAAGUUAUAGUGGUUGUUAUUUUGUAAAAAUAAUUCGGUCUUUUUAGUGAAUAAUUGAUACAUGUUGUUAAAAAUGGUUGGAAAGUUGAGCAAAUUCAAACUUUUAUUAUUUUUCAUAACAAAAUAAUUUUCGGGUAGAUCUUCUAUGAUUUCCCUAUUUCUUGUUUAGUAACUUUAGCUUUUGAUCACAUAUUUUCCCGACUGAGAUUGAGAUACAAUAGAGAAUGACAGAUUAUGUUCUACUUGGAUUUCCCUCGUUUAUAAGUACAGUGGAGCUUUUAACACCCCACAAAAUCCUUAUGACACCACUUUUGGAUUGUAUUUCCUAAAAUACCCCCUUUUGGUCUUCAAAAUACAAACCCAUAGAUUAAAAUCAAUCUGUCUUGUCAUUAAAUCUCACCUUAGAAAUAGUAUUCCUUUUGAUUUUUUUUUUAUUUUUAAAUCCAUACAAAUCCUAAAAUCUUAAAUAAUUUUCUUCUUGUUACAUAAUUUCUAUCUCCAUAAUUCAUAAUUCUUGAAAAUUUCUUCAAAAAAAUUUAAAAUAUAAAUGUAAAUUAUGAAAUUGGGUGAGUUUAAUAAGUUUUUAAAAGAAUAAUUUAUUUAAAAUUUUAAUUGAAUUUUCAUUAAAAAAAUUAAUUUACUUCUGAUUCUUUAUGCAAUUUUAGUUGAAAAGGAGUUGAUGAGUUUAGGGGGGGUCUCAAAAGGCCUGCACUUAUGAGCAACCCAGAUAAAGCCCAAAUGUGCUUCACAAUCGACCCAAGUGAGGCUGCAUAACCUAGUGUCCGAACAAAAUUGUUGCUGGCUAUGUUUUGGGCUUUUGGCACCCAUUGGCAUGUAGUUUGAGCGGGCCUUCUCUAACAUCUUCUUUAAUAAAAUUAAAAAAAAAAAAACAAAUUUUAUGAAAGUUCACUUUUCACAUUUAUAGUUAUUUCUUUAUGAAAAUUAAAGAAAAAAACAAAAAAACAAAAAAGUUACAGUAGAGUUUAGUUAAGAUUAAUGCUAAGGAUCUAAUAUACUAAUGAUACAUAAUAGUUUGGAAUCAACUGUUAAGAUUUCUAACAUUAUUAUUUAAUAAAAUACUACCAUCAAAUCAAUUAUGAGAAUGGAAAGGAUAAUUGAUUGCAACCUUUUUCGGCCUGGUCUAUGGAUACAUACACACACUGACACACACAUACACACAUAUAUACUAAAAUCUAAAGAUAGUAAAAGUUCAUGAUUAGUGAAGAUAUUAUAAUUUAAUUAAAUUCAUAUUAGUUCUUUUAUUUAAUUCCUUAUUUAUAUUUUUGGUCGCCUGAAGAAAGAACUCCCGAUCGCGUCAUACAGGCCUGUCUCGUGUCAUCAAUAGGGUCUACAUCAUGGGUCCAGUUAUGUUGCAACAGUGGUACGGUAUCACUGUUGCUUUCAGCCAUUGAAUCUUAUUAAUGUAACUGUACAACUAUAGAUUUAAUGGUUGAUUGCAACUAUAGUAUGGUACCACAGUUGCAACAUAAUUUUGCCCCUACAUCAUAUUUUAUCCUGUUCGUUUUUCUCGAUUUAUUUAUUUUCAAUCAAGCGCCUGUUCUCAUUCCUUUUGUUAAACCAAAAUUUUAUAAUGCAUGCCUCGGUGGGCCUUUCGUCCAACUGUAAAUUUGUAAUUCUUGCCAGGAGAGGGUGAUGCAAAUUCAAGACUUCCAAUCGCAAAGCAAUCAAGUGGACUACAAUGCAAGUUCAAGACUUCCAAUCGCAAAGCAAUCAAGUGGACUAAAAAGAACGUUCUAGAGAGAUCUGCUAUGGAUAUUAAAAAAAAAAGCCAGUGACAGCUUCAAAAUCAAUCCCUAUCCAUAAUUUCUAUGGGUAUUGUAACUUGGGCAACUCUCAUCAAAUUUUCCGACUCGAUAUCUCAUUGCAGAUACUUUUUUCGGCCAUCUCUUUUGGUCCCUCCCUAAAGUACACUUCUGUCCUCAUACUGGCCUUUGCAUUCGUAAUCAUCAUCGGUGUAAUUAAGAAGGCAUUUCUUAUCACUUAUCACCCACCCAUGGUUGCGAGCUAACCGAUAAAUAUCAUGUCAUUUAUAAUAAAAUUUGGAACAGUAGUUUAAAUAUAGCAUGACGACAUCGUAGAAAUCUUUUAACAAAACAUGUUUCUAAUUUCUUGAUACUAGGGUAAAAAAUCAAAACAUCUUAUCAACAUUUCAAUGCAUUUCCAUUUAAUAGUGAAAAUAUAUGUAAUAGCAUUUCUAAUAAUCUUUUAAAAAAUGACAUUAAUAGUUAUAAAGUCUCAAUCACUUGUACAAAUUGAUAUAUUAAGAUAUGGUUUGUUGAUUAAAAAUAAAUAAAUAAAUCAUAUGGGUCCAACCAUUUCCGUUCAGCUAAUUAUAAUAUAACACAACAAUAUACAUAAUAUGUGUGUUCACGAAUACUUGUGAUUGUACAAUUAUUUUAGUAAUAGAUAAGCACUAUGCACUAAGAUAUAUCUUUGUUAGAAUAUUAAAAGAAAGUAAAUGUGUAAUAAUAGUAAGAUCAUGGCUAUGUUAGAGCAGUUUUAAAGUAGAGCGGUACCAUCAAAAAGCAGUUUUAAUAUAACUGGACCCUAAUAAUAAUAAUAAUAAUAAUAAUAAUAACAAUAAAUGUAUAUCACAGAAAAUGGAUGUAUCUGUGAGAAAAAUACAUAAUUUCUUACAUUGAAAACACAUGAUUUCUCAACAAAAAAAAAAAAAAAUUCGUAUUAGUCAAUAAAAAAAAUCAGACCUUCAACAUCAUCUCAGGGGUCAGUGUCCACAGAUUCCACCAAUAAAAAGUGGCCACGCAAUUAAGGCACAGCUUGAUGAUAAAAAACCCAUUCUCUUUGUUGACUUUUUGAUAAACCUAGAUCGUACGGAACGGCUGAGAUUCUUUCUGGAAAAGCGGGUCCGACAGGUUUACCUUCUAGCAGUCGACUGUCCAUUCCGUAAAUCCCUGCCAUAAAAAAGUCCCUCACGUCACGUCAUCUUUACUCAUCGCUCGUGUGAAGACCCGCAACGGUCCUGCUCCAUCUGCAUCGUCGCCGUACACGUGUUAUGGAAUCACCCGAUUCUCUGUGCCUGUGAAUUUCGUGUGUGCUCCUGCAUUGUACACGUGUGUGCACUAUAAACCAAGCAGUGUGGCACGUAGCUACUUCUACUGUUCGAGUGAGUGGCAAUUUGUAGGAUACGUCUAUCAACUUUACAUAAAUUAUAAAUACAACUUGAAAUUUUGAAUUACCAGUUUUUUUUAAUUAACAUGAUUAUUAAACCAAUUGAUUUUUGUCUUUUGGUUUACUGAUCGUAUCAUAUUAGAAUUUCAAAGUUCUAUUACAUAAUUUCGUUUAUAACAAAGCUAACUUUUUAAAUAAUUUUAUUGUAUUGACUUAUUUUAUAAUAUAAAACUUAAAAUUUGAUACAGUACAUAAAUAAUAUAUCAAUUUAAAUUAGCAUAUACAGUACAAUUACUUAUUAGAUUAUUAAACCUUAAACCAACAAUUUAAAUUAUAAUAUUAACAUUUUUCUUUCUUAAGGACUUUUUGCCUUUGGGUCCAAUUUUUAUAAAAAUAAGUAGAUUUUAUUCUUGUUAUGUAUCACGAAUCAAAUCGGGAGCAUUAUUCUUUUUUAUAUAUAUGAUAUUCCAUGAUUGUUAAGCCAAUAAUUAAUUUAGUUCGGUUUGGUGGAGGCUUGACCGUAUCAAUUUAGUUCAAACCUAAGCUUAUGAAGAUUCAAGGUAUUCAGUUUCAGUGCAUGAUGCUAGACACGCACUAGGAAAGAAAAGCUCUACCAAAAAAAAAAAAAAAAAAUCUGCUGAACGGCCAAGGCGGAGGUACGGUACCGCAGGGGAUGUUCAAAAUUUUAAUUUUAGUACCGUCAUCUGCUGUACCGUACAUCCGCCUUGGCCGUACAGCAGAUAUAUAUAUAUAUAUAUAAAUUAAUCAGUUGAUAAAAUUCUAAAUACUAUAUCUUCUAAAAUUCCUAAAAUAUUGGAUAUAUUGAACUUUUUAAAAUAACUCUAUGACAUUAAUAAUUUAUUAACAGAGUUAAAUAUUUGGUGAUAAAAUGAUAACACCUAAAAUAUUAAGUGAUAAAAUACAAUUGUCAGACAAUUUUUUUUUGUAUAGUGAUAUUUUAUAAAAUAUUAAGUGGUAAAAUGAUAAUAUCGUUUAAAAAAAAAAAUCUUUAAAAGUUAACAAGUUUGCACAGUCUUAGUGAUGACGUAUAAUAAGGGAUGUUAAUUCGUGUAAUCUUGUCAUGUUAAAUUUAAGGAAACACGAAUACACCCAUUUAUUGAUUAUGUUGAAAUAUCAAAAUACGAAUACGAUCAAAUUAUUAAUCAUGUUAAUUACGUUGAUUGGUUUAACAUGUAUAUUACAAAAUAUUAAAAACUAAUUCAAAAAAAUAAAAAAUAUAUCAAUAUUAUUCUUAAAAUCAGGUCAUGAAAAAAUUAACACAACAUAAAUAAAUUUUAUAACACAAUAUGGUUAUGACAUGAAUAUACACCAAUUGAUAUUUUUAAUAAUAUUACCAUAUAUUAAUUGAUAUUCGUAUCAUAAACAUAUAAUGUUGUCCAACUCAAAUACAACGCAGUUUUUUGUUUAUUAUAUCCUAACGUGUAAACCUAUUUAUUAAUCAUAUUAAUACUUAUCAACCCAAAUAUAGAAAAAUUGUGCCGCACUCAUGCAUCUGGUUAACGGCGGGUCGUAUAUUGUUCCUAAAUAGGAACCAUAUAAUUGUAGCAUCCACGUUGCGUGUCUUCGAACCUUAACUAGAGAGCCCGUAUUGUAUAUUUGUAUGUAUCCAUUUAUUGUUGUUACACAAAUUUGGUACGACAUGUCAUGCACAUAUUUUUCCUUGCGCACAACGCUUUGUCUGCGAGACUUCACCGCACUGCCUGCCUAACUACGUGAUGAGAUCUGAUUAAUUAAUAACGCACAUAUCGUUCGAAUUAUUUGAUUCCUAAGUUAGAUUAAGGCUAAACUUGAUCAGAUUUGCAGGUACACUAUGGGUGCCUUACAAAAGGCAUGUAUGAGUAGGCGAUGCCAAACUCUCUUCAAUAUGUUUUUCCUUCGGUUACUUUCCAGGAAAUAUCUACGAGGUUAUCUUAUUCCACCAGCACAAUUAUUGAUUGAAAUGACGUGGCCAAGAAUUUGAACACUCGCGUAAAUAAUUUGAUGCGUCGCAUACAAUUAAACAUCGUAUCAAUCCGAGUUUGUGCCGGUGACUCAAUUUGGCAGCCAUUAACUCAAUUUUGACCACUAAGUUUAAAAAUAGGAUUUUAUUAUAUUACAUAAUUAUGUAGUAACCAUUGAAUUUUCAUCAAACGGUUGUGAAAAUAAUAUGAUUUUAUUAUCUUAUAUUUCCACAACCGUUAGAUGAAAAUCCAACGACUGCUACAUUACAUAAUCAUGUAUGUUACAUGAUUAUGUAACAUAACAAUUACUUUAAAAAUAUAAUCUUAGUUGGACUUCAAUCCCCUUGCCAUUUUCAUUCAAAACAUCCUUGAGGCAUGCAUCAUUCCUUGUAAUUUGUUAGAUACAUUAUUUUUCAGAAGAAUAUUUUUUAACAUGUAUUUGUAAGUCGCAAGGUAAUUUAAUUUUUAAUUAUCAAUAGUUCGUCUAAAUCAUUAAAACCACGACAUAUUUAAACCAAAAAAAAAAAAUGCAGUGGGCUUUUAAAUACAUAUGUGCAUAAAUCGUUAAAUUGUUAUAUUAAUGGGACGUUAGUAAAAAAAUUUUACAGAAAAGUUUCUAAAAUAUUUAUUUCUGUAUUAUGUACAUGAUAUAUUUUUCACCCGAUAACAAGUAAUUCAAUAAUGUUGUUUGUAUCAAAACCUUUUAUUUAUAUGUCCUGCAAAAAGAAGUUAUUUACAUGUGUUAUCCUCUUUUUUUUUUUUUUUUUUGGAUUGGUGGUGGAGAUUGAGAUCUGCUGUACGGCCAAGGCGGAUGUACGGUACAGCAGGGCCCUAUUUUUAGCUAAGCCACCACUAGAAAACGAUCUCAUUUAAAGUAAAAUGCCAAAACAAAUCCGAAUCAAUGAAUCGGGAUUAAAACUAAAUGCAUUUGUUACCAUAAUUAAUUCAUUCAACAGCCUAAUCAAUUAAUGCCACUUACCUAAUUUUAGAUAAAGGAAAAAUCUUCAUAUUCAGCCAAAAAAAAGAAAAGAAAACCAAACGACAUCGUGCUGCUUCGCUUAUAUCACGAACCUAUAGACCCAAUGGACCUCAAUAUUUGCUAUUAUCCCUAACUGCCCUCGCAAUAUUCGUAUAAACCCACCCAAAACCUCCUGUCUAAACUCGAAAUUAAUAGAAAAGAAGGGGUAGUUUUGUAACUCCAAAGAGUAUAAAUGUAAAGCUGGGCCUCUGUUUUAGUAGGUAUUGUGCACAGGGCGAGCGGAGCAGAGGAGUUCCCGUUAUCCACAUUGGCAAUAUUUCUCUCCAUUGAAAAUUCCAAAUUAAAAUCCCGCAGAGUUUCUGACUUUCUGUCUUGAAGAUUAUUAUCUCUCAAAAUCAAAUUAGGGCUUUUCCUUUAAGAUUUUCAAAUUCUAAUUUUGCUUUAACAAUGGUAUCUGAUUCAAUCACCCACAACGCUCCGAUUGCAUCGGCCCCGAACUCGAGGGAUUUCUCUAAGAAGAAGAGGGUGUGCAUCGCGUCUAAUUUAUCUUCUUUCUCUUUUCCUUUUCUAUUUUUUAAUUAAAAAUUUCAAAUUGUUUAUAAUUGAUUUUGUGUUCGUUGUUUCUCUUUGGGAUUUCAGACAAACAGGUCUGCGAAAUUAAAGCAGUGCAAGCUGGAUGUUCGCCGUGAACAAUGGCUCUCCCAAGGUGCGCAAAUGUUUUUUUUUUUUUUUAACCUCUCUUUAUAUUUUUAAUGACCCUGCAUGUAAUCCAAAUAAUUUUUUAUUGGAUGAUUAUCUUGUUUUGGUUAUUUAUGGAUUUGCCAUUGUUUGAUAUGAUAGUCGGGGCGGUGAAGAGCAAGUGCUGCAAGGAGGAUCAAAACGGUGCACGGAAGGAGAGUGCCCGGUCAUUGGAGAAUUUGAAGCCAAGGGAUGAGGAUAACAGCAAUGACUCUGGAUCUAUGCACCAUGACAGUGAUUCAGAGUCACCAUCAAACAGCCCCACCAACAGCCUGUUAUGUGGUAACGGCGGCACAAAUCCGGGAACGAAUUUCAUCGGGAGUAGCAGCAGCAGUAGUAGCGUUAGCGGUAGCAGCGGCGGCGGCUGUUGCUCUGGUAGCAUUACAGAAGAGGAAGAAGAAGAUGGCUGUUUGGAUGAUUGGGAGGCUGUGGCGGAUGCUUUAGCCGCUGAUGAUGAUAACAAUAAACAGGAACCAGAACAUGAUCGUUCGUGUUCCCAAUCACCCUCUGAGAGCCAAUUGAGUGUUAAGUCGGAUUCCUUGCAUGAACUGGCAAAUGGGUUAAGUUUAGAUUCUGUGAAAUCAAUGCCCGAUGGUGCAAGAAUGGUGCCUAGUGUCUCCGAGAAUAAUAGACGGGCCUGGAGACCAGAUGACGCUUUCAGGCCACAGAGUCUGCCUAAUUUGGCUAAACAGCGGAGUUUUCCGGCUGCAGACCGGCAUUUUGGUCAAGGAGGGGUUCCUUGGGCUUGUAACAAUGUUUUAGCGGCACCAUCUUCAUGUCCUAUAUGCUAUGAGGAUUUGGACUACACGGACUCAAGCUUUUUGCCCUGUUUAUGUGGCUUCCGGCUCUGCUUAUUUUGUCACAAGAGGAUUCUUGAAGAAGAUGGGCGAUGUCCAGGUUGCAGGAAGCCAUAUGAGCAUGAUCAAGUUGAGUCGGAAGCGAUAGUGCAAGGAGGCAGCAUGACGUUCCGGUUAGCUCGGUCUUGUAGCAUGAUUGCAAGGUCUUAGGAAGAGGAGGAGUCUCUGUUUCCGUGAACUAUGUAUGUUGGGGGCUGUCCUUUUUGUGUGUCUUUGUGUUCUUAUGCUAGUUUUUACUUUUUAGACUCAUUUUAUAGACUUUUUAGAUGUUGAUAGAGGAGUAUUGUGUUUUUGCACCAGAGUAGUGAGCUUUUCUCUUACGAGUUCAGUUCUUAUUUGUAUGGUGCAUGUGCUAAUGUAGAAGACUCAUGUUGGUAUUAUGUGAAUAGAUAAACUGGUAUAGAAAUCCAAUACAUAAAAAGUGAUUACAAUAUAUCAUAUGUUUCCGUUUGUUUCAAUUAGUAUGGGCAUUCAUGAAUUUAAAAAUGCUGUUCAUCAUUAGUGUAUCCACUUGUUUACCUUGGUUCUUCACUUUCCAAUGCAAUCCUAAUUACUUGAGGACUUUGUGAUCAAGCCCAAUUUUGUUGGAGGUGACCUAAUUCUUACCUAAAGAUGUGUUGUCUUUCCUUUUUCCAAUAAUUUUGAUUUUUAUUCUAUCCUUCGAUUACUAUGCAUUUUUUUAGAUUUAUUACUUGUAAUAAUAGUAAUUGCUUUCUAAAAGGAUAGGUUUCAUUGGGUGCAAGUACUUGUUAUAAAUUUAAUUGCUUUCUGAAAGGGUCCAUGCUUGUGGUAGUGUUUGCAUGUGGAUAUUCCUUCUCUGUUACUAUACUUAAAUGUAUUACCAGUCAUAACCUUAAUUACUUGCUACUUUGCUUCUUUUAUUUUUACUUUGAGAAGUGUGUCUAACUUAACAUGUUAGCUUAAUCGCUCUCUGUGGUUUUUGAAUUUGAAGAUUCAUAUAACUUCAAAGAUAAAAGGGAUGGACUAUAUAUGUACUGAGGUCCUAUCCACAGGUAAUUUGUGAAGUUUGAUCCCCAUUUCUUGUGGUUGGCUCCAUAUUUUGAGAUCUGUUCAUUAAAAGCUGUAUUUAACGAAGCACUUGCCACAUCACAUGCAUCUUUCUUUUUUUUGCUUUUGUUGUUUUGUUUUGUAUGCACUUAGUGUUUGAAUGAUUGAUGAAUUCAUCUAGCCCAAAAGCGAUGACCAUGAGUUUAGAAUGGUAAACACUUUAGAGGCUGAAAUAUCCUGGGGAUCUUUAUUUGAUUGACUUUUGUAUUAUGUCAUAGCUUCAAUAUUUGAGGUGUGUUUCCAAUUUUUAUUUUGUUGGUUUUUAACAUUUGCUCUUUGAAAUGUUUAACUUGGGUUACAAUCCCGUAAUUGUUUUAAUUAUAAGUUUCUGUGGUGAUUUCAAUUUCGUGCUCGCUGUUGUAAGAAGGAAUGAGAAAUUUUUGAAUCCAAUAUAUGCAAAUGUUCUUUGAAAGGUAACUCUAGACUUUGUUAUGCUGACAUUGACUUAAAAUUCAGUAUGAUAUUGUAGUUGAGUAUAUAAUAGAAAAUUGUCUGUGUUUGCAUAUUUGUUAAGAUUUUUUGCACUGAUUCAAAAGAAUCUUAAAAUGUUCUUUAAAACCUAAACAGCGGUUGUUUCCAAGAAAUAAAGGAAUAUAAGAGGUUUAGGCUUUGUCAUGAGAGAAGGUAAAAUUAAAAAUGGCAAGGCCUGGGCCAGAACUCAGAGAUAUUAAUCCAUCCUUUCUUCUGGCAAGCAUAGAGUAGAUAUUUUGGGUACACUGUUGGGAGGUUUUCAUUCUGCUUGAUGUUAUUCUUUCGAACUGUAAGAAAUAAUGAUAAUUGGAAUCUGUUUUUAUGAGUACACAAUCAGAAUCUGUGGUUCAUAUGGCUGGUACAAAGAGCUUCACAAGGCUGGAAUGUAAUAUUCGCGACUAGUCAAGGUCUGUUCUAAUAUUUGUACUUCCAAUGCUUGCUAUUUUGUAGUACUUAAAAAGGUUGUCAGUGUGUUGAUGGUUUCGUGCACUGUUGGUUAGAUAUGGAAUAUCCUAUCUUGUCUGUCAUGUAGCUCUAAUCUGGAACUUCCUUUGUUUUUUUAAAAAAAGAGACAAUUUGAAGUAAUACAUGAAUAUGGACCAAACCCUUCCUAACCCUAGGUGAGUGGAGUUGGAACCUUAAGCCUCUUUUUAUCAUCCAAGAGAUCUUACAAUGGAAUGAACGGUACCCACUAGAAUCAUUUUGAACUUCUUGAGCUUUAUCAGUUGUUUGUUGAACUGAAAAGUAACUUUUAAACUCGAUGGUUGCAAGUUGUAGGUAAUAUUAUCUUAGUUUCAUUAGCUCAAAAGGCUAUUUGAGGAUUUAAUAUGAUAUUUGAGGUAUGCCAGUUCUCAUUAAUGUCUCUACUUUGCAGUUUCAAGUCAUAUGUUUUAUGAGUUUUGUUAUUCAGAAUUUGAUUAGUUCGCUAUCCGUAAAGUAAUUUAUUUGAGGAGACUUGCUACUGUGUUAUAUUUCUUCAACCAUAAAGAUUUGCGAGGAGAUGUAUAUACAUUUUGACCUAAAAACCGUGUAAGUUCUGUUGGAUAAAGCUAAUGGACUGUAGCAUAUAGUGUGCUAUGCUUCCUAAUGUCAUUGGAGGCUAGGCCAGUUAUUUUGAUUUUCUUCUAUAAUUGCUGAUUUUAUUUCCUGCGGCUGUUUCUGUUUGUACUUUAAUCUGUAUAACUGCACAGUGAUGAUUUUAUUAGAUACAUUGUAUCUUAGCACAUUGAGAAUGGCUUGCUUCUUGAGAGCCCUUAUUUUUCUUUCCUUGUUUUUGUAUCAGUAUGACAGAAUCCUUGUUUUUGUAUCAGUAUGGCAUCCCGAAAUGGAUGCGUUAGCAGUGAACAGCCAGUAUAAUUUCAACAAUAAUGCUGCUACCGGUUAAUAACAUUUGGCAACAAUCCACUAAUGACUUAUUUGGUCGUAAUACAAAAUGAGUCUCCACUCUUGAGUUAUAAUUGAAGCACACAUUACAAAUAGAAACUAAUGAUAUUAGGUUAACUAAUUACACAACUUCCACGGCAAGGGCAGAGACCAACGGUUGAUAGUUGCACAUCUAGACGCAAGUGGUGAUAGCUUUAAGAUUUAUUUUCUUAGUUAUUGAUGAAUUUUGAAAUGCAUGAUACUGAUCUAUGUAGCUGAGGGAGUUUUUUCCACCACUUGACGAAGGUCGAAUCCUCAAAGAAUAUAUCAUCACCUAACUCCCUAUUCUGAACCCAUUUUUCUACCUGCUUCUCCAGGGACAGUAUUUCUUCUUUGACAUCUUCAAACAGCCCCAUAUUAAUAGUUCUGAGGCAGAGAUCCUCAAUCCUUGCCCAGAAACAUGAUUCCCCACUGGAUCCUGCCGAUAUCUUCAGGGCAUACUCGAGCCACCUCUGAGUGUAUCUGUAUCGUUUUGGUCUGCCCCUUUUCAUAUAGGGACCUGUGUCUUCAUUUUUUAGGUGUCGAUAGUAAUUAGCAAUAUCUAGAGGUUCAACAAUGCGGCGGUACCUUGUUCCGAUGUUUAUCCACUCUCUAUGGCCUUCAAACUCAUCAGGAAGUUCAUACCUUUUCAACAUUUCCAUAAUCUCGUCAAAUAUACCAGCCAACUCAAGCCUCCUAACAUUUGCAGUGAAAUCAUCAGUGUCCUUUGAAAGCUUGAGUGCAUCAUAAUAGCUGACUCUGCCAGCCUCGCACCUGGUCUUGUACCCUUCAAGUGCUAGUAGUCCUUUUUCUAUAUCUGUCUUCUUUUUAUUAAUCUUGUCCUGGUUUCUCCGUUUUUGCUUCUCUAAUUCUCCAGCAGCACAAAGGCAGAGUCUGGCUCUCGUGCUCUGGAAACCGAAGAUUCAAAAUGUCAGUCCAAGGGGGAAAAAAACUGAUAGGGGAACUUUUAAAACUGAAAGACAAAUUUUGAAACUAUCUUGAAACGGACUUACCAGGCCGAGGUUAUUCAGGACCAGGCCAAGGCCAGCAGCACCAACAUUGGAAGACAAUGGAAGCCCUUCCAAAUUGUCAAAAUGAGCGACACCUUUUGUCUCUAAGUUCUGCAGUUCGCUUUGGUAAUUAAAGUGGUCCUUUACGCUUCUGAGAGCAAUCUCUGGACCUUCUACUUCAGAGCUCAACUGAGAAGAAUAGAAAAAUAUCUGCAGAACGGCAUCAGGGUUUUUCACCACUACGAGUUCCCUAUCUCCUGUGCAGAAGACAUAAGUUCCAAAGGGUCGAUAGGGGCUCAGCUCAAUGAAACUCAACAAAGUAUCAGACAACUUGUUUGUGUUUCCCAUGAGAUGACAGGCGGCAUGGCUUGCCACAGAUGAUGCAUUGCUCAUCACCGUCACAUAGAGAGCUGAAGCUUCCCUAGUUGGUUCUUGAAUGUGAAUUGUACAUUUUGGGUUCAAGAAAUCGAGGAUAGUUUUCAGUUCCGGCUCAAGGGAAGAGAGAGGAGCAAGCAAAACCCGGGGGACGAUGUCAUACCUCAUUACAAAAUGAAUGAAGUAGUGAGACCAACUUUCUCGCCUCAAAGCAUGGUUAAUUAUGAAAUCACCAACAAGAGGUGAUCCAAAAGUGACGCAUAUAGGUGGCAUUCUGCUGGUGCUGGGGUCUGACUUUAUGAAAUUUUCCCAAUUUUCCAGGAACCAAACUGUCAUUAAAACGGCAAUUGGACCAGCUGAGGAAUGCCCUGUAAACACUAUUUGCUUUCUUUCUGCCACAGCUUUCACCACCUGAGAAUGAUUCGAAGUAACUACCCAGUAUUUUUUUAUAUAUAUAUGUAUAUAUAUAUAUAUAUAUUCCAGUUUGUCAUUCGUUUGCUUCAUUUCUAUUGCUUCAUUCGAAUUCAAUUGUAUAGUUUAUUUAUUAUUACAGUUAUCUAUUUUGGAAUCUUGAUGAUUGCCAAAGAGGAAGCAACACCAAUACUUACUAACUAGUAGUACAUGUUGCAUUUUGAUUUUUCAGGGGGCAAAAGACUUUAAAAAAAAGAAAGAAAAGAAAAGUAAAUUAACAAAGAAAUCACACACCUCGUUUUGUAGCUGAGGCAGAAUUGCUUGAAAUCUAGUAAGAAAAGCUUCAUUGACAGUUGCAACUUGAUCAUUGCCUAUACUUCGAAGAGAGGCGAACUGAGGUGGAUGUGGAUCGAUCAUUUUUUCGCCAAAAGGGCUUCGACUAAACCAAUCACUGAUAGUCCAAGAACCUGGAAAGCUGAAAAUGACGUCUGAUGAGCCACGAUUCUUUUCCACGAGAUACAGCUGCUUCUCCGGCAAUUUGUGUGCCUUCAUGGCUAUCGAGCAUGCUUUCUUGAUCACCUCUUCUUUCAUGCUUAUCACCUCUCCAAGUCUUUCACUUGCCAUCGUUUCUACAACUGUUAUAGUACUUGUUCAGAAAAUUUCCCGGUUUAGAAGCUUUGCUUGAUUUAUUAUUAUUGCCCUUUUUAUCUUUAAGUCGUAGAGGAGAUGGAAUGUUUCUUGUUUUAAGUUUUGAACGCGUUCCUGGAAAUUAUUGUGUAGGGAAAUGACCUUUUUGGGUAUUACCCAAUCGUUGACUCGACUUUCACUUUGAUCCAGGUCAAGCUCAAAGCUAGCUCAAGAGUCAAGCCGCCCACGAUGCAACCACUUCUGGUUUCUUCUCUCCCCUUUCUCAAAUAAAACAAUAUUAGUCGGGUAAAUCUAAUUCUUUUAUCCAAGACUGAAAAAGGUUCAGACAUCUCCUGGGAUGGAAAACUAACUGCUCUUUUAUUUUAUAACAGCUCUAAGAUUAUUUAUUUAAUAGCUUAUAACAGGUGAACAAUGCAGUAACCAAAUACACGUUUGUCUGAAACUGUAGAUCAUUGCAUUGCGGCUUGUGCCACAUUUCGUCACAGUUACAGGCAGCUGAUCUGGAUUGAAUUGGGCCUAAAUCCUUGUGAUGACCCAGGGUUCGGCCCAAAUUACUGUAGGACCCACCGGUAAUAGCUAGCUAGCUGGCUGGCUAAUAUAUAACAUUUAGACCAUUUUGGUUUUGCCAUGAUAGUUUUACUAAUCAUAGGAAAUGAAUAAUUAAUUUUUUAUCUGUAUAUGCUAGUAGUUUUGGGUUAUAGUUUGGUUUUUUUUUUUUUUUUUUUUUGAUCGAGAAGAAAUUAUAUUUUGGCUCUUAACAUUAAAGAACUGGUGAUAUGAUAAAUCUGUGUCGGAAAUUGUGCCUUGGGACUUGGGAGUUUAAAAUCAUUCCUUCUCUGUAAAAUCAACCAAGAGCAAAUUAAAAUCAUUGGAAAGGAAGCUAGGAAAGGUCUUCAAUUUUAUUUCAAUCUAAACAACUUUCUACUCUAAGCAUGCUUGAGAAACUAUCAUCAUGCUUCAGAAACUAUCAUAUGAUUCACUGGAAUAUGCUGCUGCUCGAAUAUCUGACAUGAGUUGUUUUGGCAAGUUGAUGAAUUUCACUGGACUUCUUGAUGGUGGUGACAGUGGUGGUGAUGAUGAUACGCUUGUUGUCUCAUUCUUCUUCUGUAAAUUUCGACUAAUGUCAGCACAAACUGUAUCAACCAUGUCCAAAAAUUCUUUUACUAUACAACAAACAGUUGAAGUGGGUACCCCCAUUUUUCUUUGGAACCUCCUCCUUGGUAGUAUUUUGUUGUCCCCUUAACAAGUUCCAUAGUCCUAUUUUGCUCAUUUCUCACCAGCUUAAGCUCUUCUUCACACUCCUCCAGAAGCCCUUUCAUUUCCUUUAAAAACCCGCAUUUCUCGCUGCUAGCACAGUGUGUUACUAGUUCCCGGAUUUCUACUACGCGGGAUGCAAGUGCGGAGCAAGUAUUGAUGAAUGUGUCAAGUUUUAUCAUAACUGCUUUUUUUACAUUGGUGAACUCAUUGCUUAGGCCUUCCACUGCGGGCAAUCUUUGUUUUAAGUACUUAUUGUCCCUCUCUUUUAGCGUCGAGCUUUUUGAAUUUGAAUCACCAGUUUUGCUUCUUUUACUGAAAGUCCUUCCAAGAAUGUGGUUUCCGUUGAGUUCGCCACGUCGACCCUUCGAUCGGAUCACUUGCUCCACAACAAAGUGGAGCAGGGUAGUCUUCCCAUCAGUGCUUUUAACAUUAGAAAGCUUUCGGAGGGCACUUAGGUUGAAACGUUGAGCAUUGCCUCUGGAUGUUCCAGCAUUAAUUUUAUUACCAGCUUUUAGAAUGGCUUCAAGAAGUUUUAGGAAGAUCACCCGGGUUGGUAGCUCCUUAUAACCCAUUUCAAGUGCUUGCAAGGACUCUUUGAGUUGAAGGAUUUCUGAUUCGUAAUUUGAUCUGAAAAGUAUUGCAUUAACGCGAGUGAAUGCCGAAGGAACAGCUUUCAGGAUGUGGAAGAGAAAAGAUUCAGCAUCCCCAAGUCUAGUUGGAUUUCCAUUGAAUUGGAGGACUUUGCUUACGUCGUCUUAGCUUGGAGAUAUUUUGGCAAGUUUUUCAACGAUGUCAAUGCUGAGUCCCUGGCCGUCAAGGAGGGCCUCUAUGAUUUCUUUUUGAGAGAUUGCGAGUGAACUCAGUAUUAUUGCUGUGUUUUGGGACUUGCGGGGUUCAAGGAUAAAAAGCUCUGCUGUUGGUGCCGCAUUGGAACUGCCUGAACUCAUGGACGUUUUGCUUCUUUCAUAGAGUCUACGAUUGAUGGUGGAAUAUCCAAAUAGAUUUUCAAUUUGUUCAUCAUCAAAUCUGAAAAGAAAUAGAAGAUUUAGCAAACAAGAACUGGAACAAUGCAAUAGUAGUUUUACUUUAAAAAAUGACAAAUUACCUCAGGGAUCCGUCGUUGAUCUCAUUCCAGACCAUCGAAUGAUCAACAUUGGUUGCGACCUUAUCCCAGUGCAAUGAUUUUAGCUUCACGUGGCCAACAACAGUCCUACUUGAGCUCUCCGUCCUUAAUCUUACUUGCAUUCCCCUUCGGAGUAGGUGGAGGUUUCAAUGGCGAAGCUAAAUUAGGUGCCUUAGGAGGUGGGGAUGCUGGCGUAGGAUUUCUUUUUACCCGUAUUGGUGGCAGUGUUGCUUGUAAUGGAUGAUUAACACUAGGAGGAGGAGGAUGAGGCGGUGGCGGCGGUUGUGUUGAUUUUGUCGAAUUGGCUCUGCCUUUCUCUCACCGCCGGUUAAAUCAGAUGUCUCUUCGGGUGACAAACGUGACAUAAUACUUCUUUGUACUGUUGUUAUGUCCAUGCAUUUUUCUUCAUCUUCUUCGAAACUCGGAUUAAACACAAUCUUCGGAAAAGUAGCUUUAAGCUCUCCGUGUUCUAGUUUCCUCAUGUAAAGGACUUCCUCAACAACUAAACCUUUUACUCUUCCUUUAAAUUUCUCAAACUCUUACUGAGUCACAGUUGCUUCCUGCCUACGGAAGCUUGAAUUAAUUUUAUUUUUCUGCCGAAGUCUUUUAGUUCUUUGACAGAUCAAGAAGGCGACUCCAUCGAUAACCAGAGUAACUCUGCUGUGGCAGCAAUGAUCUUGGCAGUGCUUUUGGGCAUCCCGAUCAACCAAGGACUAUGGAAAGAUUAUGUUAGUAGACUUGUUGGCCAAUGAAUGAAUAUCAAUGUUCUGUGAAGAAUUUUUUUGAGAAAAUAGUGAGGAAGAACAGAUGACAACAAAAGGGUAAGGCAAGUAAAAGGACAUGGCUACACCAAUGUGAAUUAUAACAAAAGGGGCUUAGAGAAAGCUGCAAUGAGGAGCGAAGGAAACUCUGUUGUUUCAUUACUACUCUUAGGCAAUUGAAGUAAAUUCUUCUGUACUGCAUAUGGGUGUUGUUUGCAGACGGUUUCAAUGAAGGUAGAUGACAUGUCCAGUUUUGCUUAACUCUUCCUGUGAAACUCCAUUGGAAAUGACUAUAAGAGCCUGUUAAGAUUCAGGUUGGAUUUGCACAUUGUCCAGCUCUAAAUGUGUUAUGUAUCUACAAUUCCGAUGAGGGAAGUGAUGGUUUAGCCGUCGCCCUUGCUUAACUUCAUUCAUAUAGACAACCAACAUAACAAACAUUUGCCUUGGAUUAUAUCAAUAUCUUUGUAUUGCAUUGUCUAUUUCUUUUUCUAUUCUUAGUAAUCUCGUCUUCGAUUUAAAUUAAACAAUUUUGCAACAGCUGUUGUAAAAUGCCAUAAGCAGGCUUCCCAGAAUGUGUUCAUUGUUUCUAUUUGAUUGGAAGAUUAUAAUAUUAACGAACCGAUAUAAUGUGCUGCAAGCUACACAGCUGAAUAUGAUAAUCAAUAAAUGCUUUGAAAGUUUCGAGCAUUUUCUCUCAAGAUGCCACUGGGCAUCUGUCAAGGAAGCUCAUAAUACAUGGAAGGAUGCAGCACACGUGUGAGAUGAAUGUAGUCAGCUGAAUCAAUUGAAGAGUGGUGUGCCAGCUCAGCUAAAGUUAGUUAGACACGUUAAGAUCUAGUUUUAGUUAGUUAUUUUCAUUUUUCUGUUUUAAGCUGAAAAACAGCUGAGUAUAAAUAUAUGCAUAUUGUAAUCAUUUAGAAGUUAAGUAAAAAAUGAAAUAAAGCAUUUGAUUCCAGAAGUUCUUUUACAAUUUUCUUAGCACGUUAAAUACAUUUUCUCAGUAACCAAACAGUCUGUUCAUUCAAGCUUUUAAGCUUUAAAACAUGGUAUCAGAGCCAUACAGAGCUAGUUCCAGUAAUCAACAGUCAAGCCUUCGUAAUCAAACAACAAACAACACAAAUCAACCUACUCAAAUCAACUUCUCUUUUACAAAUCCUAUCAAGCUAGAUCGAUCAAAUUACUUACUCUGGCGUUCUCAAGUUUUGGCCUCAAUAAGAGGCAAUCGUUUGGAAGAUUUCGUCAUAGGAGCCAGAUCAGUACCUGAUAAGUGUCUUCUGUUAACUGAAGCAGAUGGAUCUACACAACAAGUUGAAAAUCCAGAAUAUCAGAUCUGGAGAUCACAGGAUCAGACACUUCUUGGCUGGCUACUGUCGUCAUUAAGUGAAGGUAUCUUAAGUCUUGUAAUCAAUUGUGAGAGUUCAUUUGAUAUAUGGAAAACUUUGGAAAAGAAAUUUGGAGUUCAAUCUGAAGAUCGAGUUCUUCAGCUCAGAUAUGAACUAAACACUCUUAAAAAGGAAGCUCUUAGUGUUGAAGAUUAUUGUAUUAAAAUGAAAGCAAUAGCUGAUAAGCUGGCCAGUGCUGGUAGUUCAAUUACAAAGAAGGAUCUUAUGUUAACUAUUCUUAAUGGAUUAGGAUCAUGAUUUCGUGAUAUUGCUACAUUUAUAACUGGUUCACGAAUGGAAUUUGAUGAUGCUUAUGCACUGUUACUCACUCAUGAGACUAGAUUAGAGCAGGAGCAAUGUGACAAAAGUAUGUUUAAUGCAAACUAUGCAUACACAAAUGCAUAUUAUCCUAGAGCUUAUUUUGCACAGCCUAGAGGAAGUUUUAAACGAGGAGGUUAUUCUGGUGGUAGAACUCCUUUCUUUGGCAGAGGAAAUAUGANNNNNNNNNNNNNNNNNNNNNNNNNNNNNNNNNNNNNNNNNNNNNNNNNNNNNNNNNNNNNNNNNNNNNNNNNNNNNNNNNNNNNNNNNNNNNNNNNNNNNNNNNNNNNNNNNNNNNNNNNNNNNNNNNNNNNNNNNNNNNNNNNNNNNNNNNNNNNNNNNNNNNNNNNNNNNNNNNNNNNNNNNNNNNNNNNNNNNNNNNNNNNNNNNNNNNNNNNNNNNNNNNNNNNNNNNNNNNNNNNNNNNNNNNNNNNNNNNNNNNNNNNNNNNNNNNNNNNNNNNNNNNNNNNNNNNNNNNNNNNNNNNNNNNNNNNNNNNNNNNNNNNNNNNNNNNNNNNNNNNNNNNNNNNNNNNNNNNNNNNNNNNNNNNNNNNNNNNNNNNNNNNNNNNNNNNNNNNNNNNNNNNNNNNNNNNNNNNNNNNNNNNNNNNNNNNNNNNNNNNNNNNNNNNNNNNNNNNNNNNNNNNNNNNNNNNNNNNNNNNNNNNNNNNNNNNNNNNNNNNNNNNNNNNNNNNNNNNNNNNNNNNNNCUGUCAAGGAAGCUCAUAAUACAUGGAAGGAUGCAGCACACGUGUGAGAUGAAUGUAGUCAGCUGAAUCAAUUGAAGAGUGGUGUGCCAGCUCAGCUAAAGUUAGUUAGACACGUUAAGAUCUAGUUUUAGUUAGUUAUUCAUUUUUCUGUUUUAAGCUGAAAAACAGCUGAGUAUAAAUAUAUGCAUAUUGUAAUCAUUUAGAAGUUAAGUAAAAAAUGAAAUAAAGCAUUUGAUUCCAGAAGUUCUUUUACAAUUUUCUUAGCACGUUAAAUACAUUUUCUCAGUAACCAAACAGUCUGUUCAUUCAAGCUUUUAAGCUUUAAAACAGCAUCACAUUACCGGCAAAUUCUAAAUGGCCUUUUAGACCAAAUCAAGACAAAAUAUAUACCCCCGUUGAUAAUUAGGUGUAUUUUGGCCUCAAUAAGAGGCAAUCGUUUGGAAGAUUUCGUCAUAGGAGCCAGAUCAGUACCUGAUAAGUGUCUUCUGUUAACUGAAGCAGAUGGAUCUACACAACAAGUUGAAAAUCCAGAAUAUCAGAUCUGGAGAUCACAGGAUCAGACACUUCUUGGCUGGCUACUGUCGUCAUUAAGUGAAGGUAUCUUAAGUCUUGUAAUCAAUUGUGAGAGUUCAUUUGAUAUAUGGAAAACUUUGGAAAAGAAAUUUGGAGUUCAAUCUGAAGAUCGAGUUCUUCAGCUCAGAUAUGAACUAAACACUCUUAAAAAGGAAGCCCUUAGUGUUGAAGAUUAUUGUAUUAAAAUGAAAGCAAUAGCUGAUAAGCUGGCCAGUGCUGGUAGUUCAAUUACAAAGAAGGAUCUUAUGUUAACUAUUCUUAAUGGAUUAGGACCAGGAUUUCGUGAUAUUGCUACAUUUAUAACUGGUUCACGAAUGGAAUUUGAUGAUGCUUAUGCACUGUUACUCACUCAUGAGACUAGAUUAGAGCAGGAGCAAGGUGACAGAAGUAUGUUUAAUGCAAACUAUGCAUAUACGAAUGCAUAUUAUCCUAGAGCUUAUUUUGCACAGCCUAGAGGAAGUUUUAAACGAGGAGGUUAUUCUGGUGGUAGAACUCCUUUCUUUGGCAGAGCAAAUAUGAAUUACUCUCCAAGAAUAUUUAAUGGAGGUGUUAGAAAUGGAUAUGGCAAAGGAUUUUUUCCUGGAAAUAACUCAACUGAUUUCAAUCAUUUUCCAGCUCCUAGGAAUCCAGUACCUAGGAACUCAUCCUUUCUAGCUAGAAAUGGUGCUAAUAUGAGUGGAUCACACGGAAGCUUUAAUAAUGCUGGGGAGCUGGUAUGUCAGAUUUGCUUUAAGAAUGGUCAUACAGCUGAUGUUUGUUGGCACCGAUUUGUUGAAGACUUUGUACCUGUUCCAAGAGGUUUUGGCAGGGAAAAAACACCAAGAGCAGCAUAUUUCUCAAACUUUGAUGGCUCUACUUCUAAUCCAGAUUUUGGCUAUGAAAAUAAUAAUAUGUUUCCAGGUUAUGAUUCUAUAUCUGGCAAUAGUUACUAUUCUGGAAUGGAUGGAUACACUUCUGGAGCAGCUGGAACAGCUUUCAUGGCUANNNNNNNNNNNNNNNNNNNNNNNNNNNNNNNNNNNNNNNNNNNNNNNNNNNNNNNNNNNNNNNNNNNNNNNNNNNNNNNNNNNNNNNNNNNNNNNNNNNNNNNNNNNNNNNNNNNNNNNNNNNNNNNNNNNNNNNNNNNNNNNNNNNNNNNNNNNNNNNNNNNNNNNNNNNNNNNNNNNNNNNNNNNNNNNNNNNNNNNNNNNNNNNNNNNNNNNNNNNNNNNNNNNNNNNNNNNNNNNNNNNNNNNNNNNNNNNNNNNNNNNNNNNNNNNNNNNNNNNNNNNNNNNNNNNNNNNNNNNNNNNNNNNNNNNNNNNNNNNNNNNNNNNNNNNNNNNNNNNNNNNNNNNNNNNNNNNNNNNNNNNNNNNNNNNNNNNNNNNNNNNNNNNNNNNNNNNNNNNNNNNNNNNNNNNNNNNNNNNNNNNNNNNNNNNNNNNNNNNNNNNNNNNNNNNNNNNNNNNNNNNNNNNNNNNNNNNNNNNNNNNNNNNNNNNNNNNNNNNNNNNNNNNNNNNNNNNNNNNNNNNNNNNNNNNNNNNNNNNNNNNNNNNNNNNNNNNNNNNNNNNNNNNNNNNNNNNNNNNNNNNNNNNNNNNNNNNNNNNNNNNNNNNNNNNNNNNNNNNNNNNNNNNNNNNNNNNNNNNNNNNNNNNNNNNNNNNNNNNNNNNNNNNNNNNNNNNNNNNNNNNNNNNNNNNNNNNNNNNNNNNNNNNNNNNNNNNNNNNNNNNNNNNNNNNNNNNNNNNNNNNNNNNNNNNNNNNNNNNNNNNNNNNNNNNNNNNNNNNNNNNNNNNNNNNNNNNNNNNNNNNNNNNNNNNNNNNNNNNNNNNNNNNNNNNNNNNNNNNNNNNNNNNNNNNNNNNNNNNNNNNNNNNNNNNNNNNNNNNNNNNNNNNNNNNNNNNNNNNNNNNNNNNNNNNNNNNNNNNNNNNNNNNNNNNNNNNNNNNNNNNNNNNNNNNNNNNNNNNNNNNNNNNNNNNNNNNNNNNNNNNNNNNNNNNNNNNNNNNNNNNNNNNNNNNNNNNNNNNNNNNNNNNNNNNNNNNNNNNNNNNNNNNNNNNNNNNNNNNNNNNNNNNNNNNNNNNNNNNNNNNNNNNNNNNNNNNNNNNNNNNNNNNNNNNNNNNNNNNNNNNNNNNNNNNNNNNNNNNNNNNNNNNNNNNNNNNNNNNNNNNNNNNNNNNNNNNNNNNNNNNNNNNNNNNNNNNNNNNNNNNNNNNNNNNNNNNNNNNNNNNNNNNNNNNNNNNNNNNNNNNNNNNNNNNNNNNNNNNNNNNNNNNNNNNNNNNNNNNNNNNNNNNNNNNNNNNNNNNNNNNNNNNNNNNNNNNNNNNNNNNNNNNNNNNNNNNNNNNNNNNNNNNNNNNNNNNNNNNNNNNNNNNNNNNNNNNNNNNNNNNNNNNNNNNNNNNNNNNNNNNNNNNNNNNNNNNNNNNNNNNNNNNNNNNNNNNNNNNNNNNNNNNNNNNNNNNNNNNNNNNNNNNNNNNNNNNNNNNNNNNNNNNNNNNNNNNNNNNNNNNNNNNNNNNNNNNNNNNNNNNNNNNNNNNNNNNNNNNNNNNNNNNNNNNNNNNNNNNNNNNNNNNNNNNNNNNNNNNNNNNNNNNNNNNNNNNNNNNNNNNNNNNNNNNNNNNNNNNNNNNNNNNNNNNNNNNNNNNNNNNNNNNNNNNNNNNNNNNNNNNNNNNNNNNNNNNNNNNNNNNNNNNNNNNNNNNNNNNNNNNNNNNNNNNNNNNNNNNNNNNNNNNNNNNNNNNNNNNNNNNNNNNNNNNNNNNNNNNNNNNNNNNNNNNNNNNNNNNNNNNNNNNNNNNNNNNNNNNNNNNNNNNNNNNNNNNNNNNNNNNNNNNNNNNNNNNNNNNNNNNNNNNNNNNNNNNNNNNNNNNNNNNNNNNNNNNNNNNNNNNNNNNNNNNNNNNNNNNNNNNNNNNNNNNNNNNNNNNNNNNNNNNNNNNNNNNNNNNNNNNNNNNNNNNNNNNNNNNNNNNNNNNNNNNNNNNNNNNNNNNNNNNNNNNNNNNNNNNNNNNNNNNNNNNNNNNNNNNNNNNNNNNNNNNNNNNNNNNNNNNNNNNNNNNNNNNNNNNNNNNNNNNNNNNNNNNNNNNNNNNNNNNNNNNNNNNNNNNNNAAAGUGUAACAAUUCUUGUGCUAUGUGGCUGCUGUACGGCCAAGGCGGAUGUACGGUACAGCAGGAUCACCCGGGUUGGUAGCUCCUUAUAACCCAUUUCAAGUGCUUGCAAGGACUCUUUGAGUUGAAGGAUUUCUGAUUCGUAAUUUGAUCUGAAAAGUAUUGCAUUAACGCGAGUGAAUGCCGAAGGAACAGCUUUCAGGAUGUGGAAGAGAAAAGAUUCAGCAUCCCCAAGUCUAGUUGGAUUUCCAUUGAAUUGGAGGACUUUGCUUACGUCGUCUUAGCUUGGAGAUAUUUUGGCAAGUUUUUCAACGAUGUCAAUGCUGAGUCCCUGGCCGUCAAGGAGGGCCUCUAUGAUUUCUUUUUGAGAGAUUGCGAGUGAACUCAGUAUUAUUGCUGUGUUUUGGGACUUGCGGGGUUCAAGGAUAAAAAGCUCUGCUGUUGGUGCCGCAUUGGAACUGCCUGAACUCAUGGACGUUUUGCUUCUUUCAUAGAGUCUACGAUUGAUGGUGGAAUAUCCAAAUAGAUUUUCAAUUUGUUCAUCAUCAAAUCUGAAAAGAAAUAGAAGAUUUAGCAAACAAGAACUGGAACAAUGCAAUAGUAGUUUUACUUUAAAAAAUGACAAAUUACCUCAGGGAUCCGUCGUUGAUCUCAUUCCAGACCAUCGAAUGAUCAACAUUGGUUGCGACCUUAUCCCAGUGCAAUGAUUUUAGCUUCACGUGGCCAACAACAGUCCUACUUGAGCUCUCCGUCCUUAAUCUUACUUGCAUUCCCCUUCGGAGUAGGUGGAGGUUUCAAUGGCGAAGCUAAAUUAGGUGCCUUAGGAGGUGGGGAUGCUGGCGUAGGAUUUCUUUUUACCCGUAUUGGUGGCAGUGUUGCUUGUAAUGGAUGAUUAACACUAGGAGGAGGAGGAUGAGGCGGUGGCGGCGGUUGUGUUGAUUUUGUCGAAUUGGCUCUGCCUUUCUCUCACCGCCGGUUAAAUCAGAUGUCUCUUCGGGUGACAAACGUGACAUAAUACUUCUUUGUACUGUUGUUAUGUCCAUGCAUUUUUCUUCAUCUUCUUCGAAACUCGGAUUAAACACAAUCUUCGGAAAAGUAGCUUUAAGCUCUCCGUGUUCUAGUUUCCUCAUGUAAAGGACUUCCUCAACAACUAAACCUUUUACUCUUCCUUUAAAUUUCUCAAACUCUUACUGAGUCACAGUUGCUUCCUGCCUACGGAAGCUUGAAUUAAUUUUAUUUUUCUGCCGAAGUCUUUUAGUUCUUUGACAGAUCAAGAAGGCGACUCCAUCGAUAACCAGAGUAACUCUGCUGUGGCAGCAAUGAUCUUGGCAGUGCUUUUGGGCAUCCCGAUCAACCAAGGACUAUGGAAAGAUUAUGUUAGUAGACUUGUUGGCCAAUGAAUGAAUAUCAAUGUUCUGUGAAGAAUUUUUUUGAGAAAAUAGUGAGGAAGAACAGAUGACAACAAAAGGGUAAGGCAAGUAAAAGGACAUGGCUACACCAAUGUGAAUUAUAACAAAAGGGGCUUAGAGAAAGCUGCAAUGAGGAGCGAAGGAAACUCUGUUGUUUCAUUACUACUCUUAGGCAAUUGAAGUAAAUUCUUCUGUACUGCAUAUGGGUGUUGUUUGCAGACGGUUUCAAUGAAGGUAGAUGACAUGUCCAGUUUUGCUUAACUCUUCCUGUGAAACUCCAUUGGAAAUGACUAUAAGAGCCUGUUAAGAUUCAGGUUGGAUUUGCACAUUGUCCAGCUCUAAAUGUGUUAUGUAUCUACAAUUCCGAUGAGGGAAGUGAUGGUUUAGCCGUCGCCCUUGCUUAACUUCAUUCAUAUAGACAACCAACAUAACAAACAUUUGCCUUGGAUUAUAUCAAUAUCUUUGUAUUGCAUUGUCUAUUUCUUUUUCUAUUCUUAGUAAUCUCGUCUUCGAUUUAAAUUAAACAAUUUUGCAACAGCUGUUGUAAAAUGCCAUAAGCAGGCUUCCCAGAAUGUGUUCAUUGUUUCUAUUUGAUUGGAAGAUUAUAAUAUUAACGAACCGAUAUAAUGUGCUGCAAGCUACACAGCUGAAUAUGAUAAUCAAUAAAUGCUUUGAAAGUUUCGAGCAUUUUCUCUCAAGAUGCCACUGGGCAUCUGUCAAGGAAGCUCAUAAUACAUGGAAGGAUGCAGCACACGUGUGAGAUGAAUGUAGUCAGCUGCAUCAAUUGAAGAGUGGUGUGCCAGCUCAGCUAAAGUUAGUUAGACACGUUAAGAUCUAGUUUUAGUUAGUUAUUCAUUUUUCUGUUUUAAGCUGAAAAACAGCUGAGUAUAAAUAUAUGCAUAUUGUAAUCAUUUAGAAGUUAAGUAAAAAAUGAAAUAAAGCAUUUGAUUCCAGAAGUUCUUUUACAAUUUUCUUAGCACGUUAAAUACAUUUUCUCAGUAACCAAACAGUCUGUUCAUUCAAGCUUUUAAGCUUUAAAACAGCAUCACAUUACCGGCAAAUUCUAAAUGGCCUUUUAGACCAAAUCAAGACAAAAUAUAUACCCCCGUUGAUAAUUAGGUGUAUUUUGAUGAAUGUGGCUCAUUAGUUAUUUUUGACGGGGUAUAACUGCAUGAUCUGUUGGCACUUGGCAACAUGUCCUCUCAAAUUGAAGUCAUAUGCUUUUAUUGUAGAAUCUGAAUUGAAAUAUCAACGCUCAUCAUUAAGACUUGAACGUCGUAGCCAUUAGCGAAGAAUCUGAGUUAAUUAAAAACCUCACCAAUUCAUUUAAAGAAUUGUUGAACACAGGCACUGAAAGCUUUGCACCCCAUUUAUGAACUCAAUUGUGUUUUAGAUAAACUUGAGUAAUUGUCUGCUGUGAUUGAUGUCCCUAGUGUUUUAACUGCACCUAUGGGUCCUUUAAAUUUAUAGAUUUAUAUAUAUAUAUAUAUAGCACAUAAUAAGCAGUAUUAAAUGUUUUAGCUGGAGCAUAGAAUGUCAUUUGGCCCAUAAUAAACAAUAUUUAGUGUUUUAGCUGGGAGCUACUAAAACUCCGAGCUAAAACAUUAAAUACUGCUUAUUCUGGACUGCCGUUCCCAGCUCUUUCUCAGAGCCAAUGCAUGCUCCAACAAGACUUGUUUAAAUGUAAUUGUAGCAAAGAAAGACAUUAUCGUAGAUUUACUUGGUCAUGUUUUACCCUUGUAAUGUUAGCUUUCCCUCAGUCUCUCUUGGUCUAUCUUCCUUCCAAAUGACAUUAUUAGGAGAGUAAAUCAAAGAAAUUAUUGCAUAACUUGGGAAAUCUACCUGCCAUUGCUCAAAUACCUUUAUAUAUAUAUAUAUAUAUAUAUAUAGAUGGAGGAAUUAAGAGUCUAAAUUUAUACAAUUAUAACAUAAUUUGGUAGUCUAUCGAGCAUAGUUUGAAAAUCUCACUUCUGUAUAUGAUUUGCGCAAAGUACUUCAAAGAUUUACCACCGUGAUGGGUAAAAGUGAUUUACCACAUACCCAUUGGCCUGAAUGGAAAAGUCCACGAUAUUUAAACGAGUAAAGAUGCUUAGGUCAGGCUUCAAGCUGUACUUGCAAUAGAAUUAGAAACAACAUAAUCGCCAAGAAAGUUGAAUGCAAUUAUCCAACGUCAAUUUUUUGUAUUAGUGAGGUUCCACAGCUAAUAUUGCUGAUUGUAACUUACGUCGAUGACAUUCACAUCAAUGUAUGUGUGUAACAUACCAGCAGAAUUGUUGAUCAUGCCACGUAAUGCAGAAAGUCACAUACGAGCAAAAUUGUUAGUGCAUUUCACGGAAAAGAUUCAACCGAGCACACUAUCAGGUAAUAUCCCGAGUAACUGGGGCUUCACUUCAUUAAUGGCAAUGAAAUUUCAACUCCCACAGAAAUAUCACAACAAAGAGCAAAAAGACUUCAUUACUUUUCUAUACAUAAUUCUCAUGGUUUUCUUCUUCUUCCUUCUUCUUUUUUUCAUUUUUCUCUGGUCGUGGUAAAUUCUUCAUGUCAGCGAAGUCUGGUAAGCCACGGUGUACAAAAUUUUACAAAAAUCAAUCUUCUCUUCAUUUGGGGCUAACUACUGACUAUAGACAAAAAAUGACAAUUCUUAGUCACUCAACAGCAAAUGACUCAAGAGUCCCUGCUAAAGUAAUUUAGGUCGCUUGAAGGGACAAUUGGGUGAAGACAGUGAAGAUGGUAGUUGGGAAGAUUCUAGAUCACAAGCAACCGAAGAUGAGAAUGAUAGGGGAACCGAGGAGGCCUGAAUAUCAUCAAUUAGUUUCCUCUUGAGAAGCCCACUUUUGCCAUUUGCCUGUGGUUCUCCUCUCAUUAUGUGAUCUUUUAGCCGUUUAACGUCUGAUAGUUUCACUGGCUUGACUAUGUAUUCCUCUGCCCCUUCUUCCAAACAACUGUUCAUCAUAGAGAAAAUGGAAGCUGUUAAUAACUUGCCAUAGAGGACACACAUAAAUGGAUUAAAAAAAAAAGGAUUCAAUUAGGGCAAUUUGACCAAUUCUUAAUCCAAAUUUUGUGCAGGGAAGAGGCAAUUAAAUGAGUUUUAGAUAAGCAGGAAACAUUUUUUAUGAUAAUUUUACAAUACUUGAUUAGACUGCUUCGUGUUAGACAAUAAACAAACAGUCAAACCCCACCACCCAAUAAUGGCCAAAGGAAAAUGCAAGUGAACUACCCAGACCUAAGUGGCGAGUAUCCUUCACUUUCUCCAUAUGGAAUGAUGAAAUACGAUUAAAUUUCAUUUAUAAAAAACAGCAGACAUAAUCUUUUACCAUGAUUAAGAUCAAAAGAUUCUAUCAUUCUACAAUUCUAAAUCGGACAGUAGUUACAAGAACAUACCAUGUGAGGUGUUAUUUCAUAGAUUUAGAAAUAUUCCCUAGUCAACAGACAUAAAGCCAUGUAGGGUAGGGUAGGGUAGGGUAUAUUAUCCAUGCAUUAUUUUUUACACACGCCACCAGUCGGUCCAAUUAUAUUUAUAUUUGAGGUGAAAAAAAUCAUAAUAUCAUAUCCCAUAAAGAUUUUGGUGUCCCAAAUCUGGUGUUGGAAAUAUUGACAGAUUUUCAUUCUCUCAUCACAGAUACCCUGUAUUUCAUACGGGCCAGAGGAGAUUUGAUCUUUUGAAUCAAAUGAUCAGAUUCCUCUUAGAACCAUAUCAGAUUUGAUCUCCAAUUAAACAAAAGAAAUUUCCCCAAAUCUACUAUUUUUAGCUCUUAUGGUAACAUCAAUACACAAUUAAAAACAAUUGAUUAAACAUAGAAUGAGAUUAAACCAAGAACUUACCUAUCAAUCUGAGUUAAGACAUCCUCAGAAGACAUGAUCACUACCGGAACCUCUCUGAAAACAGAUGAUUCCUGCACAGAAAAUUCAUUUAACAUCAAACCAAUACACGGAAAAGGGAAAAAGAUUUGAAAUUUCAACAUAGGAUUGAAGCCACCAGAGAUUUUAAAAUAAAAAGACCGGAGGGCUCACCUUGAUCUUUUUGAGUAGUUCAUAUCCAGUCAUCCCAGGCAUGGUAUAAUCUGUAAUGAUCAGAUUCACCUUCAAAGCCUGCAAGUAAAACAAAGAAAAUAAAAAAAAUGAGCCUAACAGAAAACAAGUCUGGAGUUCUUGAGUUAAGGUAGAAGUUCAUAACUUCAACUUCAUCAUGUUUAUAUCUUUUUUCCCUCCAUUUUCUCAUCAAUCAAACAAAAAUACAAACAAAAAUGUUAAAAAAAAUCGGCACUUACAUCAAAACCAACAUUGCUUUGCUCUCCAUCUAAACCCAGAUACUGUAAAGCUCUUGUUCCACUCUCCACAGCCGUCACUGCAAAAAAAAAGAAAAAACACAUUUCAGUUCGCUUCACAAACCCAUCAAAAUAAAAACUAUAGCAUCUUUUCAUGAAAAAGACCAAUAAUUACCUUUACAUGAGGAUAUCUGAAGCAAUCUCUCAAUAAGCUUGCGAUCAACAUAACUAUCGUCGACAGCAAGAACAUGUAGCUCCUUAGAACAUUCAGCCACUGUUGCCAUUGCCCAAAAAGGAAAGCCUCUAUUAGUCUCUUUGAAUUUCUUUUCCUUGACGAGCCGUUGGUGGGUUUUUGUCAAUAUAUUAUGUGUUUGUGUAAGGCUGUAAGCAAACGGGAAACGUUGAGUUGGUGCUCCUGCAGGUUUUGCUUUAUAAAUAAGGCAAGAAAAGAGAGAGAGAAAAGGAGAGACAAAGGUGACAAGAUUCUGAGGAUCCAAUAUCUUAAGAUCUUAGCAAAUCUUUCUUUUUUAGCAAGUAUCUUUCAGAUGACCCAUUAUCAACCAACUUGUUGUUUGUCCCGUCAAUUUUAACUCUAUUUAUUCAUCUACAAAAUCUUUUUCGGUGUUGUUUCUAUGACUCCCUGUCAGCGAGAAGACAACACGCAAAUAUUAUAAUAAUAAUAAUAACGUCUACUUACUUUUAUUAAUUUUGACCCAAAAAAGAAUAAAUUUACCUGUACAUUGAGGUCGAGGCGGGGAAUUGAGGGUUGUGGAGCAGGAUUUUUGACUCUUGUAUGGUUUGAAUUGCACACAAAUGGGUUCAAAGAUUUGCAAAUAUUGCUUCAUGUUCAUGGUCCAAUGGUCGUCUCUUUCACGGGCACAAUAUGACCCACAGGGAAAUUUUCUAAAUCUAAGUGAAUAGCGAUACAAAGUUGAUUGUUCAAAACAGCAUUGAUAUCAAGCAUACCGAUCGACAAAAUUCUAGAUUUGCCAAAAUUGACUAACGAAGAUAUGAAUCAAGAUAUGUCUAUAUUAACGUAUGAAACCGCGUAAUAUUAAGUGAGUUAUUUAUUUCCUUCACUAUCUCAUUUAUUCUUUUAAGGUUAAACGGAAUGAAGGAGUAUGUAUUUAUGUUUUCAAUUAAUCCAAAAACUUAUUAAAUAGUUUUUUUUUUAUGAUAUUUGUGUUUGAUUAAAAUAGUAUAAAUUUAUUUUUAUUUAAAGAGUCUUUUGAAUGAUAAUUUAAUAUUAUUAUUAUUUUGCUCUUUUAUCUGUCAUAUUAAUAAGUAAAUAAGUAUUUGAAAGUUAAAUCAAAAGACUUUCAAUUAUUGAUAUAAUAUGGUUAGACAAUUAAAAAAAACUUUGUUAUUCAAUUAGCAAUUCGAUAUGUUUAUAAAGACUGUUAUGUUAAAUUUAGUAUGAUAUAUGUUAAUAUCUAAUUAUAUUGUUCAUAGAUUAAUGAUAGGGUUUAAUUAUGUUGGAAUCGUUUUAAAGUAGAGUAUAUUUUUAUAAUCACACGAUUAAAAUUAUAAUAUAUUUUUUAUUAUUUAUUACUUUACGAAUGUAAUUAGAAUUUGUGCUCUAAUUUAAAAGUGCUUAAGCAGCCCAUGCCUCGGUAAUAAUAUGGAUUGAAAAGGAAAAACGAAGAAGAAGAAGAAAAAAGUAAAGGGAACGGCACUGCAUAUGGCCGCAGGUCAAUAUAAAUAAAGUCUUUAUUUAUAUUGACUUUAUCAAAAAAAAAAAAUAUUGACGUGAUUUUCUUUACUUUUGAAAUUUUUGCAAAAUCCGAGAAACGGCCGAAACGGCGGCUUCAAAAAUGGGAAAGUCGUACAGACUGUGGUUAAUCUCGGGACUCGAUACAAUACAGAAAUUGGAUUGAAUGUACGUUCGGGUUACUGGGAGCCAAAAUCUUUUUAGGUUUGAUCCGGUGAGAGGGCGACAGGUGGUGAAGUUCCCAAACCUCCUCUAUGUGCGCGAGUGAUCAUUAUUAAAUAAAUAAAUAAAUAAAUUGAUCAUUUUUAAUUCUAGGGUUUCUACUUUUUUUUGUGUGGCACUGGCACUCACUGCGUAUGGGUAUAGACACAGAAUACGAAUCUGAGAGAUCGAGUGGGAAACCUGGAUCGUGGGAUUGUGGCGUGAGAUUUUGUUGCGCAUCGUAUUUUCAUAUAAUGAAAAUUAGAUGGUAUUGCUGAAUCCUGAGGUGACAUCUCAUUACACCCACACUUUUUACCACGUCCUCAAUCAAGUUCAAAUUACCGACAACAAAAUCUCUAAAUACAAAGACCCCUUUGUCUGUUAUGCGAGUCCACAACAUACAUGUACAUCAACACCAUCAUAUUAUUCACCGUCCACGUGUCGAUUGAUUGAACGUGCCUCUUCUCAUAUGUAUAUCUUCUUAUCUUUAAUAUAUAGUAAGGAUUAAGUUAAAUUUUUUUCCUAAAAAUAUGAAUUUCAAUACGCUAAAGAACACAAUACAUUUAUUUUUCUUUUUUUAAAAAAAAAAUCUAUAUCAAUAAAGUAAGGGUUAUUUGCUCUUUUUUUUUUCCGUAAAAUUAAUCUUAAUUCAAUAAUUACAAAUUAAGUCUUAAAAAAAAAUUAAGUUGACCCCAGGAGUCGAGAAUAAUCUAUAACAAGGGUUGUUAACUGCAUUGAUUUGAUCCUUCAAGCACACUCAUGGGUCAUUAUCCAGUUGGGUGAGCUGGGUCCACUUUACUGUGAGAGAAAUAAAAAAGAAUCUGGAGGGUGUAUUUAGUAAUAGAUUGUCAGUCCAAAAUCCAAACCUACAUGGCCCGAUUCUAUUCUGUACAUUUUGGCAGCCCAAAGACACAGAAAGUGAGCGACGCCGUAGGGGCAAAAUCCGCCGCCCAAUAAAGUUUCAACUGCGCAGAAGUUUCGGCGGUAGUACCUUACCAUUCAUUACCAUCGAGAGAUGGAGGAAGAAAAGGCGGCAGCGUACUAUGACGAGCUGACCCGGAAGGGCGGAGGUGCCGCUAGAUUCAAGCAAGGUCUCGGCUUUUCCUCCUCAUCCACUUCCGAAAACGACGCCGUACCCGCAAAACAUACUUCUUUCCUCAGCAACUUUGUUAGAGCCUCGAGCCCCACCACAGCCUCCCAUCCUGAGAAACCCUCUCAGCUCGAAUCUAUUCAAAACAAGCUCAAGAAGAAGCCUAGCGAAGAAAAACCAACUCAAUCAAGGGUUAGCACUAAAGACAGCGACAGAGAGAGGAGUCACAGAGAUAGAGGGAGAGAUCAUAGAGACAGAGACAGAGAGAGGAGUCAUAGAGAUAGAGGGAGGGAUCAUAGAGACCGAGACAGGGACAGAGGAAGGAGUAAUCGAGAUAGAGAUGGAAACAGAGAGAGAGAAUAUAAAGAUAGAGAAAGGGAGAGGGGGAGGAGGAGGAGCGUGUCGCCGCCACGAGAGGGGAGGGGAGGAAAGAGGAGGGAGGUGGAGAAGGAGAGGAAUAGUAAAGUUGAUUAUUCACGGUUAAUUGAAGGCUAUGACCACAUGGUACGUCUCUUCCUUCUGUUAUUAUUACUUUGAAUUGUUAUUGUGUCUGGGUCUGUUUUUGUUUGUUAGAUACUGUAUUAUGUAUUCCGUAUUUGUUAAGGUGUUGAGUGUUGGCAACUUGUAUGGCUGGAUUCUUCUUUGAAUUGAUUGUCAUUGUCUGAUUAAUAUGGGUUAUUUUAUAACUGUGGUUGAUGCUCAAAAGGGAGAUAAAUGAGAGUAACAGAAUGAGUCUGAGAGUAUGUUGAUCUUGAUACUGUGGUGAUAUGUGCUUUUAUUAGAGCUCAGAAAUUGAUUCAGGCUGACAUCACUACUUUUUACAGCUUUGAAUCUUAUAGAAUUUUAGAUUAUUCAUAGACUUCAACUUUCGGAGCUGUGAGAUUUUAAUUUAGUUACUCAUCUUUUGCAUGUUCCAUUGUUGUAAUCAUUGGAUGUAAAAUCAGAAAUUUUUGCACGUGAAUCUGCACAUUUGAUAUCAAAUGCUGUCACUGAGAAAUGACUGUGUGUUGUGUGUAUGAGUUAAAAAGGAAGAAAGGAUUUGAAUUGCUUAUCCUUAUGCACAAAUAUAUCAACUGUGAAGUAAAAGAGGAGUGUCUGGAAAUGCACCUCAGAUUAGAUAUUGGUAGAAAUGAAUUAUUCUAGUUUUAAAAAUGCAUUGAUAAAGACUUAUCUCUACUGUCUUGGUCAAAGAAGUUAAACACAUAUAUGGUUGCAACAGAUGUAGUUUUAUUUUUCCAGUUUAAUGUUGAAAAUAUGUGAGGAUAGAGGGAAAGAUAUCACGCGACCUAGUCACUUCAUCGAACCUCUAAUCUGAAACAGAAUUUGGUUAAGGUUCAGUUACAUGUGGUUUUGGCACAUAUUACAACCCUCUCUCACAUUCAUACCUUUUUUCUUUGUAUAUUAUGUUUUUUUGAAGUCGUUUUCUUAUUUAUGAGGUUAACUUGAAUUGUAGAACUGAGUUCUUUGGAAUAUAAUACAUUAAUAACUUUCCAGCAAAUGACUUUGAUACAAUAGUUCUCGGUCACCAUGGACUGGAUCAGUCAUUAAAGUUACCUUUCUUUUGUGAACAGACGCCAGCUGAAAGAGUUAAAGCCAAGAUGAAACUUCAGCUAGCUGAAACUGGUAAGUGACCCUAUCUUCGUUUGGUGCUGACUUUUUAUUCUUUUUAUUGAUCAAAUUGUAGUUUUCCAGAAACUUGAGGAUUCAUUUUAUUUGCUUUCUCAAGUAUAUUUAUGUACUGAAAGGCCAAUCUUUUAGGCAUCACCCUUUCAUGUGUUGAAUCUUUUGCAAAAUUUCGUAAUAAUGACCCCCUUGAUAGCAAUAUUUUAUGUAGAUUUGGUUUGACAUAUCAAUUUUGCAAUCCCUGAGGUUCUCACUGGGCAAGCGUUUGUUUCACUUAGCUUAUAAUGUUUCCCCUUGUCCCUGGAUGAGCAAAAGAGCUGUUAGAUACCUAUUAGCUAAGCUCCUAAAUAUGGCAUUUUCUCUAUGUUGUAAUUUAUGAUCUUUUGUCCCAUUAUAGUGGUGUUUUCUGAGUGCAGCUAAUAAGGAUGAAACAAAGGGCUCUGGAUGGGAACGAUUUGAGUUUGACAAGGAUGCCCCUCUUGAUGAUGAGGAAAUUGAAGGUUGGUUAUAUAUUUCCACCUUUAUGUCUGACCUGGAUAAAAUAACAUGGAGGUUAGAACUAAUAUUAUUAUGUUCACCCGAUCUUCAGCCGCGGAAGAUGAUGCAGCCUUAGUCAAGCACAUAGGACAGAGCUUCCGGUUUUCUGCCAUAGAGGUAGGUGUUCUGCUAUCCAUUUCUUAUCGAGUUAGCAUGUGAUGUUUAUGCUAGUUGGCUCUAACAGUAUGUUCUUGAGAUAUUAAGAGUGAAUUAUGUGUUUUAAUGAAGUAAUUAUUUAUAUUAUGUGAAUUCUGAAGGCAAGAAGAGAGGAACAAAUAAAAGCUGCUCACGAUGAGGCCAUGUUUGGAGCAUCUGCUGUUCCACCAUCUGUUUCUUCAGAUAGUGAACCAGAACCAGACAGCAGUGAAAAGAAGAGCAGUGAUGGCGACAUUGCUACAAGCCUCUUUAGUGAGAAUGUAAAUAACUUCAGAUUUUAAUGAACAAUUUUUCUUUUUCCUGCAACUGGAGGGACGAACAUCAAAUUUUACACAAUUGUUAAUUUGGUUUCAGGUCCUUGCAAAGCAACAAGGUUCAUGGCGUGACCGUUUUCGCAAGGCAUAGAAUACCAAUCAACAACGAGAUGUCCACCCUCAGUUACAGUGACUUAAGUGUUGUACAUAUAGCUGAUAUUGUGGAAAUUUAACGCCCCAUAGCCAAAAGCGUGUCUGUAAACAAUAUGCAGAAGAUCAAGAUUUUUGCCUUAAGUUUCCUACUCUUCAUUACUUCUUUCACGGGUUCAAUCACAUUUUUCCGCCAUCCGUUCGGGUUUUACUAAAUUUUUGCAUUUGAGGACUUCGCAGACGAAAUGACAAUCGUCAGUCGAGAUUGUCUCUUCAUUAUGUACCAAGUCCUAACAACCCAAAGUUACAACAUAGUGUAAAUAUUGUAAUGUUGAAUAAAACAGGUAAUAACAUUAAAGCCAUUUGCGAAAUGUCUUUGGUUCCAUUGCUAAAUGGUGCGUCGUUCCAUUACAGCGGUAACAUACGAUUUGUCGAGUGUAUUACAAAAUAAUGGACGACAUGCUUCUCCUUCAUAAAUUCGUGUACCAUUUCCCUACUUGGGCUUGGGGAUAACAACUUGCUCGUAUACAAAUAAACUUCAAUGACCCGUCGUCGGGCAUCUCUUACAUUAUUUAAUGAUUAUUCAGAAUAAUUCUUACGCGUAUCAGUUAUCAGUUUAGCAAAUGGUAAAAGCUAUUAUGGGGAAAAAGGAAAAAUUGGAUAAUAAAAUUUUGACUAAUUUGUUUGUCUUUAUUUUUGUGUGGAUGUAAUGGGUGUAUUACUAAUUAAGAAUGAAAACGAGGAAUAAAUUAAAAUGAGGAAUAAUAAUUGAUCUAUAGUUUAUUUCAUCAGUCUCUACUUUUAAAUUAACUUCUUUUAAUUUCCAUAGUUAUCUUUAUUAAAAAAAAAAACGAAUUAAUUUUUUUUUCUUUUCUCUCUCAUGCCUUCUCGGACUCAAAUCUGUUCUUUCUAAUCUCAAGCAACACCAUUUUAACGCAUUGGAUGCUUAGAAACAAUUGAAAAGCUCAUUAACAAAAAAAAAAAAGCCAGUUUAAAUUCAGACUAACAUUCUCUCGAGCCAUUUAUUACUUUAUACUUCAGAAUUCCUUUUAUUCCGUUUCAAGUUGUCCCAAUUUUUAGCUAUGAAAAGCAAGGGUAAAAAACAAAACCAAAUUCAUGAAAAUUAUGUCAUUACCAUUACCUGCAAUGCUUCUAAGCAAGGCUUGGGAUUCUUACUUACAUCAACAGCUUUAAUGGUUGUGCCGAAUGACUUUGGACGUGGUGGCACAAUGGUCUGUUCGGUUCCCUACGUUUGCCAAAUCGCUAAAAGUUUGUGAUAUUGGUUUUUUUUUGUUUUUUAAAUAAAAAAUACUUAAUUUACUUUCUUUCUAUUUUUUUUUUUUUUUUUAUGUAUACAAGUAAGGAGUUUCCACUCUAUCUUUUAAAGUAUCAUUCUUCUAAUGUUAGAUUAUAUUAUACAUAUCAAUGGUACGUAGGCCUAAAUUACUGAAAAAUACCUUCAUUUUUAAGGGUUUAGGUUGUUGGUGAAACAUACGCAAAUGAAAUAAUUUUGGAGGUUAAACAAUCAAAUAGAUUGUUUUGUUUAUUUCUAAAAUAUGGAGGGAGAAUAAGAAUCAAAUUAGUAGACUCAACACUAACUUGGGAAUACUUAUCGAGUUAUGACUCCCAAGAUGUUGGAAAAUCAUACUCUCCAUUCCUUGGAUUAACCAAAUUACCCCUACUCAAACCUUGUAAUUCCAUUUUAUCAUUCCUUUCAGUAUUUGGGGAAAAAAAAAAUUGAUUAGCAAGCACUGCACAAAUCAAUCUCAUCGUCAUUACUGCUUGUUAAUAUCAUUGUUGAGCACCCAUUGGUCGGCUCUGCUACUCACUUCCAUUGCUGCUUGUUGCCAUUGCUAUUGCUGGCUGCCCAUGUUGCUCAUCGUGAUCAUUACUGUUGUUUCACUGUCAGUUGUUGCUACUGUUGAUGAUGAUUGUGAUUAUUAUUGUUGUUGUUGUUGUUAUUCUUUAUUUUUUGAUGUCAUUGUUGUUAUUAUUAUUAUUGUUCACAUUUUUGUCAUUAUUAUUUUUAUUAAAUUUAUAAUUGUUAUUGAUAUUUUUUUUAACAACAAUUUUUUUAUAAUAGUUGUAAUUAUUACUAAAGACAAUACUAAUAAUAAUUAGGAACAUUUUAGCAAUUUUUAACUGUUCAUUCUUAUUUUUAAAAUAAUAAAAAACACAUCAAUAAGUACAACUCAUUUAAAUUUUAAUCCCUAUAAUUUAAGUAAACAUCUUAUUAUUAUUCUGAUAUUUAUUUUUCAUUUCCCAUAAUAAUCCAUUGUAAUUUUAGUCCGUUCUAAUAAAUAACCGAUGAAUAAACACGGCGUCAGAUUGUUGCCAAUUGUUGCAAACGACGAACGCGGUAUUGCAAGUUGCUGAAAGAAAAGGGGUGCGGACGCCAACAUUUACAGAGCUACGUGUCGUUUACGGAUUGGAGGACGGAGAGCGCAGCCAGACCGACUACUUGCGUAAAGCGACCAAUGAGUACCUAAAAAGAAAUAAAUAAAUAAGAAAAAAUGAAAGCCCUAGCCCCUGGUCAAAAAUCAAAAUAAAUACUUCGUCUCUCUUGCCAUCUAUCCCGCAUAUUACUUGGCGAUAAACAGGAACCAGAUCCUUCGGUUGACUUGCUCCGCUGCCAAUUUCAUAUAGAGCAUACAAUGGCCGGGAACCGAUGGAUUAGGCCCGAGGUACGUUCAAGUUCCAGCGUUUAAUUUUUUGUCUAACGCCAAUAUCGCUUGGUUUGAUUUUGAUGGGAUUUGAUCAAAUCUGUAAUGCUAUUUUUGAGUUCGUAUAGAUCUCAACAAAUUGAUAAGUUUGAAAAAUACGUGUAGGUGUUUCCACUGUUCGCGGCUGUAGGCGUUGCCGUCGGGAUCUGCGGAAUGCAACUCGUCCGCAAUAUCUGCAUCAACCCUGAAGUCAGGUCUCCCGCUAACUCUAUCCAGAAAAUUAUUAAUUUUUUAUUUUAAUAAAAUUUGUACAUGGCUAUCUUAAUUUCUAACUGGAUAUAAUUAACGGAAAAACUGAUUGUUUAGACUAAUGUGAAUGGAGUAGAUUACCUUCCAAUAUUUGUGAGGUUAGAAAUUUGGGUUGUCCUAUAGUAGGCUUGAUUUAAGCUGUCCUAGUAGAUUAUUGUAGUAGACAUAUCAAUGUUAGAGAAAAAAAAAUAAAUGCAGUUCUGGCUUUCCUGUCAAAGAAAAAGGGGGAAAUAAAUCUCUUUAUGAAAUCUAGUGAUGGUUUUGAUGUCUCGAAGGUAUCACCAAUAUAAUAACAAUAUAAGAAAAAAAAAAUGAAACUUAAAACUUGUCUGAAAAACCCGUGAACAAAAGCCGGCCUAAAUGCUGUGUUUGAUGUUACACCAUGGCAUCUGUGCUUUUGGAAGAAUGUUUAUUUGAGUAUUAAAUUGGAAGAGGACUUUUGUAAUUUUUUAAGCAUGUGAAAUUUUUUAUCGCACGCUAUAUGAUUUAAGUGGUUCUGUGGUUGCUCCUUGUCUAUUUGUUGACAAAAUGAUUAAAAUGUUGAUGUAGAGCUCAUCUAACUUCAGUGGACGAAUUAGGCUUAUUAUAGGUGUUGAUAUUGAGCUCUACGGUGCUAGAAAAACACUUAUUUGAGGGAGAUGUGGUUUAGAGAUUUCAGUGCUAGGUUUUAUUUGUUGGAGCCUGUUGUCUUAUUUGCUUCAUAUCGAGGGGAGAGGAGAUUAUAAGAAUGCAUUCUGGUACACAGAUGUGAUGACUUUUGCUUGACUUACAAUCUUUCUUUUGGCCUUGUUGAAUCAGGGUGACCAAGCAAAACAGAGCUGCAGGAGUUUUGGAGAAUUAUGCUGAGGGAGAAAAGUAUUCUGAGCAUUUCCUAAGAAAAUAUGUCCGCAACAAGACCCCGGAAAUCAUGCCGAAAAUCAACAGCUUCUUCACCGACCCUCAGUGAAGAUAGUUGCUUCCUCUGAGAAUUUAAUGGUGUUUUGUAGUGGUAUGUGUGAACUUCAGGUCUCAUAUAUCAAAUGGAAAUAAGAUUUGGGUGAAUAUAAACACUUUGAUUUGUGUUUGUCUGAAAUGGAUCAGUGUCUCCAAGGCAACACAGUUAAUUGAUAGUGCUCUGUCAUUUAUUACCUUUACCGAUGAAUUCUACUCCUUUUCUGUAAUAUGUUAUCUUACUAUUCUGGAACAACAAUAUUUUUUUAUCAAGAUUGGAUAUAUUAUUAACUUGAGAUGAUGAUAAAAGUUUUUAACUCUGGAGUGUUUGUAAAACUAACAAAUGCCUAGACUGGUAGCAAUAAUGUUUCAAUUUGCAACAGUGGACAGCCAAAAUAGAUCAUCAACUAACAAACAGAAUUGCUCAAGCUCUAUAAGUAAAAUAACUUAUUGAAAGGACACUUUUACGAGUGAGGUUUUAUGGAGUUAUAAGUCUCAGCUAUAGCUGAAAUGAAUCUAGAGAAGGAAAGUAUUAAAUUGAUUAAUAAAAUUUAGUAUAAAAGUAAAACAGUUUUCCAGGUUGUACACGGCACGUCAACUCCUCAGCCUUCAGAAGUUAAGAACACUACAGUAGACAACACUGAAGGUAAACAUUGACGAAAUGUGAUCAUGCUACAAAUUUACAACCUUUAAAGUUAAUGCAACAUAUGCAGACUUGAAUUCCUGCACUGGGAAUAUCCAUCUUCCAAAUAAACAAAACAAAAUUUAUAUCAGAAAAUACAAUGGCUUCUUCGGUUAGACGACCAAGAUAUGCUUGCCUCUCUAAAUUCAAUAUAUCUCAAGCUAUUCAAAGUUGACAGUUCCCUCAAAACUGUAACUUCUCUAAGUAAUAGCAUAAAAAUCAUGGAGGAAAGUGUUCAACAUCCAUUGGAGGAAAACUAGAUUGUGCCAUUCUCAUUCCUCGAAGCAUAAUCUUUGCAGUUUCUUUUUCCUACAAUCAUGCACAGAAGUUAAGAACUUAAAAAUAUGUAUAAACCAGUUUUGACAUUUUAUUUUUCCUCUCUACAAAUUUUUCAGAUAGGUAAAACUCACCGGGCCAGUGUAAUCCAGAAGACGAGUACAAUACACCUCUGCCUCUUCAAAUCUGCCAUGCGCUCUGCAGUGGGUAGCAAGAAAUAUCAGAGCUUCAACCAUGUUUGGUCCUUCCCUCUCUUCAGCUUCCAUCCUCUCCAAAUCCUUUUUGUAGUAGAAUGCUGCUUCUUCAUCACGUCCAAGUGCGUGAUGCAGCUUCGCUAACUGGUUCAGGGCAAUUGCUUCACUGUCAUUACAGUUUGCUGCCCUUCUGUAACAUUUUAUUGCCUCCUCAAGCAUGUGAAGCUGUUCAGUUUCAUAACACUGAGCCAUGGCGAUCCACAAUCGAGAAUCAUUCGGCUGCAAGAAUACAGAUUUUCGAAAAUAAUGAAGAGCAUAUAAAGGCAUAUGCAUCAUCUCAUAAGCUUGUCCUAACCCAUACCAGGCUCGAUAGUCACGUGGAUUUAUAUCUACGGCCCGUCUAUAAGCAUCAAUGGCUGCUGGAGUAUUUUUCAUUUCAACAUACUCGUGUCCCAUUAGUGUCCAAGCAGACAAAUAAUUUUUGUCUAACUUGAGUGCCCUCCUAAAAUACACAACAGACUUCUCAUGCUGCCCCUUCAAACUGUAGUAGUUCCCAAUGAUGCAACAAGAUUCAGGUCUGUAUUUAUCAGUCAUAAAUACCCUGUGGGCAAGGUAACUUAGGGCAGAAAAACACUCCUUCGCAUAAAGCACAUUGGAAUACAUAUCCAUGUCAUCCACUCGAUAGGGGUCAUUUCUUAAAAGCUCUUCAAAUAUUACUUCAACUUGUUCAAAUUCCCUCAAACUGUACUGGGCUUUAGCAAUUUGAGCCUGUAUGUAAUUGCUGAAACUGAAAGUGCCUUGUAGAUAUUCAUAUUUCGUCAAGGAUUCAUUAUGCAUCCUAAGUUCUUGAUAAGCACUGGCAAGAAAGUAGUCCUUCAUCCAAUGGUUAUUGAGAUUAAGGCUGUUCAAGAUGUCAAUUGAAGUGCACAAGGACUUCAGCUCCGACCAGGCAUUCCAAUUCCAAGGGUAGCUAUUUACAGACUCCACUAAAACUGUAUGAGCAAGAUUCUCAUUGCCUUUAUCUUUAAGCACAAUACCAUAUAAGUACAAACCAAAGGGAUCCACUGUCCCAUUCUUCCAAGAUGUAGAUAACUCCCUCUCCAGCGAUAUUAGUUCACGGUUCACAGCAUUACUCUUGCCUAAUGGACCCUCGAGUUCUAUCAUUUCUUCUUCCUUCCGCUUUUCUCCAGCCUUCAUUAAGCAACAAAUAGGCAAUAACAUGAACAUAAAACUCCCUAAAUAUAGCAAAACUUUUUGUAUAAUACUGAAAGUACCAAUAAAAGGCACUAGAAAAUGUACAAGUACUUACCUAAGCAAAAAAUGAUGCAUUAUGAAUGUAAGCCACUAAUAUAAGAUUACGAACUGCUCCUACAGACAGUUAAAGUCCUUUGAAAAGUAAUAUUACCUGUCCCUUUAAAUCAUAUCCUCCCCGGGUCAAAGCUAAAAUUCUUUUCUUGUUGAACAGUUUCUUCCCAACUUUAUUUAAGUUAUCAAUGCCUACAUUGUCUUCAUGCAUUUCAAGAACUUCGCAUUUAUCAAUGAAUCAUUAAUUUGCACAACCUGGCGUGGGUUCUAACAGAAAUUCCUAGUUUCUAUGGAGAACUUGUUAAACUUGUUUUGAUGACUGUUAUCCACAUGCCACAUAAACAAAGGUGAUCAUGAUGGCCUAUUUACAAAAUCCAAAUAUUUACUGAAGGUGGGUUUCUGCAUAAACUAUUUUAUCCUGAUUUAUUCAAUUUCAAUACAUGAUAAGUUUUAUUUAAAACACAACAAACAGGACAUCAAUCAUGGUAUGGUAAGUAUAAAAAGGAGCACCGAAAAAGCAGAAAUAAAAGGACCCUAGCAUCUAAGUUACAUACAUCCAAAACUUCCCCCAAAAAAAAAAAAAAAAAAAAGAAAUUCAGGUUCACUGGAAUUAAAAAACCAUUCAAAACAAUGCUGAAGAGUACUAAUUAUACAAAUUGAGGGAAUGUAAAUAGUAGGUAGAACUGAGCAAAAAAUGCUGUGCAGAUUCUAGAAUUCAGGCAGAAAAUGGUCAACAUGGGGAUUUCAGUAUAAAGCCAUGAAAUGUGAACAUAAAAAGCUUAAAGCUAAAAAGAAUGAUGCAAACCAGAUAAAGUGCAUAACAGCGCAAAAACACUGAUCUCCUUCCAGUUUGAUCACGGAGUACGUGAGCAGCCCUCCUGUACUCUCGGCAAUCAAAGUAUGACUUUGCCAAAAGGUAAAAGUCACUAUCCUCUACCUCAUCCUCUUCCAUCACAGGGGUGGACACAUAAGAGACACCAGCUACAGGUGUCGAAGUGAUGUCAUUUGUGCGGAACCUUCUACGUAUGCUUGAGCUUCCACGCUGGAAUCUCGUGUUUGUAGGUGUAUAUUUUGCCGGGUCUUGUUCGAUUCCCACCAACUGCUCUGCUGCCCUGUACAUAUAAUGGCACACAAAAACUCGUUGGUAUUAAAAUAAAAAAUAAAAUUAAACUAGUAAAUUUUCAUUCAAAAUCUUACAUUUUGGUUGCUUAUUCCAACAAAAUCUAUCUGGUCUUAAAUAAUCAUGAAUCAAUCAUUUAGCUAAAAUGUUCUCCCCUUCAAAAUUUAAGCCAACAUUAAGGUCAAAAUUUGAUUUUUUCCCCGCAUUCUCGCUCAACAUUCUCAGUGACCAAUGGAUCACCAAGGCUGUAGCUUUAUCGUUUAUUAAACAUCACAGUCACGCUCGGAAAAGGAGAAUCAAAUAGAUGAAGCUAAAUGUUAAUUACUGAAGAUACAAAACCAAUUUUAGUACUUAAAAACAAAAAUUAAAGCAUAAAAAUAAAAAAAAAUUAUUAUAAUAAGAAAAUGAAGUAAUUGGGGGUCUAGGGUUUUAGUACCAUUGGGCGGCAGAGUAAAGGCAUCGAUUACUGAGUUGACGAAUCGCAGAGCGGAGUUCAUUUCUACAACUUUCUUUCGAACUCAUCGAUCUGUUACUUAUUUUCUUCUAAGAAUUAAUGCUAUUUGAUCAUUAACUAACGCUAAUUUGUUAGCGAGUUCAGUCUUCUUGUUCCGCGGUUCCGCGCCCAGGCUUUUGAAUUUAGCCGAUUACUUUUGAUUUUGGUGGAUUUGGGUCAUGCCAAAUGGUCAAUAAAUAAUACUGAUUAAAAAUAAAUAAAUAAUAGUUUUUUUUCCCCUGCAUUUUUUAUUUUAAUAAUAUUAUUAGAAACUUUUAUUUUUAUUUUUACACAUUUCAUUUAAAAGAUAUGAGGGUGGGAAGCUCAAUAUAUUUUCAGCCUCUUACCUCUUCUAAAUUUAAAUUCAGGUGAUUGGUUAAAAGAACGUUGUUUGAAAACUAUUUAAUUAAAUUCAUGAUGAUACAAUAAUAUUAUAAUUACAUAAUUAUAAUAUAUAAUUUAUAUCUCAAAUAAUACCUCACUCAUUAUUCAUAGACAUGUGUAGAUGAUCUUUUUUUUGAAGAAAAAUAAUAUUUUUACUAUAACGUGUGAAGAACCACACUUAUUUAUUUAAAUUCUUCAUAAUGUUUUUUAUGUGCUCUUAAAAAAAGUUUUUUUUUUUAAUGUAAAAACAUGCGCUCCUUAAAAAAGUCAUUCAUUAUGAUGUAUAUAAUGAUUGAUUGAACUGGUGAAUUUUAUUACAAAGAGAUUUGGGGUUUGAUUCUUAUUCACAUAAGUGAUAAUUACAUCUUUAAUUUUUAAAAAAUGAAAUUUAUGGCUCAAGCUCAAAUCUAUUUUCUCAUGUAGUUCGCAUACCUUAACUUCAUCUCACUCUACACACGAAUACAAAUUAAUUUAUUUUUUCAAAAGAUUGGUGUCAAAGAAAAUUGAUCCUAGCUUCAAAUGCAAUGUAAUGGUCAAAGCAACUAAACCAUGGCAGUAGUAAUAAAAUAAUAAUAAUAAUAAUAACAACAACAACAACUAACUUAUUCUUAUAUUUUAUCUAAAGACUUUUAAUUUUUAUAAUUUAAAUAAAUAAUUUAUUUUAAUUCUCAUACUCUAUCUUAAUUAAUGUAAAAUGAACCUACAUAAAUGCAAUAGAGCAUAAAUGUUUACUUCCGAAACUUAAAUGUUUUGAUGAUGUACCGUCAUAUGAUUGGAUUCCCCAAUUGUGAACUGCGCGCCACCUGUUUCAUAAGCCACAUUGUAAUUGUACUUUUACGCCCAAUCCCAAACAAUCUCCAAAUCUUCAGAUUAAUCAUUUCUGAAUUCUUCCGUUACAAAACAAAAUUACCAACAAGUACCCUUAAUCGCAGCGCCCACGCGAGGAUAAACACGUGAUUUCUCAACCCAAAACAAGCGCGUCUAGAUCUCAAUUCAAAUUCCCGCUAUUCCAUCAGAAGCUCUCAUUUCAAAACUUUCAGGGUAAAAAAAAAAAAAAAAAAACCUCCUUCAGAUCCCUCCUACUCAAAAUUUUACACCCCGCCAUUAGUCAACAUUCUUAACGGUCCCUCCAUUCUCCAUCCUCCAGUUCUCUCUAUAAAGUUACAUACAGUUCGCUCAAAUCCUUCACCGAAACGAUGCCGCAGUCUUCCUCUUCAACCAAAGUUCAAGAUCCUUCUUCAAGGCACUAUGCUUACAGCCGCAAACAAAAAUCCCUCGGCCUCCUCUGCUCCAAGUACUCUUUCAAUUCCUCUUUAUUAUUAUUUCCGUUUGUCUUUUUAAGUUUCUUGAUAUUUAUAUUUAUUAUUUUGUCAUUUGUAGUUUCCUGAGUUUGUAUAACCGAGAUGGUGUUGAAUCGAUCGGCCUUGACGAUGCCGCUUCGAAAUUAGGUUUUUUUUUUUUUUUUUUUAUCUCAUUCUUAGUUUUAAAUAUCUAUCUGCUAGUUUAAUAUUUUCAUGAGAUUGUAGAGGUUUUGAUUCGUUCGAUGAAUUGUAUUUGUAGGCGUCGAAAGGCGGCGAAUCUAUGAUAUCGUCAAUGUCUUGGAAAGUGUUGGAGUGAGUUUUUUUAUCUUUAAUCUUUUUCAUUUUUUAUAUUCUUUAAUUCUUUUGUGUAAUUUUUUUAACCUUUUAUUUGCUAAUUUAGGUUCUUACAAGAAGGGCAAAAAAUAAGUAUACGUGGAAGGGGUUCAAGGCAAUCCGUGGCGCUCUGCAGGAGCUCAAGGUACUUUUAAGGUUUUAAAUUGAUUUGUUUCUUAAAAAAAAAAUAUUGUGCAAUUGGAAUUUUAUAGUGAAAAUUAAUUCUGAUGUUGUUUGGUUUGAUGAAAUAAUGAUAGGAAGCAGGCCUGAGGAACGCUUUCACUACACUUGAUGGCAGCAAUAGUGCAAAAGUAGGUCAAGAUAGGGUUUACAAUGUUCUUUCUUUUUUUUUUUUGGGUAAAAGUGAAAUUCAUUCAUUUAUUUCUGUCUUAGGGUUCCGACGAUGAGGAUGAUGAUGAAGACGACGAUAGUUCAUCUAAUCCCAAUCCUGGAAGCCAAAGUGAUAGUUUAAACCUGAGAUCUGCUCAUAAAUCUUCAAAAAAUGGUAAUUAUAUAAAGAUAUAAUACUUGUUAUUAUUUUAUUUGACCAGCUUAUGCUUUGAUUAGAAGCAUUAGUGUGUACAAUUUAUUUGUCAUGUUAUUGGCAUUUGAAGUGUGCCUUUAUUUGUUGUUCGUUAUUGUGUUAAAUGAAUUUCCUAAUGCAUUGGGUCAAUAUGCUAUGGUGGUCUUUUAGUUUUGAACAAUAACGGAAAAUUGGAGUUCUGACAUUUCAUCAUUACUUUAUGGUCACACUUACAGCUUAUAUGUAUGUUUCCUUUACAGACAGUAGAAGAGAAAAGUCUCUUGGACUUCUUACACAGAAUUUUGUCAGGCUUUUUGUCUGCUCUAAUGUGAGUGAAAUCUUGAGAUUGGUUAUUCUUUUAAAAUUGUCAAUUACUUGUUAUGCAAGUGUUACUUUGUAUUGUGUUUCUUUGCAGGUGGAUAUGAUCACCCUAGAUGAAGUAGCCAAGUUAUUGCUUGGGGAUGCCCACAAUACUUCUGUAAUGAGAAGUAAGCGAAUUCUCAACUUGCUAUUCUAUUUGAAGUCUCUGUAAAUAGGAGUUAAAAAGCUCUUGUGACUGAUGUUCUCUUAACUAUAUCUGCAGCAAAAGUAAGACGGUUGUAUGACAUUGCUAAUGUCUUGUCCUCCAUGAACCUCAUUGAGAAGGUAAAUGAAAUAUCAUCCCAAAGGCUAUAAAUGAUAUAAGCUCAAAAUUAAGUUUUAAUAUUUAUUUAGAAUUUAGCUGAACUUAAUUACAUAUGGUCAUGAUUAUAUAGUCCUCUGAUAAUUUGAUCUUUUACCUUGCAGACCCAUACUGCAGACACCAGGAAGCCAGCAUUCAGGUGGUUAGGGGUAAACAGGUUGGAGAUUGGAUUAGCUGAUUCUUUGAAUCUUGAUGAAUCACGGAAGAGGACAUUUGGAACUGAUGUUACAAACAUCAGUUUCAAAAGGAAAAGAAUGGAUACUUCAAUUAAUGGGGAUAUAAGCCAAAGUAUUAAAAUGGAAAAACAAAUGAAAGUUGACGAUUUGGUAAGGGUAGUUGAUGGAAGUAAUUCAGAAAAUUAUGUGAAUCAGGGCCCAAGGAGUUACCAAUUUGGUCCUUUUGCUCCUGAAAGUGUGCCCGAAGUCAAUACCUCGAAGAAUAAUGUGAAAGGGGCACAUGAUUGGGAAAGUCUUACUUCAAAGUAUUGUCCUCAAUAUCACAAUCAAGGUAUAAUUUAAAUAUCUAAUUCAUCAAUAUUCUAUGAUUGCUAACUGUUUUGACUAUGGCAUUAAUAUGUAACAUGGCCCUGUCAUUGUAGUUGAAUCAAGUCUGUCCCAUAAAUUUCAUCAGCAAGAUCAGAAAUAGAAAAUCUAUAUUUGGUCAGCCUUUUGAUUCAUUUCUUUACUCACAUCUUAUUGUUUAAAGAGCUCACCGAAUGAAUACUGUUCGUUUCCAUAAAACAGCAUACUUAUGAGCAGUGACAAGUUUGGAAAUUUCAUGAAUAAAUAACCAUGCUCAAAAUAAUUAUGUUGGCCGGUUAAGAUUUUGCUUCUGAGACCAUGUUCAUGUCCAAAAUGGGGAAGUUUACUUGUUUUGUCUGUCAGCUGACUGUCCAUCCAUAUUGUACUCCACACACACACACGCAUAAACAGAUGAUACUAACCUUUUGUUGGUUCUGUGAAUAAAUAUUUCAGCUCUCCGAGACCUUUUUUCUCAUUACAUGGAAGCCUGGCAAUCAUGGUAUACUGAAGUUGCCGGGAAGACAAUACGACAAAUUUCCUGAUCCUUCAAUUCAGUGACUUUCCUAAUGAACUCCAAAUAAUUUCAUCACAGGCAGUGCAUCGAGAUAUCACUAUUUCUCAAAGAAGAGAUGGAAACGCAGUGGAAGCACGCUCUCUUUGCUCCUACUUGGAAUGACCAUCCUCUGGAUUUAUGUAAUGCCAGCCAACACCUGUACACACUUAUCCGGUGUGUUAAUUCAUUGGAUUGUUUCUGUCUUGCUAAUUGUUAUAUACUUGCAUCUUGUUCUUUCUACUGAUUUCCAAGCAGACACUGAAUGCGCAAUAUCGUGCCACAUUUUUUUUUCCUUAAUUUAUAACAAGUGUGACCAGGGUCAAUAAUGACUAAUAGUACUUUGCCACUUAGGUACAAGGACAAAGCCUUUCUUUUUUUUUUUUAAUAAAAAGUGGGUAUUAUAUUUUAGAGAUUAAAAUUAAGAGAUAACACUAAGCUAGUACGAGGUCAGGUUUAAAUAUAAUAUAUAGAAUAAUGUUCAAGAUUUAAGCUUAAGUUAGAGAGUAUUUAACCACAAGAAUAUCUAACUCUAACCACAGAUAAUUAGAAAUAUAAAUUUUUAAGAACUGAAAAGAGAUUAAAUGGCUUCAUGGCUUCAUAGAUUGAUUCUGAUGAAAUGUAGAGGAAUUUUAACGGCACUGGCCUAGUCUAUCAAUCUCAACUAUUACAAGCGAAAAUCCUUGUGCAAUUAAAACAAUGACAAAACUACAACACAAGAAUAUCAUAGCAACAAAACAAUAUAUAAACACUAAAAAAUGUGUAUAUGUACAUGUAUAUGUACACACACACAUAUAUAUAUAUACAGGCCUCCGCCCUAAGCUAUAGAAUCUCGAUGCACCAAUUGAUAUAUCAUUUGAUUAAUUAUAUUAUUGAUGAUGCAAAAGUAUAAAAAGAAUCAAAUGAUGAUAGUGUACUGUAUGUAAUAUUUAAUUUAUUUAAAUUAUUUGUUCAUUAAACUCGAAUUCAUUUAGGGUGCAUUUGGCAGCAUAAAUUACCCUAAAUUGUAUUGCAUUAAAACAAUAUUCUUAUACAUUUGGCCAUAAUUUUUUAGUUCUAUUGCGUUGCAUUAAAAAGGUAACUAAUAUAAUUAAAGGUGCAUAAAAUUAACUUAUGGAAAGUAGGUUUAAGUUGUAUUGCGUUGAAACACGGUUCAUAUUUUAAGUACAACCAUUUAACUUUUAUUAUUCAUAAAGUAUAGUAAAUUUAAUUUUGUUAAACAUUAUUUUAUAUAUAUUAAAUUUUUAUCAAUUUAAUUUUUAUAUAAUUAAAUAUUAAUUUAAUUUAAAUAAUAAUAUAAAUUAUUAGUUAGCCUAAAUAUUUAAUAAAUAAAUGAUAAUACAUUAUUUUACUUUCAUUACAUAAACUCACUUUAAUUCUUUUACUUAAAUAUGUAAAAAGUAUUUAAUUUUAUUUAUAAUUUAUUAUUUGCUAAAAUACUAAAUUUAAAUUAAACAACUAUAUUCGCAGCAGAUAAUAAUAAUAAGUUUAAUAAUAAAACCUAUUAAGAAAUUUUUAAUUUAUUUAUAAUAUUAAUAAUAAAAUGAUAAUAUUUUAAUUUUAUAUAAUGUCGUCUAUACUACACAAAAUAUAUAUUGAAUUACAAUUUAAUAUAAUAUAUCCUAAUAAAUGCACCGCAAAUACAAUACAGUACGUGAGAUGCACCCUCAAGGACUAUUUGAUCUGGCAUUUUAUAUGGGCAAUCAUUUCAUGUAUGUACUUAAUUCGCUCAUUUGUAAUUUGAUUGAUGUUAUUUUUAUAAUUUUAUAUAUAGUUCAGCUAUGUGAAAUGAAUACGUGAAAUAUGACGCGCCAUUACUAUCUGGCCGUUUCGUUUUAGUUUUAUAUUAUGGGAUUGGAUAAUUUUAGUGUAAAAUAAUUCUUAUGUCAUGGUUGUUGUAAAAAAAUAAAGGUAGGAUAACAAUAACAGACCCAUUACUUAAUUCUAAUAGUGGCAAAUUUUCAUCCUAAGGGAUCCUGGGGUUACAUUUUUUAAGUCAAAACUUUGUCCUCUACUAUUCAUGAAAUUAAAAACUAUAAUAUAUUAAAUAUUAAAAAAGAUUAAGGGAAGAUUUUGCUUUUUUUUUUAAUAUAAAUUUACCAAUAAUUAUUAAUUUAAGUUAGAUUAUAUUACAUGUCAUUUUAAAAUAAAUAUAAGAUGAUUUUAAUAAAAUAAUAUAUAAGACAUAUUAUUAGUUAUUAGCUAAUCUCAUGGCAUACCAAACACCGACACGAGAUAUAAUUAUUUAUAGUUUAAUAUAAUAUUGCACCAAACACCACAUAAAAUUAUAUAUAAUUCAAUAUUAUCUAAUUCAAUUAUAUCUUAUCUCAUUUAAUUUAAUCUAACCCAAUUCAAUUUGAUAUACCAAACGAGCCCUUUGUAUAUUAUUAUUAUAUUAAUAAUAAAAAGAGUUAAUAUAAAAAUAUUGUUGUAAUUUUUGUACGCGUGACUGAUAACUGAUUUUGGUGAAAAAGGUGAAAAAAAAAAUAUAUAUAUUAGAGAUGGAGCUUUUGAAAAAGGCCGAACUAGCCAAGUAGCCAAAAAUGUGAGCUCAAAUGUUCGCAUUGCUUCGAAAACCUCCAAAAAAUCACUUACACUUCUUCUGUAUUUACCGAGGUCUUUCGCCUCUCACCACCACCUCACCGGCACCGUUACCACCGGCAGCUGCCGACCCAGCCGCCUUAGCCAGCCUCAUACUGACCUCUACCGACCCACGUACCCUAACCCAGACCCUCCACUGCCCCAGUCUCCAUUGGACCCCACAACUCGUCGACCAAAUCAUCAAACGCCUCUGGAACCAUGCCCUCAAAGCCCUCCACUUCUUCAAUAUCCUCUCCUACCACCCAACUUACGCUCACUCCCCCUCCUCCUUUGACCACGCCAUUGACCUCGCCGCCCGCCUGCGCGAUUACAGGACCGUAUGGACCCUCGUGCACCGUAUGAAAUCCCUCAGCCUUGGCCCCACCCAGAAAACAUUCGCAAUCAUCGCCGAAAGGUAUGUCUCUGCUGGGAAAGCUGAUAGAGCUGUCAAGAUUUUCUUGUCAAUGCAUGAACAUGGUUGUCGGCAAAGCUUGAAUUCUUUUAAUACCAUUCUUGAUCUGUUGUGUAAAGAGAAAAAAGUCGAAAAGGCUUAUAAUUUGUUUAAGGUUUUUAGGGGGAAAUUUAAGGCCGAUGUUAUUAGUUAUAAUGUGAUUGCAAAUGGGUGGUGUUUAGUUAAGAGGACUAACAAGGCCUUGGAGGUUUUGAAGGAGAUGGUUGAUAGAGGAUUGAACCCGAAUUUGACAACUUAUAAUAUAGUACUUAAAGGGUAUUUUAGAGCUGGUCAAAUUGAGGAAGCGUGGAGGUUCUUUUUGGAGAUGAAGAAGAGGAAAUGUGAAAUUGAUGUUGUUACUUAUACUACAAUUGUUCAUGGGUUUGGAGUUGUGGGUGAGAUUAAGAGAGCUCGAAAUGUUUUUGAUGGGAUGGUCAACGGUGGUGUGCUUCCAUCAGUUGCAACUUAUAACGCCAUGAUUCAGGUUUUGUGUAAGAAGGACUCUGUGGAGAAUGCUAUAUUGGUUUUUGAGGAGAUGGUCGGGAAGGGUUAUAUGCCCAACUCAACAACUUAUAAUGUGGUUAUUAGAGGGUUGUGUCACACAGGCGAAAUGGAAAGAGCCUUGGAAUUUGUGGGAAGAAUGAAGGAUGAUGAGUGUGAGCCAAAUGUGCAGACUUACAAUAUUUUGAUCCGAUAUUUUUGUGAUGCUGGAGAGAUUGAAAGGGGUUUGGAGUUGUUUGAGAAGAUGGGUAGUGGGGUUUGCUUGCCAAAUUUAGAUACGUACAAUAUUUUAAUUAGUUCAAUGUUUGUGAGGAAGAAAUCAGAUGAUUUGCUGGUGGCUGGGAAGUUGUUGAUUGAAAUGGUUGAUAGAGGAUUCAUGCCAAGGAAGUUCACUUUCAAUCGAGUUUUGAAUGGGCUUCUACUAAUGGGUAAUCAAGGUCUAGCCAAAGAGAUUCUGAGAUUGCAGAGCAGAUGUGGCCGUCUUCCUCGCCAAUUCAAACUUUGAGGUCAAUCAGUAUUCACAUUUGCUCAUGAACCAAGUCCGUUUGGGAUUCUGUGCCGCUCAGAGGACUGCUUGCCAUUUGAAUUUGCUGUGAUGUGCUAGUUCAGUAGGCACUUGAGUAUUGGGUUUUACUGCUUACUUCUCAAAGCAGUUGAGAGAAUGAAUACUAUUACGAGGGUGGUGAUAGAGGGGACUUUGAAAGUCUGAAGACUCUCCAGAUUCUGGUGGAGGCACCACAUCAUCUUCCAAUGGUUUUGGAAAAAAAAUAAAAUAAAGUACCAUUCUGCGUAGCAGCACUGGAUAUUGAGUGAUGUUGAUGUCAUGGUUUCAAUCAAGUCAUGAGGUUUGCCUGCAUUCUUCCUUCUUUGCCAUUUUGUGUUACUAUGAUUAUCACCACCGAUUUGAAAAAUGAUGUCUGCAUCAUUUAGGUAUGAGAAACUGUCGCUUAUUGUCACUCUUUUUCCUUUUUGUGUGUGUUUGGAAUCCACAUUGCUCUAAUACUUGAGUAUGAUCAUAGCAUGUUUCAAAUUUAAUGCACUGAAUUGCUGUCAUAGUCAGUUUGCAUUAUCUUCUUUGGAUAAGGGCUGCUUUUAAAUAAUUCUUGAUGAGUAUCAAAACUUCUGACUCAACUUUUUAUAAUUGUUGUUCAUAUUAACAACAUUAUACAUGUUCCCAAUAAGAAAAGGCAUAUGUGGCCCAUGAUAGUGGCAGCUGGUUUUUCUGCAAGCUAAACAGUGCUAUUAAGUUGUCUUUUAAAUGUCUGUGGCAUUGUCUAUGUUCCAAUUUAACUUAGAUUCUAAAAUUUUGCACACAUUCUAAUGGAACGGUUUGAUAUGACCUUGGCUAUGCAGUGGUUAUUGCCUUAAUCCUUGGAGGAGGGAACUAAAGGCUACCAAAUGCAUCAUUUGAUGCCUGCGGCAUUGAUCUCAAUUGUCUAUGUGCCAAUUUGACUAAAAUUUUGCACACAUUCUAAUGGAACGAUUUGAUAUGACCUUUGAUAUGCAGUGGUUAUUGCCUUAAUCCUUGGAGUGAGGGCACUAAAGGCUACCAAAUGCAUCAUUUGAUACCUGACCUCGCUUAUCUCUAUAUCCUUGGAACAUACACAUGGAAGCAUGCGCAAGUAGAAGGGGACGUUGACAACCCACCUCACUAUGAAAUGAGAUGGGGGUGUGUGUGUGUGUAAAAUACAUCCUACUCGGUUGAGUCUGUUAUCAUGUAAUAAACUCAAAUUAUAUAUUGCUUUCAAUUAGAUAAGCAAUUUUAUUAUGUUGACAUAGUUCCUUGCUUCUAUCAUCUGACCAAUUGCAUGUUCUGUUGUCUAAUACAAAAUAUUUAUCUCUAGUAUCACUUAUUUGUUUUGAAUUAGCAUCCUGAGACAUUACUGUCCUAAUGCGCAUUACUGAUGUCAUUCAGAGUGGUGUUUAAAAAAAGCUAGAUGAUGCCAGCAAGAUCUCUGCAUUAAUCUUUACUUGAGAGAUUAAGCUAAAACAUUGAAGUUUCAAAGAGGCACUGAUCACAGAAUUCAUUGUCACCCAUCGUCUUAAAAUGAUUCUUUCGACUUUUGCUACGCUCCUGGCUAGAAAACUCUUUCCAGAUUUCACAUAAGUAGCCAAUAGUCAAAAUUUUUAUUCCAACAGCCAAAUCUCAAUUUACAAAUGGGUGCUGAACUAUUUUAAAUUUAAAUGUCGGUGUUUCUACUUGAAAUUUGGAAAACAGUAAAAAGAGAAAUCAUGACAAUAAAUCAAUAAUAAAGGGAAAUACACGGAGAGCCCAAAAGUAACCUUUGGUGUGGGAUAUGUGGAGCUCUAUCAUAGGAUAAUUUCCUGAUGAACACUAACAUUGAGUGUUUUGUUUGGAAGGACAAUGCUGUUAGUCACAACUACUUCAUCUUCAACACCCACAGCCUCACCUAGAACAGACAUUUAUAAUAUAAGUCAGAUUGCAAACAACUUUAUACUUCAAAUAAAAAAAUUGAAAAGUUAAGGGAAGGAGGGGGAAAAUGCAUCAUGAAGGUACCAAGGAUUGUGAUCCCGAGUUUAGCAUUGAAAUCUCCUUCAGCCUGUAAUCCGUUGAUCAGACACAUAAAAUGAUUUGGCACAUUCAGCAGAACUUAGGAUAAAUAAACAGGGAAAAAAUGAAAAGAAAACAAAAAGUGCUCCCUUUUCCUUCCACCACUAGGGACAGAAAGAGGAACUAUCAGAAAACAUCUCCUUUUGCAAACUUACCAUCAAUACAUCUACAUUGUCUCAUUACUUGAUAAUCUCAUAAAUCAAAAUCACAUUAAGUAAUUGUAUUUAGAACUUGCCUGAACACGGGACCAUCUACCAAUGGAAGACUUCCACCCAACAAUUGCAUUAGUAACAACUGCAUUUUCCUGAGAAAGUGAUUUACACAUGUCAAGCUUAACAUAAACAGAGGGUUCGAAUUUGCUGGGUUGGAUAGGCAGGGUUUCAAAUCAUAGAAAUUGCUUAAUUACCAUGAUCUCAACUCCGUCAAGUAUGAUGCAACUAAUGAGCCUUACGCCUGCUCCUAUACGAGCAUUGGCAGAAAUUGAGACAUUGGGACCAAUCUGUUUUCAUGCAUUGCAGACAAGUCAGUUCUAUAGUUAAGGUAAAGAUAAAAAAUGAAGGAAAACAAAGGACAAUGUGUAAAAUGGAAGAAGGUGGUUCUCAAUUCACUAUUCAGCUCAGUGCAGUAAUAAAGUAAUAAUUUGGAGACUAGGAAGGAAGAUGGACAAUGGCAGAAAAGAAGAGGAAAAUGAGAACUGCGUUAUGUUAUAGUUUUAGUGCCUGGAUACCAUUUCCAGACAACAUUUUUGGGCUGUAUGCCACAAGAAAGUUAUUUCUGUUAGUAUUCAAACUGAUGCUUGUCUAGUAAAGCACUGUCCAGCAAUGCUUUACUAUACCCGCAUAACUUAACCCGGGAAGUAAUGAAAGAAAAUACCUUCGCAGUUGGAUGUAUUUUUGCUGAUGGAUGAACAUAAACAUCACCAAUUAUAGUGGCAUUCUUGGUACCAUCUCCGCUAGCCAAAAGAUUGGGAGAGGUAAGCCGGAAUUGGGCAAGAUACAAGCCAGAGCAUUUCAGAGACAUGCUGCAUGUACAAAUAAAAAGAUCAGAUCCUACUUAAGGAGUAAAAGAUCUUUAUUCUCUGUUCUAAUUUCAUUCUGUUUUGUUGGUUUUCUUCAUUCAAUUUGGUUUGUUUACCAUGCUUUAUUUGGCAAGGGAUUUUUUGAGGGUUAGUUAUGUUAAAUGAUAUGCUUACCCAGGAGUUUUAAUUUGUUCCCAGAAAUCCAUGGUUUCAUAAGUGUAUAACUGCUUCUUUCCUGCAAGAGGUGACAGGAUAUCUUGAUCCAACCUUACGAAAUCGGUAGUAAGAUUCCUGUGAAUGACCUCAUGUUAUCAUGGAUAGAGAAAAAAAAAAUCUAUUUAUGAUAAAAAAGAAAAAAAAAAUCAAGCUAAGAAUUAGCAGGAAUGAUUUACCUAGUAGCUGACUGAAGCGCUUCAAAGCUGGAUACACGUCUCAGAUUUUCUGCGAGUGACAAGAAAGAACUUGGUUUUUAACAUGAUAAAAUCAAUACCAUAUGUAAAAUGAGGGACAAAGAAAGAGCGGAAAAACAGAGUAAAUUCCAUAUCAAAAAUCAAAUUUUAAUAGCCUGAAGUUCUUGAAUGGCACAAAUUUAAAUAUAUUAAUUCCUUGUUUAUAAUUAACUUGGAUGAUAAAAGGCUAUGCCUGUGCAUUAAAGCCUGCAAAACUAACAAAACCAUCAUUUACAUUUUUAUCACUCUCCAGCAUCCUACCGACAGAAUCCUGUAUUACUGACCUCUGUCUUUCCGCUGUGAAGAAACACCCUGGAUAGCAUUAAAGAUAUCUGGUGUAAAUACGUACACACCACAAUUUAUUAGGUCACUUACCUGCAUUACAACAUAACUAUUAUAACACUUGAGAUAAAAUAGGUAGAGUCAAAAGUAUAGGAGAGCAGGGCAGGAAACUGUUUGAAAAUUUAUCAAUCAUUCCAAGCAAUAUCAAAGGAUAUUUAACAUGUUAAACAGCAGUUAGAUCUCUGAGCUUAUACAUACAAAAGUUUCAGGUUUCUCCGUGUAAUGCAACAAUUCAUUGGUAUCUGGAUCAGCUACCAAUUCACCAAACUGGCUGGCUGACUCAGCAGAAACCUGUGUAAUAAGAGAAAAAAGAAUCCAAAAAUGAAGAUAAAAGAAAAGUUAACAACUAUAUAAACAUCUUAUGCAUGUCCUGACUAACCUUAAUAACGAGUAUAGUUCCCAUCCCACCAUAAUUUCUAUGAGCAUCUGAAAUAUUAAAGAGAAAAGGCAAAUAAGGCUUCCGGAGAACAUAAAUGAGCCUUGCCCAGUCUUAAAAUUACUGGCUUCUUGCUUGCUCAUGCAAAAGAUUCAAGAAAAAGGAACUAAUUGGACAAUUUUGAAAUUUGAACGGAGAAUGCAAAGGAAAUCAAGUCUCAGAAUAAAGAAUAUAAUUACCAAGCAUCUCUGGCAGUGGAAAACUGCAGCAGACAUCGCAAUUCAGCAAGAAGAUAUGAGACUGAAGCAAAAUAAAAUACACGUUACCAAUAACAUUAUAACACAAACAAUAAUAAGACAACUGUUAUAUGCUAAAUGCAUUAGAAUCAAUAUAUGCAGUUGACAUACUUAAUAUUAAAGGGACAGGAGGUAGAAAUAGAAAUGUUUGUGAAGUAAGAAAAAAUUAGACAAAAGAGCAUGCCUAUGCAAAAUUAAAAGGCAAAGAUAGUAACCGGGUUGUCUUCCAUGAUCAGAUCUCUGAAGUUGUAAAGUGCACCAGCUGAACCAUGAGGCUUGUCCUCCCUCAAAUAUCUAACAAUAACAUUUCAUCAAGAACAAGAGUGAGCACCAAGAUUGAACAGUCCAAAUGGAAAUUGGGCAGACAACCAGAACUAAGAGGGAAUUACCUGACAGGGAUUCUAAGCUCAUUGGAGAUUGAGGAGACAUACAAUGCAAAUUCACGCUCCUCAUAGAAUCCAACAAGAUAGAUCUGUGCCAGGUUUGGAAUCUACAACAGAACAAGCAAAUAUCAAUUAUCAAGCACUCCUCAAAUUUGAAAGUAACAAUUAGUAAAGGAAGGAUCCAAGAAUAUACAUACUCUUUUACAGGCAGAAAUUGGGUGAUGAACCAUUGGCUGUCCGCCUAAAGGGAAAAGAGGCUUUGGAAUAUUCAGUGACAAUGGCCGGAAUCGAGUACCUAUUGCAUCAAAAAUCAAAAUUCGCAACACCAAUCAAGCUAUCAAUCAAUCAUUAAUUAAAGCAAAAAAAAGCAUCCCAUAAUUUGUUGUAAAUGAAACAGAACAAAUAAACAAAUUGCAUUUACCUUUAGUGGGACCACCCACCAUGAUCACGGCCACCACCUUAUCAUCCUCCGAGCUCCCCAUCUCCAGUCAACACAAACCCAGAUCUCUCAAAAUCUGCAACAAUUCAACUCAAAUCUUCAAAAACGACGACAAUGUGAGUUCAGUGUCAGAAGCGAAAGAUUGAGAAAUUUAUCCGAUUCUUCUUCUACUGGGACCACUUUAGUACAGUAUGACCCAAAGAUAUCGCUACUUAUUAUAGCGGUAUCCGUGUGCGUAUUCGUUAUUGCAAGGAUUGUGAACACUGAAGCUGAACGUGGUUCAACAAAAUAGAUAAAUGUCGGUGAAGAAAUUGUUAAGGGGAAAAAAAAAAAAACAAAGGUGGUACGAAAUGCGAUUAGUUACAGUUUGGUUUCCGAUAAGUACGCUGAAGAAGCAAAGACAACCAAAGAAGUUUCCGCGUGAGUUUCCUCACACAGACAUUUGGUGGUGGGGCCCCUAUCAAUCUCGUUUGGACGUACGCCAUCUUUUUACUACUAGACGACAGUGACAUUUUUGCUUGUUAUCUGAAAUAUAAUUACAAAAACGUAUUGAGCCAUGCCAUGCCAUGCCAUGCCAUUAUGUUGUUAAUCAGAGUUUCAUCACUUUCACCCCAUCUUCAUGUAAUAUUAUUAUAAAUGGUUGGGUCCUUACUAAUACUUUAAUAAAGAGAAUUUGAAUGAUCCGUCAAGAUUUUUGUGCCCUGUGCCCAAGGAUCGUUAACAUUCGUUAUCUUGGUGAAAAGGGCCGGCAAAAAGAAUAUCCUCAGGAUUCAGCAACUAACACCUCAAAUUCUGAGACUCGGACUUUGGUUCGGAUCCUGAAUCCAUCGCAUAUUCUUAAAUUCAGUUUUAUAUUUCUCAAUCUGCGCACAUGAUCAAACACCUGUUUUGCUCGUGAAGCUAGCUUCAGCCCAUCAGUCACCCAGCUCAUUUCGAGCUGGCAAGUCAGUAUGCGCGGAGCAUUUUAAGAACCUUUGCUUCCAGUUUAAGAAGCGAAAAAGGUAACUGUAAAUGUCGAGAAAGAUUGAUGGUGUUCCCCCCUUAACCACGUGAAGAGAUACAUCAUGGCCUUAAUUGUUACUAAAAGGCUAGAAGUUUGCUGCUUAAGGCAAAAUGGACCAAAAUGAUCUGUUGACGUGGGUUUUCUCUGCAAUAGUUAAAUUUUAAUCAUUUACUCACUAAUAAACAUGUGAAACAAGAUCUCCAAAAUCUGACGAGAACUAAGAAUCUAAUUCCAGGCUAAAGAGCCUGAAACCAUGAUUAAACUCCAAGAGUGUCUGGGAAUAUGGUUUUACAACCAAUGGAAGCCGAAGAUAUCCCACAAGGGAAAUACAACAUGGCUAAGAGAAUAAACUAUUCUGAAGUGUUUCUGUCAUUUUACAUUACUUAUUAUUAUUGCAUAGUCUUAGCACAUAGCCUCAGUACAGUACGUCUCUCACAUUAUUAUCUGUGUUUUGCUUCAUCCGCAAUUUCUCAUUUUCAUUUCACAGCUUUGAAGGAGACUUGUACCAUCCCCAUGGCUCAUCUGAGACAUACUGAGUGACCUGCUUCACGCUCAAGUAAUUAUCAAGUCCCCUGUUCAAAAGGCAGCCAAAUAGAAUAACACAAAAUCAGUAUCAGCAGACAACUAAAUACUAAUUUGACAUAUCUUAAACAAUUAAAGAUUCAAAAUACUUAUAUUUUGAGACGUUUUCUUUUAUAUUGUAUACAUGAGAAAUACAAAUUCUCCGGAGUUACUCGAUAGGUCAAGAUUAAUUUAUUAUUAUUAUUUGGUGGGAAAACAGGCCAUACCAUUCUCCUAAUUCACGGCCAAAACCACUAUGUUUUUUGCCUCCCCAUGGAGCUUGAGAGAAGCAUGGCUGUGAGCAGUUGAUCCAUACAAUGCCUGCUUGGAAAGCCUGCAGAAGGCCAACCAACGAAAACAGUUAAAAUAUACAUUCUAUAAACUGAUUCAUGACAAUGAUUAUUUGCAUUUGUAUGUGCAAAUGUCACUCCAGGACAAGUCUCACCUUGCUUACACGAUCACACCUUUCCAAAUCCUUGGAUAUCACAGCAGCACCCAAGCCAUAACUGUGGACAAUCAAUAUAUUGUCAGAGCAGAACUGUGAAAACAAAAGGAUAAAGAAAAAGAGCCAAUUUAUCUUUUCAUUUCUAAUUUUCCAGUAACUGAAUCAACUUACCGGGUGUCAUUUGCCAAUUCAAUGGCUUCAUCUUCUGUGGAAAAUGCCUUGACACACAAAACAGGUCCAAAAACUUCUUCUCUCCAAAUUUGCAUUGAUGUAGCUAUGUCAGUUAUGACGGUUGGUUCUACGAAGAAUCCCUUCUUCAGAUGCUGCCAAUCAUUUAAGGACUGGCUCAGUAUCAUGAAUUAUUGAGAAAGACCAGAGUGCCAACAGUGACAGGUUGGGGACAAUACCUCAGGACGAGCACCACCGCACAAAAUGGUUGCACCUUCGCUCUUGGCAUUUGAAAUGAACUUCAAAACUUUCUCAUACUGCAGCAGAUUAAGUAUCUAUUAAAAGCACAUUCUUUAUUCAAAUUUACAGAUAAUAAUUUAAAUCAAAUUUGCUAUUAAAAUUACAGCAAAAAAUGCAACAGCCUAAUCAUGGACCCAUUCCAAGCAAAGAGAAAGCAUUCACAUAUUGUUAUGGAAAAUGAGAGCUUAUGCAGAUUAUGUUUAGAGAUAUUUAUUUCGCAAAAAACGUAAACAAAAAACCAAAUCUAAGAGAAAUGGCUGAAAGAAAGAUUAAGGAGAAAAUUUUCUCUACAGUGUUCCUGAUCAAAAUUGCAACCUUACCUGCCCUCUGCUAACAACAGGACCAAGUCUGCAACCUUCUUCCAGUGGAUCCGAAAUCUUAAUGUUUUUGAUCCACUUCACCAUCCUCUCUAAAAAUUCUGCUGCAAUGCUUUCCUGCAACAUUGUAAGCAAUAAGGAUCCCUGUUUACGACACCUACAGCAACUGAAAACGUCAAGAUAAAACACCUUCUCUACUAUUUCCCUGCUUCACUGUUAUAUUUAAGCCUGAGAAUCUAUACUUCCAUUUCUGUUCUACUUCUAGAUAAAGUAAGCAGAAGUGGAAUAAUGAAAACACCACUCUUCUAGCCUUCUAACUUUAGAUAAAUGAAUUUACGCCUGAGGUGACGCUAGCCCUGCCAGCUGAAAGCUUAUACUGCAGAACCAAGCAACACUAAAAUGAUUCCAUAUAUAUAUAUAUAUUUAAUGAUUCUACAUAUAUAUAUAUAUAUAUUUUGGAAUGUUAACCUAGAUCAGUAGGACUUGAACACCUAUGUUAGACAUUUUUAUCUGCUUUACUUGUCUGUUUUCUCUCUAUGUUGCUGCAACAUAUAAACAUUUGAUCUAGCUUGUGGUCUGCUGUAAUAGUUUUACAUGUGGUCUAACAGUAUACAUGCUGAUUUUAGGUUAUAAAUCUGAGAAGCAAAUGCUGGUUGAUUUACUUCUGGUUGAGGCCAGUCCAAACACAGAGACAAAGGGAGGGGGAUGGAUAGAGAAGACUAAUUUGAUAAAUUAAAAUGGACAACUAAUAGACAACUAUGUACUUACGUGCACAAGAAGGCGAGAUGUUGCACUACAGAUCUGACCAUUUGUCCAAAAGCAACCAAAGAUGGUCCACUCAACCGCUGUUUAAAUCAUAGAGUAAAUUAAUAUCAGUAUCAACAACUGCAAUAGAUAUUUUUAGGGUAAUUUAUCGUCAGCCCCCAAUUGUUUCGACAUUUAGCACGGCGCACCCACAUCUUUUGACCAUGUGCACCGCACCCCUAUUUCCGUCAAAAAAUCAGUUAAUUCUAACUGUUCAGGCUGCUAUUAAUCUAAAAGACCAUACUACCCCUGUUUUGAAUUUAAUUGAUAUAUAAGUACUAAAAUACCCCUUACAACUUAAAAAAUUUACAUCACGAAAUAGAGAUUUAUUGUAACAAUAUUUAUUUCUAUAUUUAUUAAAAUUAAAUUGAAACAAUUUUUUUAAUUUCAUUAUCAUAAAAAAAUUGUAAAACCGGUAAACUUCAAAAUGAGAGACAAAGCAUGAUUCCGAAGGGAAAGAAGAAAAUCAAACACAGAAUCAUCAUCAGAUUACAGAAAAAUUCCAAUAACAAAGAAACCUAAUCUAAUUAUACCAAACACAUGCUGUAAAUUUCACUGUAAAAUUCUAUUGCAAAAGACCAAACUAAGAAAAUUUAACAAAAAGGAAUCCAAAAAUCAAAAAUCCUAAAACUAAAGAUUUCAAACCCUAAAUCAAAUUAUAGAGGCGGCGGACAUAGCAACGCCUUCAAGUGGUGGCGUCGGCGGUUUUGUACAGCAGUGGAGGCGAUGGUUUCGAGCGGUGGCAGGUCAUGCAGUGCGCACCAUUUUGUUGUUGUCGAUUCAAGUUGGUGGCCGAUCACUCCGAAAGGCAGCAGUAGUGAAAGACAAGAAGAAGAAAAAGGAGAAGGAGAAUAAGAAGAAAAAAGAAGAAGAAGAAGAAGAAGAAGAAAGAAGAAGAAGAACGAAGGAAUGAAGACGGGAAGAAGAAGAGGAAGUGAAGAAAAAAAGAAAAGAGAAACAGAACAUAGAAAAAAAAAAAAAAGAACGAAGGAUAGAAGUAUUUUUUCUUAAAAUUUUUUUAUAUAUUAUUUUAAUCUAAUGCAAAAUUAUCAUUUUACCUUUUUUUUUUCUGUUAAGUUAAUGGUAGAUUGACGGAAAUGGGGGCCGGUGCACAUGGUUGAAAGAUGUGGGUGCGCGGUGUUAAAUGUCGAAACAAUUGGGGGCUGACGAUAAAUUACCCAUAUUUUUAUUAUACAAUUGUUUUCAGAAGCCUGAAAUUCUCUUGGCAACUAUUUUCUUGCAAGGGGAAUUCAACAAUAUGAGAAGCAUGGAAAAUCCCAAUGCUUUGUAAUUUCCAAAAACACUAACCUUUAUCUAGAUCAACAUCCUCAAACACAAUGAUUGGACUUUUUCCUCCCAGCUCCAAAGAAACAGGCUGCAAAGAAAUCAUAUACGAUUUUGUUUUUCAAAAAAACAGAGAUGGUAAAUUGAAAAGGGCAAAAAAAAGAAAACACAAGGAGAGAAGAUGCCACACACAAAAUUUUACCGUCUUAAACCCUACAGGUAUCAAAAAGGCUUUACAAGAGAGUAGUCAUAUGAAGAUAUAAUAUCGAUGAUAUGUCGCAUGCAUGUGAACUACACAUGGAUCAACAAGGGAGCACAAAUGCCAGGAAAGACUAACAAUAAUUCGAUUAUAGUACUUUGACAUACCUUGACCAUCGGAGCUGCAGCUGCCAUUAUCCUGCUCCCUGUUGCAUUGCUUCCAGUAAAUGCAAUCUGUUAUGAUCAAAUACAUUAGCAGCUAUGGAUGGUAAAUUUCCAACCCAAAAUUCAGGCCAUUGUAAAAUCUAAGGGAUUUUAUAUAAAGAUUCAAAUUUGUAGAAAAGGCAAUGAAAAAAAUGAUGAAGACAAUUGAACCUUGUCAACGUGGGGAUGGGAUACCAAAGGAGCCCCAGCUUCAGGACCCAAUCCGGUGACAAUAUUAAGAACGCCGGGAGGAAGACCCACCUCUCUACACACUUCAGCAAGCUCCAAACAGGUCCUGAAAUAAUUAAUAUAAUUACAGGCACACAACAUGACAAACCAACAUCCAACGUGAUCCUAGCUAAUAAAAUUUGAGAACAUACACAGACGCCAAUUCAGAUGGCUUUAAUAUUGCAGCGCAUCCUGCUGCCAACGCAGGAGCCACUUUCCAUGUGGCCAUCAAUAGAGGAUAAUUCCUUCAACAUAAAAAACAAGCAAUUGUUAGUUUACUGAAUAUCAGGAAUCUUGAUGGCACAGAAUUGCUAUACAAUCCGCAGUACAUAAAUAAUAUAUCUCUCAGUCAUGUUUACUGUACAGGCCUACAAUAAAAAAUCGGCACAAUUUAGGUAAAUAUGUUUCAGUGUUUGCACAGAAACACACAGGGAUACAGGCUGAUAAAGGAGUUAAUAAAGUAGCACAAAAAUUAGGGAAAUUAAAAGUACAAGGGCAGAAGUACCAGAAGUUAUCUUCAUAAAAAACAUGUGAUGUAGCCCAGAAGCAUGUGCUUAAAAUGUUUGGGGUCCACAUAAAUUGCUACAUACCAGAAGGGAACAACUAAAGGAACCCAUGACUCAUCUAAGCUUAAGCAAUUUCAAAGCACAAUUUAUCAAGAAAUUUCCUUUUUAAGCUUCCACAGUCGUGAAAGAAAUGCGAAGAAGGCAGGACUUAUGGUCACUAAUUCUAGUUACAUGCAACAGCAUGAAAUUGCAAAGGGAAGGACCAACAAUAUAUUUUAUAGACUUAAACAAAUAAAUCAGUAAACACAGGAAGAAGCAUUUACCAUGGAGUAAUCAAUCCAACAACCCCAAUGGGUUCCUUAAGUACAUAACUCUUGAAAUUCUCCAGAGGAAGAGAAACAGGAGCCUUUUGUUUGGCAUCUAAGCCUUCAGCAAGGUCUGCAUAGUACUCAAAACACCCAGCAACAUCAUCCUGGACAACAUGAAGAGUCAGAAAAAAGGAAAUACGCAAAAUACUCAACUUCAAAUAAUUUUUCAGUAGUGUCACAGCCAUACGAUGUCCCAAACAGCUUCUUCCAGUGGCUUCCCACAAUCAAUCGUUUCAAGGUUUGCCAGUUCAGACUUCCUCUCUGUUAUCUGCACAUCAAAAUACCAAGAUCAAUUAAUCACACUCUCCUAAAUUACCACAUUUUGUUAAAAUAUCCCAAAAAAAAAAAAAAAAACUCUUUGUACAGAGACUUGUUAUUAGACAAACAAAAUUACGCUCAAAGCUCAAUACAAAAAGUUAAAUAAUCAAUGGAUUUCAGCAAAUGAGAUGUUUCAUCUUUCAGAAACUGAUGUUCAAGGUCCAGAUUUCAGUAAAAUGCGGAGGCCUACACCUCAGAAUGAUCAAAAUAAGAAUAUUGAUAAGAGAUGGAUAAAACUAAUAACCUUAGCAGCAAUAGCACGCAAAUACUUAGCACGAAAUGCCCCGGAUGCAGAGGACCAAUCCUUCCCUUUGUUUCUAGAAAGUGCUUGACGGGCGGCAUCAACAGCCAGCUCAACAUCUUCAGCAGUAGCUGCUGGAAUAUCACCUAAACAAACAAACAUUACCCAACACAUCAACCAUUAAAUCAAAGCUUACCAAAUUCAAUUUUAAACUUCCCUCAACUCAAGUGAUCAGUAGAGUUAAAGCUCUAAACUCUUUCCAUCACCAAAAAAAAAAAUAAUAAACGUAAUUUUGCGACUAAAUCAAAACUAAGUAACAAGGAGAGUGGAGCGGCUGACCGACGAUCUCUUCAGUGGUGGGAUUAACGAUUGGGAUGCGUUUCUUGAGAACGGGCUCUCUCCAUUCACCGUUGAUGAACAGCUGACGACUUGGGAUUGGGAUCGCCAUCGCCAUUUUUCCUCUUCUCUCGGUUUUUUUACUUUUAUUUUUUUCUCUGUUUAAUCUCAGUUUCGGGUUUUAAGGAUUAGUUGCUUACUUGCUUGCUACUUUCGCUUUUAUGGCUGAUGAUUUUCCUCAUUACUGGGAUUGCAGUGUCUCAUAAAAUAAGUUAUUUUUGCUGCGUAAAUAAAAUGAGUUAUUAAUUAAAAAGCUUUUGUAUUUGAGAAGAUGUGUCGUUGUUGUCACUGUUGGUUUUAAACUUAAAAAUCCCUGCAUUUAAGAAAUUUUUUUUAUUAUAAAAAUUAAAAUAGAUAUAUAUUUUAGGGUCUUAAUGAUCUUUUAUUUAUAUAUUAAGAUUUAUAAAAAAAAAUAGAGUUAUUAUUUUGUUAAAAUUUAAGGUUAUAACAAGAACCUUAAAAAUAUGUGAUAACUUAUUUAAACAGUUGAUUAUAAAAAAUAUCACUUAUCUAUUUGUAAAAUUGUUUAGAUAAAGAAACUUACUAAAUAUUAUUUUUUUAAAUUUUCUGAAAUAAAUCACUUAUAGCAUUUCAACUUUAAUUCUAAAUAGAGCUAACAUUUUAGAAAUUUAUUCACUUGUGAGGAAUUUUUUAUUAAUUAAAUUAGUAUUUAAGCCGAAGAAGAAAAGAAAAUAUUUCCCUCCAAUUUGAUUUUUUUGUUUUUCUUUUUUCAAAAAGAAAAAUAGAGCAUAUAAAAUCAAAAUUGUGAUUACACGCUGAACGCUAUAUACAUGAAAUUCAUAAAUGAUUGCUUUGCAUCGGCAAUUCUCACCUAAAAAAAAAAAGAUCGUGAUUAUGAAAUUUAUUAUCUCCAAAUUUAAUGUUACAAAUUUAAUAAUAUUCUUUAUUUGAACAAAAAUUUUGUAAUAUUCAAACAAAGAAAAAUACAUAUUAACAUUUACACGGCUGAUCAGGACAAAUUUUAUUUGUUCGAUUGAUGUUUGAAUUUGGGAUUUGGACUUGGACUUCAAGGAGGCGAGGACGGGCUCCUAAGCGUAAAGGCAAAAAGGUGGGUGACCGGCCAUCAUAGCGACCAAAAUGGUUGAAAUUAGACGAGCCCCAAAACUUUUGUCGUUAUAUAUACCAAUCAAUAUACUCCCAACGUUUCAGAAUUAAACACAAAACACAAGUUUUCGAUUUUUAUCUCUUGCUUCAAUUACGUGUCGUCCUACAAGAAUGUAAAUUCACCGACACAGGCCAUUUUUCUAAAGAAGCGGUGGGUUUUCAUACGAAGAAAUUAGCUGGCAUGUCAGCGGAUCAUAUGAUAUGUAUUGCAUUGCAUCGCAUCCCAUAUUCCCAAAUUUUUUUAUUUUUUUAUUAGUUAAUUGAAUACGAUACGGAUUCGAAUGCGAUCGUGCAUAAUUUGAGCUUAGCCCUUAGCAUGUGAACAUGCGUAGCGGUGGAUAACGACAAUAGAGGUAUGAAGGCGUCCGCAUGAACCGGAGAUGGGCAAAUCGACGUUAAACGCUUGAGCCAUAUAUAUAUAUAAAUAACGACAUUAACACAAAUUAUCUUUUGCCCACGUUUAAAAAUUAGAAACCAUAAGAAAUUAGGGAUGACAAUGGGGUGGACGCUUGAGCCAUAUAUAUAUAUAAAUAACGACAUUAACACAAAUUAUCUUUUGCCCACGUUUAAAAAAUUAGAAAUCAUAAGAAAUUAGGGAUGACAAUGGGGUGGGGUGGGGGUGGGGAGGCCUAUCUCAUUCCCCACCCCGUUAGAAAUUUUUACCUCCAUUCCCCACCCCAUUCCUCAAUAAACUUAGUGGGGCGGGGAUGGUGAAUCCUCAUGUGGGGAAUGAUUUCCCCAUCCCCACUCCAUUUUUCAUUUAUCUAUUUUAUAAUAUGUAUAAAUACAUUAUUUUAGUAAGUUAAAAAUUAGAUACUUAAAAUAAAAUCAUCAACAUAUUAUAAAGUAUUUAAAUUCUUUUAAAAAAAUAUCUAAAAGUUUGAAACAAUAUCUUAAAAUGAUAUUAAAAGUGAAAAAUAUUUAAAGAACGUAGCACCUUAAAAGAGAAAAGAAAAUAUAACAAUAUUUCAGAGUUGAAAAAUAUUAUAAGAUUUUUUUUCAUUCAUAUCUUAUUUAUAUUGCAUAAAAAUUAAAAAAAAUUCUUAAUUGACAUUAUAAUUGAUAAAAUAAAAAUUAUUAAAUAAGAAUUAAAAACAUAUUUAUAUAUAAUGGGAAUUGAGGUGGGGGUGGGGUAGAGAGUACAAAAUCAAACCCCACUCCAUUAAGAAUUUAAGAAUUAUUUUUCCCUCACUCCCCACCUCAUUUUCCAAAAAUUAUUUAAAUUUUUUCCAUUUGGGGUGGGGCUCCAUGGAGCGCCAGACGAUUUUGCCAUUAUUAUAAGAAACAUACAAGAUUAUUAAAAAACAAAAAAAAAAUGGGUAGAGCUAUGGCCUGCGAUUGAGUCAUGAUUUUGGCACGUGUCGUGUCCAAUGACUCUCGUGUGGAUCAAGCUUCUUAUUGGGCUUUGAAGGAGGGGGCGUGGGGCUUUCCAUUUCGAAAAUUAUGGUGGUCACCGGAUUAAAUGACUUUUAACAUCGGGGAACAGUUGGUCUAAAGUUUAUCAAAAUUUUUAGGCCGAAACCAAUGGAUUGACUUAAAAUUUGUUUAGCCAAUUAAUAAUAGGCUAGAAGAAGCCAUGAUUCAUGAACUGAUGUAGAUCAAGAUGAACAGAUACAGCGAAAAACAAAUAUUUUUUUUAUAAACACGAAAGAAAACAAAAGGAUCAAAACACGUGUACAUACAUACGAAUCACGCUAGUUUCAUAAUUUACAUACAUAAAUGAAAUAAAUGAUCAAUAUAAUAAAGAAACCAAAAACGAAUCAAUCCGGAAACGAUAUAUGAUCACGAUCCCUAUAAUCACAAGAAGCAGAACUGGUUUAGUAGUAACUAGCGUUUCUGGGUGGUUUUGUGAUACUUGGAUUUGAUCCACUGGAAGCCGACGGAGGUACCUUCUUUGACUUUCUUCAGGCCAGUCGAAGCCACAGAUUUGGUCUUGUCAAAGCCGUCUCCCACCUUCUGCUUGUACUUUGCUGCUCCUGUUCCAUUAUUAUUGCUCCUCUUUUUCUGAGGCACCACCGAUAUUGGGUCCGGCCCAUCGUCCCAUUGAUCUGCCCAUGAUGUUCCAUACGAGUUGUUCAGUCCUUCCAUUUCCUUUCCCGAACGAUCUAAUGCAAUUCUUUCAGCAGAUGCAGAUCUUCGAAUUUUUUUUUCUCCCUCUUUCUUUUCUAUUAGACUAGCAACUUGGGAAUCUGUUACGCUUUAUUGUUGAGAUGGGAGAUCUGCGUGGGGCUUGCCAUCUUUUAUAGUUUCGUCCAAGCAAGAUACGUGGCUAAAUUGGAAAGUCAACACGUCUGCUUUUCUUUUUCUUAUCGGACAAGUAUGCCCUUCUCCUUCCCAGCACUUUCCUUCCAAAUCCUGAAAUCCGUUUCUAAUAUGGUUUUUUAUUUUAUUUUAGCAUCACGUGGAAUUUGUUUAAUGGUAUUAAUUAACAUCACGUAUGAUGAUUAAUUAUGGACAAAGAAAUUACUAAUCACAUUGAAUUAGUCCAAAAAUUGUAUUAUAUCAAUUAGAUGACAUAAUUUUCACAAAAAAGAAAAUUCAAUAACAUAUUUAAUUAAGAUAGAUGAAUCAUUUUGCGGGGCAAUAAUUAUUAAUGGUAUCACAACUAAAUAGUUUUAAAUAUUUUUUCAUUUUCUUUCACAAGCUACCUGAAUUCGAAUUCUGUUGGAUGUACAGGACUAACAAAAAAUCCAUUCCUAAUCCGAUAAUUAACUUCCACUUGAUAAUAUAUUAUGCGUUUGUGCUUGAAGGGUACUGCAGUAAAUUCAGAGAGCCGUGGCCUGCGAGCAGGACAUUCUUGAAUCAACUAGAAACUUUUGACCAUAAUUUGUGUUGUUCUGUGUCUACAUCAUCAAUGGCAGGAUGGGGCCGGUGAUCGAAAUUUUGGAGGUUACAAGUCCAAAGACUACCCAAGUAUAUCUUCACUAGAAGCUUCUUACCCAAUGGUGUUUUCAUGCAAUCAUACUUUAUUAAAUAACAUUAUUAUAUAAGAAAUUGAAAUGAUUAUUAUUAAGCUAGCCCUGAAAUUAGUGGACCCUACAUACUGGAUACAGUUAUUAACAAAUGAUCCUAUUCAGGUUUUGGUGUUGAUGGGGUGUAUUUUGUCAUCACAUUGACCCGCAUUGUAUGUUAUAUUACACAACUAGUCAGAGAGAGUUGGCUAGCCUAUUUAUCUUGGAAGAGUUAUGCGCAUAAAAAUAUAUUAUUCAGAAAAAACAAAAAAAAAAUUCUAGAAGGAAGUUGACUGGAUUUCGAUCGGUAAACAAAAGACGGCACCAGACUGUAAUAAGAUAAUCCAUUCACAAUCUAUUUUCCACAACCAUCAACUAUUCUUUACUCAACACGCCAAAAGGUCCAUUUAAUUUGGGAUUAUGGCAGCUUCCAUCAGUGAUCAAAUACGCUCGUUCCUUGCAAGUACUUGUUAUAGAGCCAUUGUGAUGUGAUCAAAGCAUCACCGUUACUCUCCACCGGGUAAACGUUUCUGCCGUUCUGCCAAUCAUUUGUAAGCUUUAUCCAUUCCCUCCUCCAAUCCUUCAAACGGAAGCCAUCGCCACUCUCCAAUGAUUCUAUCAUAUAUUUGAAGUAUAUCGCUGCUCGGGGACCAUAGUAGUCUCGUAGAAGUCCACUCCAGUACUUGUUUCCUAAAACAAACAAAACAAAACAAUCUUGUUUCCUAAUUACACAACAAUCAUAUAUUUGUGUUACAUGCAAAGAUUUGCACUGGUUUUCUCAUUAAAUAUCCAAUUGUCUUAUAGUCAAAUUCUGAUGACAAAUUUGGUAAAAACAAUAGUAAGUCAUCACAUCCACUUACCGUAAUCACGAAGCAGACUUGCUUCCUCCUCUGUGUUGUCGAACCACAUAGUUAUUUGAGUUCUUGCAUUCCAUUCAUACUGUAUUUUCCCAAACCAUCAAAUACAAUUAAUCAAUAAUAUCAUGUCAUUUAUUGGCUAACAUAAGGGCACCUAACCUGUUUUUCUUGUUCUUCAUUUUGGGCAAGUUGUUUGGCACUUUCUAACCAAGGUCCUAGAAGAAACCCAUCAUGGCAUGCUAGGAGACUGUCCAUAUCUUCCACAAGUUCUAAAAACCUCCUACUCAACUGGAAAACUCCAUGAGCAUCAUUUAACUGAUAGGCUUCUAUGAUAUUCAAGAACAGCUCGUUCGCAUAUUUUGCUAAAGCUUGUCUAGUCAGGUCAAUUAAGUCGUACCUACAGAUGCAGUGGAAGUGGCAGGGAAAAAUUAACAUGGAACAAUAAUAUGAUAGAAGGAACAAGAAGGAUAGUGUGGCUAGUAGUCAGAUGUUCUGGAACUAAAUGAUGCCAACCUGUAUGUGUUACUUGCUGAUAGCUCGUUACCACUUGCGAUAAAAAGUUCUAAUGCUCUGAUUACUUCUGAAGUUGAAUACCAUAAAUGUGGGUGAUCAUAUGAACUUGUUUCGCUCUUCAGGACUGCUUCUUUUGAUACUGGUUUCCCAUAGUUUUGAUACUUUCCUUCAGUAACUGAAAUUAUGGAUGGAUCAACAUCGGGGAAUGCUACAAUUACAUCCCUAUUUUUGUCCUGUUUUAAUAUUUAGAACACAUGAUACAGAUACUCUUACAUUGUAGUCGAGAUGGGAACUCCUUAUUUCAACAUAUAUAACCAAUUACCCUAUUGCAAAACAUGACUUGAACAAGCAAGGGAACUUACAGUGGCACCAUCAGUACAAUUGUAGACUGUGUGAUAUAAAACAUUCCAGGCAUCUUGUAUUGCUGGAACUGAUCUACCAUAACGUCUAACUGAAUACUGAUUGAUCCAUGCCUGAAAAAUGAUUGACUCAUUAUUUUAUUGUUAUUACUUAUAGAGAACAACGUUAAAAAGAAAAAGUAAAAGAAAAAGGUUGACUGGGAUUUAAUCAGAACAUAAAAGGAAGAUAGUUGAAUGCAAUGAUAUAGUGGGAAUUGAAAUAAAUAACUCAAGCAUAGAGAAACUGCCAUGAAUAACUGGAUAAAUAAACCAUCUGACUCAUGAAAGUUCCAAUUAAAUGCAUAUAUUAUUUAUAAUCUAGAGUAGUUUACUCUCUAUUGACUUUGUUCUGCUUAUUGAUUCAAACAACACAAAAUUGGGUACACAACUUCUCCAGGAAGGAAAGGAUCAAAUCUCCAAGAAGUAACCAACUUUGGCACAAUUUAUUUGUGUGACACGAGGUGUUACUAAAUCCCAGUUUCAAGAUUGUAACUAACUUUAAGCUUGAAUGGUACUGAUUAGGAAAGGACAGCUUAGAAGCCAAUGGGAUAAAUCCAUGACACGACUUAUCAAAUAACAUGUAGCAAAACUUUGUUAUUAGAUGCUUUUCUUAGGUAUAAUUUAAUCAUACUUGUUUUCAUUUUAACUUCAAAAGAGCAUAAUAAAGAGUUAAAGGUGGAUAAGCAUGCAACAUCUUAAACAUUUGAAAAAGUCAGAUAUUACCUUUACAUCAACUUUUUCGUGCUGAAAUGCCAUUUCAGACAUGAGAUCAUAAACAACAGGAUUUUGUUCUAUGCCUUCCAUCGACAUCCCAACCCCAACCUUCAGACGUGUUAGAUAAUGAAGUAAGAUACAUAAUUCACUAAGGUUUCAGGACAAUAGCAGAUUUAGAAAGCAAUUCAUGAUAUUGUGGAACAAUAAACAUUAAACAAACUUGCCAUUGUUGUGUUUUCACUUGUACGAGCUUCAACUGGUCCAAAAGCUAUUGAAUCUAAAAUCCCAUACAUCUCAAUAUUUCCAGCAAAGUUAUGCAGCAUACACCUGAUAAAACAGAACAUUGGCAACUCAUAAUGAUUAUUGAAAGCGAAUAAGAAAAGAAACAUAAUAACUUCAUUAAUUCAUAUCUUUGGUUUUAUCCUUUGUAACAAUCAUAUCCACCAUUGGACACGAUUUUACUUUUCAUUAAGAACCUAAUAUGUUAUUGUUGAUUAGGUAAGUACCCUAAAUAUCAAUGAUAUAUAUUUAAAAAGUUACCAGAUGUAAGGAACACCAUAAAAUUGCUUUGAUGUACUCCAAAUGGGUUUAACUUCAGCAAACAGAUCAAGGACGACCAAUUUCCCUAAAGGAACAGAAUUUAAAAGUGCCUGGAAUAAAAACUUAAAUUAUUGCCAAUUAAAAGUGAAACAUCUGUAUGUAGGCAAGCUAACACCUCAUGUUUUUCUAAUUAAUAAAAUAUUGCAUAGAUGUAAAUCACCGAACAAUAAGCAUACUAUGGCUUGUUUGAGCACAUAGGCACAAUGAUACACUUGGGCAGGCAAAUGUGCAAGAAAACUUAACGGGCAGUGCGGUGCAUUUCUCAACAUCUCUAAUAGACAUGGCCACUCAAGCUUGUAUACAUAUCAAAACUGUCUAGUCCAUUUAUUAUCACAUAUGUUACUCAAGUAUAUAUUAGGUGAAGACAUGGCUGACCAUCAUUUCUUUCAAAUUAUUUUUUCUACGCUUCACAACCUCCAGGUUAAAAGAUGAAAGUCCUCAAAUUUAACAGUUUCAUAUGGUGCUCAAAAUUUGUUCAGCUUAACCAUUUGAUAUUAGCAAAUAAAAUCAUACAUAGAUGAGGUAAAAUGCAGAUGCAUUUGAAUGUGGAAAAGCAUAGAACAACCAGUGAAGUCAAACAAUUAAAAAGGAUAUACAGAGAACCUUCAUUUGUGGAGGCCUCCAGAAUGGAUCAUAUGAGAACAACCAUCCCUGUAGAAUAUUCAGAAACAAUAGGAAAAAAACAGUUAGUACUAAUACAAGAUCUACUCUAGAGGAGAGACUAGAUUUGGAAAGUCAGGGUCUUAGUGGCUAAGUGGAUCCAGAUUCAGACAGAACUGAGAACAUAAAUAAAACCGAGAUGCGCAAACUCGGUUUGAACUCUAAUAGCUGUAACCUGAUUAAAAAAGUAUCACAUUGAAUACUAAGCAAAUAGUUUUUUUUUUCCACCUGCAUUAGCCAAACAGCAUCACUGUCACCACUUUGCAUUCCACUAUAGAUUGCUGCACCUAAUGAAGAGAUGUACUCCGGACUAUCUACAGGUGGGGUAUUCUCGUCAAAUGUAUCACUGCAAAAAAUUAAAUAAAUUAUGACAUGAUAACUUAAAAAUUAAUGCAAAAAUAUGUAACAAAAAACUAAUAGAUAUUAUUUAUGAUCACAAAGAAUUGCUUCGGGAAAUUGGUUGAGCAUUUAAAAAAAAAACAAACAAACAAAGACCAAUAAAGAUCACUUUGCCCUCUUCCAAUUAUUAUCUGAGAAAAUUCACGUCUAAGUGAAAUGAACAACAAUAAAGAUUGUCAAACAUAUAUAAAUGAAAAAGGUUUCUGGACAGCAAUAAAAUUGCAUGAGUAGUAACUUACCAGUUGUAUAUGUGGCUAGUCCUUCCAUACUCUGACCAAAAAGUCAAGUGGAAGAAUCAUAAAGAUUUAGAAUACUUACUUAGCACAAAGAAUGUAACUCUAACGAAUUUCAUGUGCAUGAAAAUCUAAUCAAAGAGAGGAACAAGGGAUUCAGACUAGAUCACCUUUCAGUUGUUGCUCAAUAAAUGCUCUUCCAAUCUCAAUGAACAAGGGAUCAGUUGCAUCAAGAAGAUAAGUGCAACACCAUCUAGGAUCACUCUUAACAGAAAACCUGGAACAAAUGGAAAGAAACAAUGAUGUCAAGUAAAUGAAUCCUUUUUCAUUAUUUUACAAUAAGUCAUUGAGAAUCUUAUGCUUUCCUAACAUCUCACUUUCAAGUUGGGUGAUCAAAGAUGAGGAACAAAAAAAUAUAGCAUUUGCAUCAAUACUUCUGUGUCAUAUAUAAGAGGAAAUACCAAUGAUUAAGAGACACUAUGUAAAUGUAUAUGCAUGGAAAAAUAUUCUGAAAAGUAUUGAUAACUGUUUUAACAUUUUUAACUUCUUUAGUCUAGACAAUAAAUAAUCAUUGCCAAAUUUAAGAGAUGCACCUCCAAUGCAGUUUACCAAAUCUUAUUUUAGGAAAUGAAGAACACAAGUUCUGGAGAAAAUCUUGACCAACUGAGAAUUCAAAUUUCAAAUAGCACAUAGCAUUACUUACCAAUUUCCUAAUUGUGUUAUCUUUGCUGAAGGAAAUACAUUCUGCAGUGCUGCAGGGACAUUGCCAGAAAAAGCUGGAAGUACUGCAAAAUCAGCUAGAAGCAUUAGAGUCUUACAUCAAUAAGAGGAAAAAGGAGUUAAAAUAUCCUAUCUAUAAAUUGGGAUCUCUCACACAUUUAUUUUCCUUUAGAUAAAUAGCUUUCUUCUGGCUAACAAGACAAAUUCCCUUUAAGACUGGUUAUCUUACCCAGGAAUUUAAAUACCAUAUGAUGUUGUUGCAAAUUCAUAAUAACAGAAUAAAAUUCAAAAACUGUAAGCAUUCAAUUUUUCAUCAAUGAAAGUGCAAGUUACAAGAAAAUUACCAGCAUAAUCACCCCUUUUUGUGGGCACUACACAAAUAAAAACUUUUUGCAAUAUGUUAAAUAAAAGAUAAUGAGCACAUCUUGGUAAUCAUGAAUCAGUGUGUUUAUAGCUGCUCAUCAGGCUCAGGAUGUCAUGAGUCCACCAAACUAUUACAAUGAGCCCAUCAAUAUAACAGAGCAACUCCUGCUACCAUGAGGCCUCUGAGCCUAAAAAUCAUUAAGCAAUGAGCCAUUCAAGAUAUUGUUCUAGCAACAACAAUCAAACUAAUUACAUCUCACUCUAAAGGUUUCCAGUCAAGUGGUAUUUGUCUUUCAGAUUGGAAAUAGUUUAAUAGAACUCGAUGCUGAAAGUGGAUGAAAAACAUGUACCUGGAUUCAUUCCGAGUUCAUAUAUUCUGACAAGAAUUUUCUUCUGGAGAACUAAUUGUUGAUCCAACCAACUUUGAGGUAGAGGUCCACCCCAUCUGUGAAAAAAAUAUGGUGCAUCAAAGUGUCAUAUACCAAGUUUCUAUUUAUGAUAUGGAAAGCCAUCAGAGGAAUGUCUCUGUCAAAACAACAUAUAUGAUGUUGAAUGUGUAACUUUAAGGUUCCGUGAGCAAUUCAUGCACACAAUUAUGGUUUGAUUGACAAGCUCUUGCCUGAAGCAUCAAAAGAACCAGUAUAUUCAUGUGACUGAAAGGUUCAACUUGGGGAAAUAUGAGACAUUAGUCAUUUGAAAAAUUUAGAACAAUAAUGACAGCAUUAGUAAAAUACCUUUUCCAUAUGUUCAUUGAACGACAACAUUUGGGAAACAGUCAGGCUGAUUUUUUUCAUUUCCAAAACAAGAGCAGUUUCAAAAAAGUAAACCACGAUCUGCAAGCUUACCCAUGCAAAUUUGACAUACGCGACCACGCCAGAAAUCCGGGACCUCCAAAAAAGUCGUCCAAAUCUGAAUUGCUUAUGUUAAAUUUCUGAUUGAAGGUGAAAUGUAAAUUAGUGCAAGAGAAAUAUGUUGCCAAACCAAUAAAAGUCAAACUCCACAAAAUUCCUGACUUUUGGAAAUCCUGAAUCAAAGUGACAAAGAAGCAAUCUAGAAGUACAUUAAGGUGAUAUGAUAACUCUGAUUUCUAAUAGUCACUUGUUGAGUUGGAUCCAACAUUGGCUAGUUAAAGUGAAUCACUUGGAUUUUUAAGUAGUAUAGGUCCCUCCACCUAAUGAGAUAGCCUUUUGAGUUGGAGGUCUAGAAAUUUUAAGCCUAACCCCUCAACAAUUAAUAGCCGAAAUGUGGUGGUGGAACAAUUCCGCGACUAUCGGAUUAAAGAACUGGGGUUUGCUGGUGGUUUCGUCCAGGGAGAUAGUUGAGUUGUGUUCCACAUUGGCUAGUUUACGGGAGUCACUUGAACUUAAAAGUACGAUAGGCUCCUACACCCAAUAAAUUAGUCUUUUGGGUUCAAUACUCAAAAAUCGUAGGCCCCACACCCCAACAUCACUGGUACCAAAUUCUCUCCACAAGAAAGAGAAAUCAGCAGAAAGCUACCUGAAAAACCUUUUGCCAAAUAGCUUCUUGUCCUGUAAAUGCCAGGGGCAAGUUGAUACCUUGGAGAGCCAUCCAAUCAAUUUCUUUUUCCCAUCUUUUCCAGUCCCACCAAGCAAAAGUAUCUUCCAAGUCAUGAGAAAAGCAUGAUUAUUGUUAGCACACAACAACUAUAAAAGGUUCGUAGUCAUGACAUUAGAAAAAUAGAUCAAGAGAUAAAGGACAGUUUCGAAGAAGACGCUUACAACUAGAUGUAACAGCAUUCUGGUAGUAAUUCAAAGGAAUGGGUCUCUUAACCAAGACGCCAGCAUCUUGAACACGGGGAAAAGAGCCUAAUUUAGGCAUUGAAGCUACUUGUACACCACCUGUUUUGUCCCAAGAUAUAUGUGAACCGCACCAAUACCUGAGGUACCAAUGCAGACCAGCCAAAACUUCCACUCCAGUGACCCCACUUAUUCUGGCACCAAACCAAACCAAUCAAAUUUUCCAUGAUUCACCAAUACAGCAUGAAGAAAAUGGAAAUGAAGAAACAUUGACAUACACAAUCUCUGGAGUGCCGCGUAUAUAAGAAGAAGGAUGAUUCCUUAAAAUAAAGCAGUAUUCUCCAUCACAUUGCUUCUGAAAUCAAAACAAGAACAAUGAAAUUUGACCUAAUUUAACAGUACUAAUUAAUUAAAAUUUGAGUAAAUAAAAGACCUUAGAAAUAAUUCGAAAUUGGAAGGCGGAAUAGUGAGAAGGAAGCAGCCGUUGGAGAACAGCGUAAGCGGCGGCUAAUUGGACGGAAGGGGGAGCACGCUCGCGUUCCUGGAUAUCGAGAAGGCGCGAGAUGUACUGGACUCCGAUUGUUGACGAUUGAGCGACUGCGAGAGUCGAGAGCGUGAUUGUGAUGAUGAAGAAUAAGAUGAGAGAAACGGAGCGAAACGGAGAGUCCAUGUGAGAGUGAUAGAAACGAAACUCAAAGCAGUAGGUGAGGGAGAUAAGAGAAUUCGCAUUGUGGAAGAUGAGACGAAGAGAUUCUUCGAAGCGAAUGAGACAAAUUCUUGGCCGGCUACGCGCUACAGUACAGCCUACAGAGGAGGGAAAUUAGUGUCCAUUUGUUUUUGUUUUGUUUGCUUCCGCUUCAACAAUUUCGUCAGUUUAAAUUGGGAGAAUUGUGUAGGGAUGGCAAAAUUCUCCACGGGUUUGGGGCUCAUGGAGCCCCACCCUAAAUGGGGAAAAUUUUGAAUAAUUUUUGGGAAAUGAGGUGGGGAGUGGGGGAAAAAUAAUUCCCAAAUUUUUAAUGGGGUGGGGUUUGGUUUUGUACUCCCCACCCCACCCCCACCCCAAUCCCCAUUAAAUAUAAAUAUGUUUUUAAUUCUUAUUUAAUAAUUUUUAUUUUAUCAAUUAUAAUGUCAAUUAAUAAUUUUUUUUAAUUUUUAUGCAAUAUAAACAAGAUAUGAAUGAAAGAAAAUCCUAUAAUAUUUUUCAACUCUGAAACAUUAUUAUAUUUUNNNNNNNNNNNNNNNNNNNNNNNNNNNNNNNNNNNNNNNNNNNNNNNNNNNNNNNNNNNNNNNNNNNNNNNNNNNNNNNNNNNNNNNNNNNNNNNNNNNNNNNNNNNNNNNNNNNNNNNNNNNNNNGGGGAAAAAUAAUCCCCAAAUUCUUAAUGGGGUGGGGUUUGGUUUUGUACUCCCCACCCCACCCCCACCCCAAUCCCCAUUAAAUAUAAAUAUGUUUUUAAUUCUUAUUUAAUAAUUUUUAUUUUAUCAAUUAUAAUGUCAAUUAAUAAUUUUAUUUUUAUUUUUAUGCAAUAUAAACAAAAUAUGAAUGAAAGAAAAUCCUAUAAUAUUUUUCAACUCUGAAACAUUAUUAUAUUUUGUUUUCUCUUUUAAGGUGCUACACUCUUUAAAUAUUUUUCACUUUUAAUAUCAUUUUAAGAUAUUGUUUUAAACUUUUAGAUAUUUUUUUAAAAGAAUUUAAAUACUUUAUAAUAUGAUGAUGAUUUUAUUUUAAGUCUCUAAUUUUUAACUUACUAAAAUAAUGUAUUUAUACAUAUUAUAAAAUAGAUAAAUGGGGAAUGGGGUGGGGAUGGGGAAAUCAUUCCCCACAUGGGGAUUCUCCAUCCCCACCCCACUAAAUUUAUUGGGGAAUGGGGUGGGGAAUGGAGGCAAAAAUUUCUAACGGGGUGGGGAAUGGGGUAGGCCUCCCCACCCCCACCCCACCCCAUUGCCAUCCCUAGAAUUGUGUGGGAUGUACCCCCAUUCCCUUCAAAAUACCCAAUAUAUACCUAAAAUUAUAACACUCUUAAAUUUUACAUAUAUAUACUCUAAAAAACUAAAGAAAGUACAAAAAUAACCUCAACUAAAUUCUCAUAAAACUAAACCCAACUCCUCGAAGUCGGAUAAAUGGUCGAGAAUACUCGACUUCAACCAAACCAUACACAAUUAAUAAUUCAGCAUAAAUUCUCGACUUUUUCAUAUUAGUCGGGUAAAUAGUCGAGAAUACUUGACUUCAAUUGAAAUAAAAAAUUAUCUAAAAAAUUCUCGAUUUUUUCAAGUAAGUCGAGUAAAGAGUCGAGAAUACCCAACUUUAAUUUAACCUUACCCAAUAUUCAUUCAGCAAAAAUUAUUGACUUUUCAUUGAAGUUCGGUAAUUGGUUGAGAAUACUCGACUUAAAUUGAAAUGAAAAUUUUCUUUUUAAUUAAGUCGGGUAAAAAGUCGAGUAUACUCAACUUUGGUUGUGUUAUUAUAUAGAAGUCAUGAGAGAAAGUAAACGUAAAUAGAUGAUUUUUUUAAGUUAUUUUUGAUUUUUUAUACUUUUAGGAGGUAUAUGUAUGUAAUGGGGUAUAGAUUUGGCAUUUAAGGACAAAUGGGGUAUAUUUAAAUAAAAAACCUGUUUAAAUUUUGGAGCGAACUCCGUUAAACCCGCGGGCUGAUAAUCCAACUGCUGACGUCGGGUUUAUGCUGGGCCUUGUUGAAUUGCGGCCCGGAAUUUGGUGGGCCCAAAUGCCAACUUCCACACAGGGUUUUUCCUUUUUUCCUUUCCUUUCUUUUUUUUUGUUAAAUGAGAAAAUUAGAGCUAAAACAGCUAAAAGUAAAUGAAACUUCAAUUAAUAGUAAGAAAAAAGGUAGAUUUGAGAGAAAGAAGAGGAGGAGAGCAAUCGACAAGUGACCUCUUCUCAUCUUUUUAUGGUCGAUUUAUCAUAUUAAUUUGUUUAAUAAGUUUUAAUUUUACAUGAUGGGAUUUGCCAACCUCGAUUAUCCUUACAAAUGUCUUAGAUGAUACUUGAGGUUUGCCAGGUACAUAGACUUCCUUAGAUGUUCUUUUUUAUGUAAACUCUUCCUCCUACUUUUAUAAAAAUAAUAUUUCACUUAAUAAUUUAUAUAUUUAAACAUCAUUAUUUACGUGAAAUGCUGAACAUAAAUUAAAACUACGACUACUAAUAAUAAUAAUAAAGAAGUUGACUUGUUUAUGAUGAUCGAUCGCAACUUGGGUGGGUUCAAAAUGAAAGUUAUUUGUUUAAGAAUAAUAAGUCUGACUAUGACCUUCUUCUUUAAAACCCAACACAUUGGCUGCUUUUUGAAAGAUAAGAAAUGGAUGGUUGAUCCAUGGCAUCUGUCGCAUGCCUUGCAAUAAUGUUACGAUCUCUUCAUCAUAGCAGCUCUAAGAAACUGGAAAAGCCUCUAGCUUCUAGGUAGAAUCAGGGUUAUAAAAUUUAAUUAAGCAAAUAAUCUUGCAACAGUGAGAGGCUACGCAUAUUGAUUCAAGCACGAAAUCAUCAAGUUUGGUGAACAAAUUGUCAUCGUCAGUUCGGGGACCAACAGACAAUAUAAAAGAUAAUGUUUUGCAAGUUGUGCUAAUGGUAUAUUAUUUGGAAAGGAGAUGACCAAAUCCCAAAAGGGGUGCUUGUAUUGAAUGACCCCAUUAAUUUUCGUCAUGAUGUAUGAAACAGGAAACCCUAAGAAGGAAAGAAAGUUUGUCUUUUGAAUAUAAAUAUCGGAAAUAGUGUUAUAGUAAUUAGUCUUCCGUUCCCAUGUAAAUGAUCUCUGGCCGUCAACAGCCCCCAAAAGCUAUUUUAUAUAAUAUAUUAGAGUAAUGAGGUUUCGAUAAAGUGUUGUUGUUGAGUUGUAUAACAUAAACUUUUAACGAGUUCAAUUAUAAGUGUGCUUGUGUUACUUAUUUACACCAAUCUUCAAAAGAGAACAUAAAGGAAGUUUUUAUUGUAUACGAGUAGUGUGUGAAAAUAUAAUAUUGUAACUGGCAUGUGUAUUUUAUUUAUGCUGGAAGUAUGUGUUGUACGUACAAUGCUCCUAGUUAUUCUUUGAAAACUCUAAAUUUUUCACUGUAGAUUCUCAGUUUUUCAUGUGUUGUGCAAUGUAUAUAUUAUAACUUGAAGAUCAUAAACCAUGUAAACGAAAGCAUGAACUAUUUUUUUUUUCAACAGAUAAUGUGGAGGGAUGAAUCUACAAGAGUAGUUAUAUUGUAAUUGUUACACUAUAUUAAAGUGUUGAUCUAAUUUUUGUUUUAAGAGUUUAAAAUGUAUGUUAUAAAUACACGUGUGGUAAAAGAUUUCAAAAUAGUUUGUCAAUCAACUAUCUAUACUUUUAGAAUUUUUUUUAACUAAUUUCAAUUCAGCACCGAUAUUCAGCCCACACUAAGCACCAUAAUAAGCAUUGAGCGGUGCGUUUUGGGUGCAAUAUAAAAGUGAUUGUUGAACACAUGAGACACAAUACACGUGCAAAUCAAACACACGCAUUCUCCGUCACUCUCCCGCUCAUUCACACCAAAUCCACAUCUCACUCAAUCCAGAAAAUCUCACCUGCUAAUUCUCCCACGCCACUUUCUGUUCUAAUUGUGAAUUCUCCCUCACGGUGCCUCUAACCAAAAAUCUUACAAAAAAUGAGUAUGUUUGAAAUAAAAAUGUAUUUCUAGAACUAACUGGAUAAUCGGAUAAAAUAGUACCUUUGUGAAAACUAGCAAGAGUUUUCCUCUCAGAUUCAUUCUGAAGCUGUAGCUCAGUUGUGUUGUGUUUCUAUUAAAGCUGUUACUAGUGAUGAUAAUGUUCGGAAAUUUUGUGGAAUUUAAAGUAAUGGAACAGAGAAUAUGUAAGAGCUUUUGUGGCUGCAAAAACUUUUAAAAUAAAACUUACAAUUUAAAGGGUUACAGAUGUGGUAUUCAUACAUUAUUGGCCACAAUCUUGUUAACUUGAUGGGUCUACCGUUCCUUGCAUUCAGAAGAGCCAAACCCUCAAGAGUUGUAACAUGUAUCCACCUCAUCCGCUUCAAACUUGAAAUGCCAAACUACACUUGUCUGUGCAGCAAUCUCUUGGAAUUGUCUUUAAUUUCAUUCUUAUGCAGAAUUUUUAUUUUUUUUCACAAUCCAGAUUAUUAUUUUUAAAUUUCAAUAUUUUUUUAUUCUUUUUUUCUCACCAGCUGCGAAGAGACCCACGGCGAGAGAGAGGGAGAGAGAGAGAGAGUAAACGGAGAUCAGAGAGAGAGCGGAUGGAGAAACAGAAAAAGAGACUGUCGACGGAGAGAGUACAAAGCGGUGAGAUUUGCGUGAGAGAGGUUGCACACGUGUUGUGGUGCUUAUGUGUGUGUCAUGUGAGAUGGGGCUACGGAGACAUUUUAUGGCGUGCCCAAAACGUAUCGAUCGGUGCUUAUUGUGGUAUGAGUGUCAUUUUUUUAUUUCAAUUAUAGCUGCUCGCGUAAAUUUCUGCUUCGUUUCCUUUUUACUUGAAUCAAUAUAGAAUCCAAGUUCUAUUCGAGUAGCUAAUGUCAAAUUAAUACAACACUUGCGCUCUUGUUUCAUCGUCGUAAUCAGGUUGAAAGUGAAGGUAUGACAUAGGCAAUGAUGAAAUCAGACGAAGAUAAACGGUAGCAUGCAUCUUACAGAGGAAAAGGGCAAAAAAAAAGGUUGUUGUACUUGGCUAUAUAGACUGCGAUUAAUCGGCAUGAAAGUAAAAAAUAUGAACUAAUGAUAGAAAAUUUGUGAUGCCAAAUUGGACUAACACAUAAGAAAAGUAUCCCAAUACAUCACUCAAUAUAAAGAGACUAAUUACCAAUCAGUUUCCUAGAAAUUGAAGAAAGUUGAUAAAUGGUAUCAAUACAUCAGCAUCCAUGGCACGCGCAAUAGUCCAGCAGCGUAUCUUAAUUAGCCUCCUAAAAGUGUUUCAUGGGAAGAUGAAUCAACAUGCACCAGGACAGGCUAUUGAUAUUGCAUUACAUUAACGGCUUCAAAAUUUUCAAGCCCCGCAUCAUUUUGUGCUCCAUCUUGGGGCCUCUGAUCAGUGAGUUAAAGGUCGAACUACCUCUCAAGUCACGAUCAAGAAAUGGAUUCCGUGAUGUUCAGAUAAAGGAAAGCGGACACGAAACAAACAGUACUCGCAGUUGCAAGAAGCCAUUGUCGCGAUCGGGGUCCUACAAUAUUAUUCCAAUUCCGAUAUUUUGAUGUCUUUAAUGAAGAGGAGAAAUGAUAAGUUCAAAGCCAUAACGUCGCGUUUGGCAAGUUUGGAAAGACAUGAAAUAGAGAAAUGAAAAGGACUAAUUGGCUGUGGGGAGAAAUAGAACAAAAGCCGAUUUCACAAUCACGUGGGUCUGAUUCUGACCUGAAUUAUGAUUCCACCUAACCUUGAGACCAAUGAACCCUUUCUCUAUCUCUUAUCAUCUGACCAAUAGAUUCAACCAAAGAGCACAAUUGCAAUCAUCAAAAUCGUCUGGACAUGGAGGAUAGAGCCAAGUGUCGCAGUUAAGCACAGUGCAUGUGGACAAUUUAUUUCGCAUUCAGUGUGAUAUAUUAUGUAUUCCUCUCCAACAGCGUUUCAACUCUUCUUUCUGAACCACUCGAAACUCUCAAAUAAGCAAAACUCAUUUCUACUGCAACUUUUUAAUUAAUUAUCGUCAUGUUUGUAUUAAAAGAACACAUUAGAAAAAUAUCUACCAUUAUGUAGCUUAAAGAUUCAUUAAGCUUUUAAAUAUACACUCUCCUAAAAUGAAUCAAAAGUUAGAUAUUUGUCAUAAAAUGUAUACUACCAUGUGCCCAUUAUGACUUGUUUUUAAUCGAGGCCAAACUAAAAUACUUUAAGUUAAUUCACCCUGCCAUUAGUAAGAAGGCAAUAAAAUAUAUGGACGAUGAGUCAAUUAAGAAGGUUUGAUGCAAAGCAUGCUCGAUGGAGGGAGCAUGGGAUCGUCAUCCACAACUUAUAUAACAGAAAUAAAGAAAGAUUCAUCAAAUCAAAUGUCUUUUUAUAUUAAAGCUUUGAAUUUUUAUAAUCCCGACAGGUGCCAAGAAUUAGGUCAUUAAGAUAUGAACAAAUAGAAGUCCAUUGGCCAACCUAUGAGUUGAGUCCUGCUUCUCAAAUUUGGAGUCCUUCCAUUAUCCAUAAAACAAAUCAGUCCUAAUCAAUGAUUUAGCCCUGCAUAUUUCUUAAAUCAACUUGGCUAUAUGUAUAUAUGUUUUAUACCGAUUUAAAAUUUCUGCAUAAUUAUAUAAUUAUAAAGUUGCAGUCCUUCAUUCCCAGCAUGCAGUGGAACACAAAAUAACCACGUGAUGAGUCAAAAUUUCCCAGCUCCUAACGAAGGCCCAAACAUUGCACUAUUUUCCAGGUUAAAUUAUAGCAGUCCCAUAUAUGGAAUUAUCUAAUUAAUUUAAUCCCUGUUCCCUGAAGAGGAGUUCCAUCCAGCCAUUAAUUAGAAUAGUGUAAAAAUGGGGCUAAUCUUUCCUCCUUGAUCACUCUAUACCCAUUCUAAAGUACCCUUUACUCUCAGAGCCAGCUUCUAAAUCUUUAUAUAUAUUUGAAUUCACUUCCCUUUCAUUCACUCUCACUCAUAUGAAUGAUACUUUGUUCCCGUAUCCACACACUCCAUCACCAUGACUUGUCACACAAAUUAUGAUUUCCAAGCACCCUGUAAUAGCUUUCAAUCACAGUCGUCAUCACUUAGUUCCCAGCUAAGCCUUCCAUCAGUUCCUUCACUCACCUCACACUCACUAUCCCACCGGCGGCAACAAAAUCUUUCAGUCGUAGACCACCACUGCCUCACCACUCUCAAAGGCCAUAACUCUUACGUAUCAUCACUCGCCCUCGCCGGCAAAUUCCUAUUCACGGGCUCCUUUGACAACGAAGUUCGCUCAUGGGAUUGCAACACUUUCAGCUCAGAGCUUGAUCAAGAGUUUCUAAGUAACAAUAAUAUUGUAGCCGUAGGCAAGGGGGCGGUCAAGUCCCUAGUUGUGUUAGCAGACAAGCUGUUUAGUGCUCAUCAAGAUCACAAAAUCCGCGUAUGGAAAAUCAAUAACCAAGAGCCUGAUCAUCAGAAAUAUACCCGUUUAGCCACGUUGCCAACGCUUGGUGACCGUGCUAUCAAGCUUCUGAUGCCUAAGAACCACGUACAGAUCCGCAGGCACAAGACAUGCACUUGGGUCCAUCAUGUGGACGCGGUCUCAGCACUCGCCUUGACAAAAGAUGAAACACUUCUCUACUCAGUGUCAUGGGACAGGACGAUCAAGAUUUGGCGGACAAGCGACUUCAAGUGCUUGGAGUCAAUAACAAACGCGCAUGAUGAUGCAAUAAAUGCAGUGGCAUUAUCCGAUGAUGGAGAUGUUUACACAGGAUCAGCUGACAAGAAAAUCAAAGUGUGGAGGAGAAGUCCUGGAAACAAGAAACACUCUUUAGUUGAUGUACUGGAGAGACACAACUCCGGGAUCAAUGCUUUGGCGCUAAGCUGUGACGGGUCUGUUUUGUAUUCAGGGGCGUGUGACAGAUCAAUAAUUGUGUGGGAGAAGGAGGAAGAUGACGGCAACAUAUUGGUGGUCGGUGCCCUCAGGGGCCAUACAAAGUCAAUACUGUGUAUGGCUGUGGUGUCUGAUUUGGUGUGCAGUGGCUCUGCUGAUAAAACUAUUAGAAUUUGGAGAGGAAUUGAUAGAAAUUACACUUGUUUGGCUGUUUUGGAAGGGCACAGAGGCCCUGUCAAAUGCUUGGCUGCGGCAAUUGAUAAUGAUCGCUGCGAUUCAUCCGAUACUAGUUACCUUGUUUGCAGUGGAAGCUUAGACUGUGACAUCAAAGUGUGGCAGAUUUCCUUCCCUCUUGUUCGGUGAACUUUUCUUCUGGCGAUAUGUUCAUAAUGCAAGGAGAUUUCGUGUUUCUUUUUCUCUACUGUGUAGUCUUUUUUUUUAAUAAUUUACAUGGUGACUUUUGAGAAAAAAAUAGAAAGCUUUAUUAUUGAACUACUGUACUGUGAUUUGGGUCUAAUUAUUUACUUUGUUUUCACUUUUCACCAUUGGACAUUGCUUUUGUUCAGCAAUCGUAAUUGUUUCUCCUUGCCUUCCCCUGAAAUUGUUUAAGGUAUUAAUUUAUUCUGAUAGUUUGAAAAUGAUACCCAGGCAUGGUGGUGGUGUUUUUUUAAUUAUCGCAGCCCAGUCUUUUAUUAUUAUUAAUUUUCUUGAGACAUUUAGCUGAACUGCAGGAUUCAAAGCGACAGCCGGGGUGGUUAAAGUCACCAAAUUGCACCUGAAAAGGUGGAUUAGCGAUGACUACAAUAUUGAUUCUUCCUAAACUCCAUGAUAGCUCGCUUUGUAUAUUUAUUUGCUUUUAAAUUUUUAAUAACUUUAGUAAGUUAGACACCUAAGAUUGUACUGUACUGUACUGAGCAUUUAUCAGAGAUCAGACCUGAAAAAGACAAGUUUCCCUUUCUUAUCGAGUUUCUUCCAGAAAAGCAGAAGGAAAAAGCAAAAACUUUGUCAAAUGAAAGCACAAAUUUUUAUCAUUAAAACGAACAAAUAAUUAAAUUCAUGUGGUAAAAUUCCCAAAAAUGGUAAGAAAUAUUCAAUUAGAGUUAAAGUCAUGUGGUAAAAUUCCCAAAAAUGGUGAGAAAUAUUCAAUUAGAGUUGCACUGUACAGACGGUAGGAAAAAAAAAAAGGAAAAAUAACCACAUGCUAAUAUCAGUGGUGUUGUGCACAGCAUAUCAGACGGGCGUUCAAACUCCAGAGCUUACCAGUACACACGAAUAUUGAAAGCUGUAAAAUAUGCUCACAGUCACAGAUAUUCUUACAAGUGCCUAAUUCUACCAAACUAAGAGAAGAUAACUUGAUAAAAUAAAUUAUUGCUUACGAUUCACCUGAAGGCAUUUUCCUCAAGAAGAAUUUGGCAAAACAAAUAGAAAUUAAUGAAUUUAUAUAUCAGGCAACUCCCCACCGCUCACCAUCUUUUCAUCCUGGAAAAAGUCAUUGCCUUUUAAAUAAUAAGUGGGCCUGAAACAAGAUAAUGCACUCCCGGAAAAAGAGCAUUAACCCUUUGAAACAAAUAAUGCUCUGCCAGACUACUUUAUUUGGGAAAAGAAAGAAAUAAAACCAAUCAUACAGAAAAUGCAAUAAAAAAGUGUCCCAAAAAAAAAAAAAAACAAAAUUAAACACUAAAUUCAAAUGGGUUCUUUCUUUAACACAAGUAGUGAUUAACAAUAUGCUGAUGCAGAAGUCUCAUGUCAUGGAGAUCUGCCCUAAAUAUCUUUUGCUUAAUCUAUUAGGAUUAUUGACAUUUUGACUUUCUAAUCUAAUUACAAGUGGAUGCAAAGGUAGGUAAAAGUCGUUUUUCUUAUGGAACCAUUCUUCUAACCUUAUUCAUUUUUCUCCACCGGAACCAAAAUCCAAUCGUCUAUAUUAUGCAAAGGACAUUGAAUUGACCUGUAAAGACAACUAGGUAACAUUCAAUAAUUACUGCUCUCAAGAAUAACAAUAACAUAAUCAUUUUACGUCAACUCCUAGCAUAAGCUACGCACACUUGUCCAUACCAUGUUAAAAAAAAAUAUUAAAAAAAAGCUUGCUUUAACAUUUUCGACCUUUUAUAAUUUCCCUUCCAGGCAGCAAUAUAACAUCCCAUUUUAAUUUAAAGAAAUAAAAUGCUAUGUCUAUUUUCUACUUGGCUUUGUUUACCUUCAGGUGUAUUAGAUGAAUCUUGCACCUGUUUGGCUCUCAAGGUCAGCUCUAUAUUCUUUGCAUGCACAGAUGUCAUGUACUGUGGUGACUAUAAGCAAUGCAAAUAUACUUAUGAGUGCACGUGUAUACACUGCUAGAAGUUGACAAGCUAAGCUAACAAAUGGUAGUUGAUCAUAUUCCUAACAAGCAAGCAAAUUUGACGCAAAUUUCCAGAAAAUUUUAUUGAACAGCUCAAACCAAUAACUAUAUAUUUUCAUAAAAAGGAUAGAAUACAGCGAGUACAGAAGAAUCAAAGAUUAAGCUUCUUUGUAACCACCAAUAUUCUUAAUUGUAGAUGGUCAAAAUCAGAGUACAGAACAGUGGUGGGGUGCAGGAAGCAGAACAAAAUAAUACAAAUGGUAGAGAUGGUAUCCAAUUCAGUCAUAGUGGCACUUUUGCUGGUGUCCCUGCAUCACGGGGAUACUUUUUUGGGGUACGGCGACUUUUUAAACAGACAACAGCAGUUCGUUGACCAAAUGGGCUCUGAGAUUCCACUAUAAACAUAAAGGAGUAUCAAACAUUUGAAAAGUAUAUGAACAGAUUAACAAAUGCAAGCUCUGUCUUAUUUUUGAAAUUUAAAGCUUAGUCUUAGUUAAAACAGAAAAAAAACAAUAUACCCUAGAGUGGUUUUAGAUUGAGGACCAAGCUAACAAGGUGAAAUAGGGAAUAUCAAUAUUAUAAUGAAUGACGACAGUCAUCAGUACAGAGCAGGUUCAUUGGAUGUAUAUGUAUUAUCAAAUAAACGAUAGACAUAUAGUCCACAACUGAAAGUAAGAAACAAACCCGAGCACAGUUGCAAUAAGGAAGCACCCAUCAAUUGAACUGCUCUUUCUGAAUUUUUGACUUCUUCCUGUCAAUACAAAUACAAAAUGUACAAGUUAGCUCAGGUUGCCAUUGGUUGAUUUUUUUUUUUUUUUUUUUCCUGAAAAAAGGAAAGAAUGGUCAAUGACUCAAUUCUUUGUGUCAUUCGAGGCAGUUAAAAGCACAACGCAACUCCUUGCAGCGUUUGCACAUUCCUCUUAAGUUAUCUUCUUGAUAAAUAAACUUUCGCUUCAUGCAACAAGUAUACAAAAUAUGAAAGCAAAAGAAUACCUUUUGGAUUCACAAAAAAUAAUGUAAUUCAGUUCUCACAGCUGAAGUUAUAUUUACCUGAGGAUCAUGACCCUUUGCAGCGACAAAUAAGCCUCCAACACGAACCAGAGGAAGACAAUACUCAGCUGGAAAUCAGAAGUAACAAUAAACACCAACUUAGUACUGAUGAAAUACUUAAAGUUACAGAAGGCAUCUUAUAAAGAUAAAAACAUAAUUACCUAAAAUUCUCAUUUCUGCUACUGCUCUGGCAACCGCUACAUCAUAUUGUUCUCUGAAGGAUACAUCCUUCCCCAAAGUCUGUCCUCUAACAAGAUUCAGAAUCUAUUUUAGCCACUACAAUGUAAACGGAGCCAUACAUUGAACAAUCUAAAAGAUGCAAAUGAGGCGCAAAAGGAAAAAUAAGAAUAACAAUACCUCAGCUCUUCCCCUUACAAUUUGAACAUUUAACAACUGAGUAAGACUAACAGCAUGCUCCAAGAAAACACAUCGCUUGUUCAUCGACUCUAGAAGAGUUACUUUCCAAUCUAUCCAUAUAAAUUAUCAUUAAACAAAUUUUAGAAACAGACAAAAUUAAUAAAUUUGUAGGAAAACUAAUUAAAUAUACAUUUUUUAAUGUUGAAGAAGACAACCUGGACAAGCAAUAGCUAAAACCAAACCGGGAAGCCCCGCGCCGGUUCCAACAUCAACAAGCUUAAGAUUGCUAUUGCAUGAACUAUCGCAAUGCGAAGUGUACGAGUUUUUUAUAGGAGGUAUAAUUGCAAGUGAAUCGUCAAUGUGCCUUUCCAUUACUUCGUUCACGUCUUUAACAGCCGUUAGAUUCAUUUUCUGCAAAUUUUGUUUUCGUUUUUUUAAAAAUAAACCCAAAUAGAAAAACAUAAACAUAAAUACAGAAAAGGGAUACCCGGUUCCAUUGAAGAAGGGCAUCGACGUAGAGAUGAAUCUGUUCUUGUUGGCGCGUAUUUAGGGUUUCAAAGUGAGAAGAAUUAACGAUUCUGGUGGUAGUUAGGGUUUUUGCACGGAUUCUGUGAGGACAAAACGUGUUUUGGUUCGAAGACGGAAGGUGUUUGAUUAAAGUCCUCGCAGAGAAUGGUAAGUGAAAGACGAUAGGAACAGAAACCCCACAACGCCACGUCAACAUUUUCGCGCGCGCGGUCUCUUGGCUCUUUUUCAUAGUAAAGUAUAGACGUCUUAUUUAUAUUUUUUAUUUGUUCUUAUUCUGAAAAAACGAUUGUUAUUAUGCUAAAUUUGAUAAAUCUUUAUUUUUUAAGCGAAAAAGAUUUUUCGACUUCACAUUCUAGCUAAGAGUAAUUGCACGAGCACAUUUUACUUUUGUAUCUUCAAAAAUAACAAACCGAAAUGAUAAAAUAAUGAAAUGACAGCCUCAUGGGCUAUUGCCCAUUGUUAACCUGGACUCCAUACAGCCCAGGCCAAGUUCAUGGGCUCAGCCAUAUGCAGUUAUGCACAUGCCAAGUACUGAUAGCCCAUGAGCCGUAACAUGGACUCCACUCAGCCCAGGCCUAGUUCAUGGCUCAGCCAUAUGCAGUCAUGUACAUGCGGACCUGCCUAAAGUACUUACAGAAGAUUACAGCGUCAAAUGGCACCGGCUUCGGAAAAUUUAGAGGGCUCAGUAAGUUUGGCUGCUAUAUUAAUAUGAUUUUUUUUAUUUUUAUAAUGAUAAAUUUAUUAUAUUUUUAAUAAUUUUAUUAAAAUUAUUAUUUAAAUUUUAUAUUUAUUACAUAUUAUUAACUCUCUUUUUUCAUAAUUAUAGGUUUUUUUAACAGCGGCUACAAUUUAAAAGUUACAACGCCUCAAUUCUAAACAGAGUCUUUCUUUGCUGAGUAUUGAUAUUUGACUACUUGAAAUUAUUUCAACAAUCAUAUUUUUUACUUUAUUUUAUUACUUUCAAUAAUUACCUUAUCAAAUAUAAAAAAAAAACAUAUAUUAAUUUUUAUUUUAUUUUAUUCUCUCUGCCCCACCCCUCUCUCUAACAUAACCAUCAGUCCCACCACUUAUCUUCAUCAAAAACAAAUUCAUCAUCAUUAUCCCCACCACCACCUCCACCAUCUAUCUUCUUGACCAUCAAUUCAUCAUCUCCACCAACAUAUAAAGAAGAGUUUCAAAGUUUAGUUUUGAUUAAUUUUAUGAACAGGUGGUGGGUAUUAUUGUUAUUGAUGAUAUUGGUGUUGAUAAUCAACAAUUUUGUAUAAUUUUAGUUUAGAAUUUGACUAGAAGUAAAUAAUUGAUUUAAAUUGUGAUCAAUUAAAAAAAUUAGAGAGAUGAAAAAUUAAUCUAUUUGAGAGCUUAAGACGAAAGAAAAUAUAUUUAUUUUUAAUUAUUUUUCUAUUUUUCAAAAGGGCAAUUAUGAAAUAAAUAAUUUUAAUUGAAAAAUGGGGACUGGUGUGACAAAUUGAGAAGUCCAAAUAUCACUACUCAUUUGCUAAAUGUAAAAUGUCCAAGGGGCCAUGCCAUCCCGGCUCUCUCUCUCUCUCUCUCUCUUUCUCUAUUUUUAGUCUUUUGGGUUUGAUUCAAUUAAAAAUAAUAAUUGAAUUUUGACAAAUGGCACCCCGUUGGUAAAUACCUUCAUUUUAUGUAUUAAACCAAUGAGUUUAAUGUAGACAUGAAUUUAUAUACUAUUUAAACGGAUAAUUUUUCAAUCAGAGAUCCCUAACCAUAAUAAGCUUAUGAACAAGUUAAAAGAUACACAUUUCUAGGGGUGUUCAGAAUCCAAUCCGUCCGAUCCGCUCAAUCUGUCUGAUCUGCUCAAUCCGAUUCGUAUAAAUCCGAUCCGUGGAUUGGUGGAUUGGAUAUGGAUUGAAAAUUUAAAAAUCCGCAGUCGAUGGAUUGGAUAUGGAUUUACUUAUGUAAAUCCGCAGAAAUCUAUGAAUCCGCAAAAUAUAUAUAUAUAUAUAUAUAAUUAAAAAAUUAUUAUAAUUUUAAUUUUAAAAAAUAUAAAUGUGACAUUACAUAGUUACAUAAGCACUAUAACAUAUCUUAUUCAUUACCAAUAAUAAUAUAAAAUGAAAAAUAAUUAAAUAAUCAAAUAUACAAAUAUAACUUGUAAAACUUGUAAAACAAAAUAAAAGCAAAGUCACACGCACUAGCAAAAGCAAAGUAACAUAACGUCAAGUCACCAACAAUUUGCAAAGUCACCCAAAAGUAAAGUAACAUGACGCCAAUUCACCAAUAAUUUGCAAACAAAAAACCCUAAGCUUCCCCGCCGUCACACACACUAGCAACACUCAAUACUGGUUGGAUACACUCUCGACACAGAUUUGAAGGACAUCGGCCGCGCGAUUCCGGCGAGAGCAAGCCAUUUUCUUUCCCAAGUCCAUCGAGCCACUUCACAUUCACUAGUUCCAGCUAAACAAUUUCACUAUCACAACCUUCAAGAUCACCACCCGGACGGCUUCUCCUGGUUCCCAUCGUGGACGGCUCUGUAAUCACCACUUUUUGACAGGCGCAACAGCCCUGGUGAAGGAUCAGAUUGUGUUUGGUUUCCGAAACUUCGCCAUUUCAAUUAAUUGUGGCUUUAUUUGAACAAUUAAUUUCAGUGUUAUAUUAACAUAUUAUUGUAACUUUAUUUGAACAAUUAAGUUUGGUGUGUUAUAUUUUGAAACUUUGAACGUAUUAUUGUAGUUUUAUUUGAAUAAUUAGUCUCGAUGUGUUAUAUUUUGAAACUUUAAAUGUAUUAUUUUAGCUUUAUUUAAAUAAUUAAUUUAUUUAAAUUUUAUUCAAUUUUAAAUUUAAUUGGUAGCAAAAUUAUUUUUAUAUUAUAUAUAUAUUUUUUAUUUCAUUAGUUGGAGAGAACUAAAAAUUUUUAAUUCGAAAACUAAUGCGCAAAAUGGUGGAUUGGAUAUGGAUUGAGUCAAAUCCGCAUCCGAUUCGCAGAUGUAUGAAUUGGAUUUAGAUUGAAUUUUAUCAAUCCGUGGAUUGGAUUGGAUUGAAAAAUUAUAAUCCGCAAAAUCAUAGAUCGGAUAUGGAUUGAUGUCAAAUCUAUAAAAUCCGAUCCGCGAACACCUCUACACAUUUCAAUGCAACGUAUUUUAUCCUACAUUAUAUUGAUAUAUGUAUUUUUAUUUUUUUUGGUCUUUUACUUUAUCUCUGACUUUAAUACGAUGAGAGAUUCAUGAUUGCAAGCUCACUUUUAUUGAAACUUCAAAUAUGCAAAUUCUAUAAAGUAUUUAUUAUAAUUAAAUAAAAUUAGAUAUGACAAUGUUUUUUUAACUAACUCUUUUAGGACUAAAUUAAUUCAUGGAUUGAAGCAUAUAAAAAAUCUUUUACAUUUGCAUAUAACAAAUAACACCAAUAAUAACAAGAAAACUUUACAAAUAGAAUUGCACUAAUUCUAAAUGAUAACACCAAUUGAAUUCAAAUUUGAUUAAUAACUUCAAAUUAAUUAUUAUUUAAAAUAACAUAAUAUCAACUAAUAAUAGCAAUUCAAUUAAAUGAAAAUACAGCAAAACAUUCUUAAAUUUAAUGUUGUUUGUUUCAAAUUUAUUUAUUUAUUUAUUUAAAUAAGAUAUAGUAAUAUAAUUUAAUUAAAAUUAAGACAAAUAAUUUGAAACUUGCUUUUUACGUCUUUUUUUACAUGACAUGUUUUGCUUUGCCUCUAAAUAUUGUACCGUACUCUUACAGCCUACAAUCCCAAACAUCUAAGCUCAGUCCGGUCCACUUGCCUGCCGUAUUCUGCCAUGUGCUUGUGCCUUACCCGUACUGUGUCUCGUGCUUCUCAACUCGUUGGACAUCUCUAGCUAUACGUGUUUGUAAAAACAGAAAAAAAAACAAUUCACAAGAGGAAGGUGGUGUCAACCCACUUCGUUAAUGUAAUGAUUAUGGGCAGAUAUUUGGAACCAAACAUGCAAGGCCACAUUACUCGGACACUUUUCACCCUGCUGGUCCCAAGCGGCCGCACCGCCUACUUGAACAUUCUCGCUGCUCGAAUAAUAAUCGCAAAAGCAGUGGGUCCAAACUUCAGUAGCAAGAUGCAGAAACCAGUUGCUAUGUAUACAAGCAUUAUGUCAAUAAAUUUGGUUUUAUAUCACUUUCAUGUCAAAUAUUAAAUUUACUCCUCGCAAUCCUUGUUAUGUUGCAUGUACCGGCCAGUUGUGUGAGUGGACUUGAUGUUGCACGUCAUAGAAAAAUGCUAAAGGUCAAAAAAUGAGCACAUGUAGAGAUGCCCGGUAUAUAGUCAUCUAUAUAGCUAACAAGCAAUAUUCAUAAAGAUUAGCAGACAUGACAUACUGUGACCUUUUGAUCUUUGGGUUUGAUUUUUGUUUUGGAGCCAAAAAGAUUUGAACCUCUUUAUCAAAAUAUUUUUUACUUUUUUCUAGAAUCUCACCUUUGCCUCAAACUAGCUACUUUCGUUUGGCCCACAACAUACACAAAUAUACAUUUAUCUGUUUUUCCAUUUCAUAAGAGAAGAAAGUGGGAACCAAAGGCUGGUUCAUGUAUGGAUGACUUUAUCAGAGUCAAAAUAUAAAGUCAUUGAUCAAAAGUUUAUAUGGGUGAUUUUUUUUAACCCAUAACGCAACCAUUUUGCCUUCUAUUCAAGAAACAAAAGCACUUUCAACUUAGCUAAAGGGUCUGUUAUUAGUUAAAAGUGAAUAAUCUAUAAGCAGCUAGUUAAUGAAAGUUGAGGCAAGCCUUGUUUAAAGCUAUCCAAACGGUGCCUUAAACCUAUCGCCGAGUUCGAACUGUUUAGUGCUGUCAAUCAAAGGUCAUCUUCAAUUAACAAAAAGAAGUGCAAACAGUUGAGCCAUUUUUUAAUUUGAGAAGUUUCAGCUCAAAUUAAUAAUUAGCACUCCGCUUCAAUUGUUUAAUACCACUUCCUAAAACAGAUGAUUUAUUGGGUAGCGUUCAAAGGUUCUAUCUAAUGCAUUGAAAUUUUCAACCAAAAUGUUUAAGAUAAGGAAUAUAAAAGAACGAUUUUGACUGUAAAUAUAAGAUGGCAAAUGCAUUGAAUAUGAAGAAAAUAUUCAGCCCAGAUACAGUAUAUGAUCAUGACCCAUUUCAAAAUAUGCUUAUUUGGGAAUCUUUUCUUUCUCACAGUAAAAAACAACGAUAAAAAAGAAGGGCAGCUAAGCUGCUAGGAACUUUUUUAUAUAUAGUAAAGAUAAAUGGUUUGAGGAACAGCAGCUAACAUUUUUGUCUCCACUGCUGCUAAAUGGUAAUAUUCACCAGAGUGCUUUUGCAGGAACCACCCAAUAUUCUUUCUCAGAGUACCACAUGUUUAUCUCUUUCUCUCUUCGAUUAUCUGACUCUGUCAUUCUUGAGUUCUAUGAUUCCUCUGUCAAUUUUUAUUUAUUCAAUAUUGCUUGCUAGUUUUAUAAAUAUUAUAUGUGUAUGCCCCUGCCAAAUUCCCAUCUUUAACUAAACCCAAUAAAGCUUAAGCAUAUUUCAUCUACUUCAUCAUAUACAGUCACAAACAGCCUUUUAGUACUGUAGCUUAAUAUAAUAUCAUUACUAUAAUGUAUACAAAAGUGAAUGAGUUCUGCUGCAACACUACUUAUAAUAUCGUCGCCAAAGCCCAAAACUCGAUCCCAGUGGCAGUCAUAAUUCAGAGAUGAUUUAGCAAUUAAUUAGCAUAAAAGUCGCCACAUCAUUUCCCUCUAAAUAUACUUUUCCACAAUGCUACAGUUAAUACCACGCCAACAAAGUGAAUCUGAAAAAAUACUCUCAUUAAUUUUCACUCUUGUCAACGCAGCUAGGUAAUUUAAACUUUAAUUGCAUCGAAUAUUCUUGCACCGAUGUGUUUUUAAAGAAUGUUCAUAGUAUCGCACACGCUCCUUUGUACACAGCUCUUCCAUCUCCAUUCUACAUGGAAAAAUCUCCUAAGUUUUUUGUUCUUGCUUUAUGACUCAUGAUGAUGUAUUAUUGUAUUAAGCGUACUAGCCAGUGUAAAAUUUAGAAUAUUUUUAGCAACGGAAAUUAAUAUAAAGUGAAUCUGUUGUACCAAACAGUGGUGGGAUAUACAUACACACUCAUGUGAUUGGAGAAUAGAAGACAAGGCAGGUACAUUGUGUUGCAUCUGAUAAUUCUUUCCAUAUGAAAGAACAAAUAGGGUAUAAAAUUUCCUUUUCUUUACAGAACAAGGGCUGGGGUAUGAAAAAGCUAGCACCAUGGGUUUGGUGAUAAUUCUCUCACUAAAAAGAGAGAGAGAGAGUUAUAAUUAGCUAGACAGCAAUCUCUAUCUCUAUCCCUAUAUCUUUAUAUAUAUAUAUAUCAACAUUCUCUCUCUAUAAGAAAUUGGAUUUUUCUUCAACGUUUCAACGCCAUCAUCCAACAGCAAUCAUCAUGCCUUCGUCCUCCUUCCCUCUGACUUACCACCAUCAUCAUCAUCAUUACCCCCUCACCACCACCUCCACCACUCAAUACCUUUCAACCCUUUUCAGUAUUCACAUCCCAAAACCAAAACGACAACAACAAAACCCACAAAUACAAGCACAAGAAGAGCAAGAACAAGGGAAAAAGAAAAAGAAGAAGAAGAGGAAAAAAAAAAAAAAAAAAACAAGAGGUUUUGUUUGUAUGUUUAAUUAUGAACAACAACAAACCCUAGCUAACUUUAAAACUUAAUGAGUGAAAGGGUCUUUUUGGUGUAAAGGAUCCAACAACUCCUCUGGGGAAUCAAGCGUCUCGGUCCGAUUUAUUUGCUAGAUCAUCAUCAAGCAAAUCAUACGAGUUGAUCAGUUACAAGUUUUGUGAUCUACAACAUAUGUGUGUGUUUCUUCCUUAGCUAGUACUUGCUGCCUAGGUAAUUAAUAUUUUUGUGUGGUGCUUAGAUCAUUUACUUUAAGACGAAAUUUUUAAUAUUACUAUUGUAUGUGGAAAUGGGUAUUUGUGACUCAAGUAAAUCAUUUUUAUUUUUAAUUAUCUCUUUCUGAUCUCAUUCAAUUUUUCUUUGCAUCAUAUAUGUAUAUAUAUAUUUGGGUUGUGUCGGAUUUUCGUUUGUAUACACGCUGUUGUUACAGGCACAGCUAGCGAUGAUGUUUGAGGUUUCAUAAAUAUAUAUCUGUAUUUAUUUAUGGCAUAUUAUGUUAUAAUCAAUGCUUUUUCUUUUUUCUGUUAUAUAUUCUUCAAGACACAAAACCAUCAUGAAUCAUAUAUAUAUACGGUGCAGUGCAAGAGCUUCCAUUUAAUUUAUACAGCUGAUUUGAUUAUAUAUAUGAGCAACUUUAUAAUUUACCUCGCUGCCCGCUGCAAGCUGCAAGCUGAUGAUCAUGAUGAGGUACAUUCAUUAAACUAGGGUUUGUUCUUUUUACGGCUUUUAAGUCAUUGUUUCGUUGUCUUCUAAAGAUUUAUUAGUAUAAUAAUUGAGAACUCACAUAAGAGAUUAUUUAGAUCUUUCGAACUUGUUUAAUUGUAUAAAUGUUCAAUAGAGAAGGAUUCCACUGUAAUUCUGAAAAUAUAUACGUGUUGAUGAUGGCUUGCAUGUACCCAUUCCAUUUGAUGCAAUCUUUUGAGGAUUGUGUUCUGGUCUGGCGAAAGAAAGUAAGUCGAAAUAUUAGAUCCAGAAAUAUUAUUUGGCAGUGGCUAUGGUAGUUUUACUUUACCGUAGAGUAUUAAUGAUGACCAUCAGAUCAUAAAAGUGUAGAUUUAAUAUUUAUUUUUAUGAUCGUGUGAUCAUUAUCAGUGCUCUGUCAUGGAGCACUGGAGCUGUUUCCCAUAAUAUUUUCACUAAUAAUAUGAAAUUUAAUGAAUAAAAUAAUUCUCCUUUUUUAAUUUCUUUUAAUUUGAAUCCAGUGCUCUAUAGUUUGAAUUUUGAAUUGAUGAAAAUUCAAAGUUGAGUAUCCUUUAUUCUUUUAACUCAUUUGGAAAAUGAAUUUCUUGAGUAUCAAUUCUAUGAGUAUUUCCUUUCGUUUCACACAUGUUAGUGGGAGGAAAAUUUAGAAGGCUCCGCAUGCUUCAACAGACAACAAUACAUAAGCUAGUCAAAUUCGGGAUUUUCAAGUACUGGGCGUUUCACGCUUUAUGUCCCCAAAGUCCAUCUGAUAGAAUCUGCCAGCUAAUUAAGGCUAGCCUGUUAAUUGCAUCAUAGAUUUUCUCCGAAACCGAGUCUAUAAUAGACGUUGCCUUUUUAAACCACACCUUACAGCCUGUGCAUCAUUACCUGGUCAAAAAUUCAAUAGAAGUCGAUAAAAUCUCAUUAUAUGUUGGACGGUGUUCAAUUUGUGAUUAGGUUGUUUAAGUCACAAACUCAGAUGAUUACAUAUUUUACAACAUGAGAUCUAGUAUAAAUUUAGAUGCAUAUUUAAGUCUAGAAUUUACUCUCUUGAAAAUUUA